rnacentral:lncRNA from 1 species
CACCUAGUGAUAGUUGUUUUAUUUAUAAUAUGAUAAUAACAACCACCUAGUGGUAGCUGAUUUAUUUAUUACAUGCUAAUAACAACCAUGAGUUGAUAGUUGAUUUAUUUAUUAUAUGCUAAUAACAGCUAUCAGCUAGUGGUUGAUUUAUUUAUUAAUUGCAGUCUUGUUCAUUUACUUCAGUCUUUUUAUUUAAUUAUGUUAAAUCAUAUGUGAAUCCUAAUUUGUACUUGUACUCACAGAAAAUAAACCUAAGAAUUCAUCAAAGGAAAUAAAAGAUAAACGACAAUACAAAUAUUGCGUUUUGUUUUGUCUUAUUUUUUAAAAUUUUAUUUUCAAAUAUAUACGCAUGCAUGAUAAAGAUUCACAAUUAUAUAUAUAUAUAUAUAUAUAUAUAUAUAAUCCGUCGAGGUGUUUUAGUUGACUAGCUAGUAUAAACUACCAUCUACCAAAUCGUUAUUAGCUAACGAGCUAGUGUAAAUUUUCAUCUUGGAAGCUAGUAUAAACUAUCAUCUAUAAAAUUGUUAUUAGUAGAGGAACUACGAAUGUAAACUAUCGUCUAACAAACUGUAUUAGUUGAUGAGCUAGUGUAAAUUACUAUCAUUUACCAAAUAGUUAGAUAGACUGUUGGCUACAGUCAAAUGUGUUUUGGAUCAAUUCCUAUAUAUGUGUGUGUGUGAAAAAUUCAUGAAAAUCUAAAACUUAGUUGUUUUGGUACUAUUGAAUUGAUUUAUCUUUUCAUCUUUAUUUUUUUUUAAUUUACUACCCGACCCAAAUCUUUUCUCUUCUCGUAUCAAUAGUAAGUUUAAGAUUGGAUGAUAUUUUUGUCCCUUCAUUUUUUGUCAAUUGAGUCCUUAAAGUGGUCAAUUGAUGUCAAUUCUGUCUCUUUUCUCCAAAUUAACCCAAUUUCUUCUAAAUUGAAGUACAUGCUCGGCAUAUAUAUGCGAUUUAAGUUGGGGCAAAAAUGUCUCCUAACACAAUAAUAAUAAUAAUAAUAAUAAUAAUAAUAAUAAUAAUAAUUCAAAAUUAUCUAAUGAAAAGACAUAAUUUAAGCAGUACCAUCUUGUAAUUUAUGUAAUCACUUUAUUUAAUAUCACAAUAAACCAGCUAGUGAUAGUUGUUUUAUUUAUAAUAUGGUAAUAACAAGCACCUAGUGGUAGUUUGAUUUAUUUAUUACAUGCUAAUAACAACCAUGAGUUGAUAGUUGAUUUAUUUAUUAUAUGCUAAUAACAGCUAUCAGCUAGUGGUUGAUUUAUUUAUAUAUCGUGCUAAUAACAACCAUCAACUAGUAUAUAGUUUCUUGAUUUACUGUUGAUCGGAAGAUUACUGAUCGUUCAUUUAGGUGUUGGUGGGACUAAUGUUAACACCAUAGAUAACUAAACCUGUCUUCAUAGUCACGUUUUCAGUCCCGUCAAGAGCAAAUAUGAUAUCUCCAUAGUCAAACUUAUUGAAGAAUUCCCCAGCUUUGAGCGAAAAUGGUGUGUUUCUCGGAUAAUUCAUCAAUCCAUAUCCGUUCACUUGCGAGGAUCCAUUCGGAAGAGUAAGUGUAAGACUCACCGGACUUGCUAUGUUAAAGUUGUCUUUCAGCAGCACCACAAAAGAUACCUCAUAAGAUAAAUUUUCAAGCUUUUCUGUCAUAUAGUUUCCGUCAACAUGUAGGACUAAGCUACCAAUUAAUUCAGCACUGUCAGGACUGUACAAAAUGAUAGUAGAAUUAAAGUCAGAAACUUUUGAUAUAAGGAGCUUAAAUUCAUUAGGUGAUUUUAUUGAUUUAUUUAUUUUUUGCUGGAAUAUUUUUAAUGCGAGUCCUUCUAUCUAACUAGACUUCAAUAAAAUUUCUAUAGUCCUUCUAUCACUUUAAUUUAAUGACAAAGUUGCUUAUAUAUCCCUAUUUUUAACUGAAUAAAAUUCAGGUGUUUAAACACAAAUCUUGACCUUUGACGUCAAUUAAGUUAACUAAAUCUUAUUUCUACUUACGUAAACUUCCAGCCUGAAGGGUUGGCAUAAUUGAGUUUACUGGCAGGUACAUAAGCGCCAGAACUCUGAAUAAGACGAGAAAAAAAAAUUCAUAUCAUCCAUUACAAAAAAAUUUCACUUGCAAAAUUUACAAAUAUUAAGGAUUAUUUUUGUUCUAUAGCCAACUUUAGCUAUAUAUAUGAUGUUUGUUUACAAUUUCAGUAGACUUACCUUCUGGCCUAUUCCGCCGUUUUGGAGCAACUCCAUUUCCUUGGCUUGGGACAACAAUGCCUUGAGGUCAACCUCAUUAUGCCUCACUACUUGUGCCAUCUCCUCGAUCGAUCGAUAACUAUCCUUUAAUUCUGCUAUAUAUAUAUAUAUAUAUGUAUUUUCUGUUUCUAUUCUUGAUGUCUAUAUAUCUCUCUUCCAAAGGCUAGCUCUAUUUAUACUGGCACAAACAGAGGGUACUGCGAUUAUUAUAUCCCAUAAUAUCCUAUCUUCAAAUAUUCCUUCCCUUUUCAAAGUAGGGAUCCGAUCCUGAUAAGUUUAACAUCAUCAUCAUCAUCAUCAUCAUCAUCGCCAAGGAUAUAGAGCAGCAGAUUCUGUUUAAUAAUUUUGUUGGAAUAAUUCUUUUCCAUUUCCCAGUUCAAUAGUUCUUUCUUUAGCUUGUUGCGCAGGCAAAAUUCCAUGAAGGCGAAAGGCACGUAGGCAUACUAGUUGUGGGCAAGGAAAUUGUACCUUGCUAGGGUUAGGAUUUCGUGUUGGCUGAGGAGGAGAGAAAUUCACGAAGAGCACGGAAUUGAUUGGUUGAUUGAAGAGGGGAGAACGACAGGUGGGCGAUUACUCCAACGACGUGUGGCAGAACCCCUAGAAUCCAGGAACCGUGUUAGGGUAGUAGGGAUUCCAAGAGCCUUCUUGAGUCCUUCGUUCUUGAGAGAAUGUCUAAACCCCUUUUAGUGCUUUUAGGUGGAAUCUCCGAGCCUUUAAGUCACCAAAAAGGGUUCUUUGAUCUUCCGAGAGUCCAAGUCUUGAGUCUAAAGAGAAGUCUCUUUCCCAAUGGAAUGGAAGGGUAUUUAUAGGGUUUUCUGGAAAGUAGUCAUGUGCGAGGCACAUGCUUUCAGGGAAAUUCCAGAAAUGCCCUUUAGUCAUUAGAAUAAUGCCCAUGUUGCCCUGUCCUUCUAGCCACCAAUCCAAUCCCUCAAUUAAUUCCCACAUCGAGCCGCCUCCACGAGUCUUCUGCCUCGGGACACGUGGAGGCUUCUCCCGGGUCUAGCACAUUUAUUUAUGACUUUUUCAUCUUCAUUCCAUUCGGUUAUGCGAACACUAAUUUGCACAUUUAAUGAGGCCGUGGAACCCUAAUUGCGCAUUUAAUUCAAUUAGGUCAUGUGAACUCUAAUUUUACACUUUGGCCCACAUUUGCCCCCUGCGCGAGAGUCGCAUUUUCAAAUAGACGAUCGUGCAAGAAAACUGCAAGCCUUUGAAUGAUUUUGCGGGACUUCACUUUACAUGUCUUGAAGACAAUAGUCCUAGAAGAGGGAACUCCUAGGGAGCCAAACCCUUAGAGUUAAACCCUAGGAAGGCAAGACCUAGCGAGGCUCUUCCUUGGACAUAUUGAAAAAUCUUCUGAAAUCUUUCUGUAUUUUGCCCAAUAUUUAUUUCCAAUUCCGCAAGCAGAUCAACUGUCCGAGCAGCCUCAAUACGAACAGAAACAGAUUCCGAUAACUUGGAAUGGAAAAUAGAAUUAAGACCAGGCAAAACAUUGAAUAGAGCGAUGUAGAGAUCUAAAAUUUCAAACAACUUGAGAAACGAUGGACGGGUACUACUAACGCCUUCUGCAAAGUUAAUCAAGUGCAAGGCGGAUUCUUUAACUAUACCCAUAAAACACACAUCAAAUGUGGAGUUACCAAGUCCACUAAAGAUUUGUUCACAGAGUUUCUUCUCCUUUAUGAAGAGAUCUUCAAAACAAACACGAGAUGCUCGUAUCCACAAUUUGAUCUUUGGUGCCAACAUAUCCCACUCCAAACUCCGGAACUCACCGAUGCUAUAUUUACCGACGCCGAGGUGUCGAAAUUCUGCAUCCACAAUCAACUUCCUUGAAGUCCUGUAGAAUUCAACGCAGUCGCCAACAUUACCGGCUGAGUUCAAUCGUUCAAUGAUACUCCUAAAACCAUAAACUUCGUCAAUAUGUCCAUCAUCCUGUAAUUCAUAGCUAAAAGUAUCGGUUAUUGUACUUGAAAAAAUGGUAGAACUCCUAUCGGCCAAGAAAGCAUUGUGGACUCUGUUGGUUUGUCGGGUCAAUAUGACCCGAAACUCUAACGGAAGGGUUUCCAUGCCCGUUUAGAUCAUGUUUUGAUGCUUUCAGUUUGGGGAUCUGAGAUUAUUCUCGAUCGUCUGAAGCUCGUCAAAAGUACUGAUCAAUCUCAUGGCGGUCUCCGUCGAAGUCGAAGAUGAUGAAUUUAAUAAUUCCGCCCGAAUAUUUUGUGUUCUACCAAUUCCAUUCAGACAAUACAAAAGAGAUAUAUAUAUCUGCCUAAAAAUUGAAAACCGAAAAUCAUCUCUGAACAGCAGGCUUUGAAAAUUACUCCUACUAGUAGUUUAUAAAUAUAAAUACUUUGAAGAUUGUAAGAAGUUCAUAGCCAUCCACUAGUAAAAGUACUUACCAUUACUAAUUGAUGUCACGUUACCGCAAUUAGGACGGAGAGAGAAAGUCGGACCAACUCUUUUUUUUUUUCAAAUCAAACAUUAAUUUUUUAUUUCCAAAAUCAAAUCUUAAUUUUUAUUUUCAAAAUAAAAUCAAAUCUUAAUUUUUUAUUUCCAAAAUAAAAUCAAAUCUUAAUUUUUUAUUUCCAAAAUAAAAUCAAAUCUUUCUUAAUUUGAAAAGAGAUUUUUUUUUUUUGAAAAUGAAAUAAAAUAAAAUCUCUCUUUUUUUUUUUUGGCAAAUCAAAUCAAAUCAUUUUUUUUUAUCAUUCACGCAAAAGAUUUAAGUGCAUGAAUAAAAUAAAAUAAAAAUGCAUGAAUUUAAGAGUCAUAUAAUCUCACAGAUCUAAUGAAGGGGAAUUGCCACAUGCCUACGACAUUCUCUAUGAAAAAAAUGAUGAAUUAAGGCAAAACGAGAUCCAAUCAUGUAUUAUUUUUUUUUUGAAAAUAAAAUAAAUCUUAUUUUAUUAUCUUUCAAAAAAAUAAAAUAAAAUCUUAUUUUAUUAUUAUUAUUUUUUAAAAUAAAUAAAUAAAUAAAUAAAACAUUUACUUAUCUUAUUUUUAAGAAGUAAGGAGUCGAUGAGAAUGUCUUGUAUCCAUAUUGAAGCCUUUGAUAAUUCUUUGAGCAAAGAUGAUUAUAGCUUUUUGAUGAUUCUGACAUCUUUUAUAUGAGACAAGUCUUCACAUGCUUCCGAUUUUUAUUUGCCAUAAAGAAAGAAUCCAUUAAAGCUUCACAUGCCAGUUGCCACUCCUCUGUUAGCCAACAAAAAAAAAAAACAUUGUUUUGCUGCUUUAUUUGGGUGUUAUAGCCACAGGCAAGCCUCUUUCUAUCCACGCCGAACCCUACUGAUUCAAUUUUUUAUUAUUUUUUUUUUAUUAAAAAAAAUCAAGAACUUUUGGAACACUUAUAUUUAGAAGAAGCUUGUACGUAUGGGAAUUGAUGAUCCAAAAACCCACAACCCAAUUCUUAAUCUCAGUUUCUUUCUUGCUAAUCUUUCUCAGUUGAUGAACCCUUUGGAUAAUAUUAACGAUCCUCUUAGGAGGUUGCAAUAUUCAGAUCCCACUCAACUACUAGCCAAAAUCCAAAUUUUACAUAACCUAUUGCAGGCCAUAAAUGUGAGUCCUUCUUUCCCAAAUAUUAAAGUAGUAAACGUGAAUAAUCUCUUGGGAUCAUAUAAUUAUCUUAGCCAAUUUGAUGGAGUGAUCACGAGUGAAGCUAUCAACCCCAUGAUUAAUCCUAUCCCCAACAACCGGCCUUUAAUAUAUAUACUCCAAUCCCAAACUCAUUUGGAUUCUUUAGCCCACAAAUAUUUAACAAUGUUAAUAGCUUAAGUGGUGUUGCAUGCAAUAUUACUCAUCAAACUGAAAAUCAGCUUCCGGAAAGUUCCAAUACCAAGGAAAUGGACAGUAUGAAGCCUACAAACAUCCCCUCCGGUUCAACCAACUCUGACAAUAUCUUUGAGGUUUUGGAGAAAUUUGUUGAUUGUGAUCAAGCCAAUAGUACUUCCUUCUUGCUUCUUUUUUUUUUUUAUUCAGGUAACUCUAGUCUUUCUUUUGUCUUCCGAGCCCCAUUACCUUGAUCAUAUCUUGGUUUUUUCCCUCGGAUCAUAAAGAAAGAUUGGUAUUUUUUUUUUCUUGCAGGCCCUCCCUGUUGAACAUUCUGCAGACUUGGGAACAACCAAGGAGGCCCCGUUUCUCAAUAAUUGGGGAAGGGAUCCCCUCUUUUGGUCUUUCCGACGUCUUUUGAGAGCGAGUCUAGACUUAUAAUCGUACAACACUUCCUCCGCCAGAGAAGAAAGGCGUGUUUCUUUAUGUCGCGGCUUGCGGAGGUUUGGGUGACUUCCUCCCUUCCGAUCGCAUUCUCCGCAUGUGCAUAGAGAAACAAGAAUAGCCUUUCAGUCCCUUUCGCUUCCUGUCUGACUCAUCUGACCGCCUUCAAGGAUGGCAACAUUGGACCGACUUCCCGUUGUGUGCUCUUCUUCAUACACAUUCAUUACUACUUGGGGGGGAAUUCACCCCUAUUCUAGAGGAUGUCUCUGCCCUCCACCAGUAGGUCGUACUUCGGUUUGCCCCCUGCACGUGAGUCACACCUUUGGUGGGACAACCGUGCAUAAUUUCUCCAGCAUUGAAAUCUUGCUACAAAUUUCUUAAUGAUUCGCGGAGCACGAUGGUGCAAGCCUUGAACAUAAAAUCCCUAGGAGGGGAGACCUGUAGGGGGCGAGCCCUAGAGAAGCUCUCCCUGGCUAUCUUGGAAAAAAUCUUCUAUCUUAUCCUUCCGAAUAUUACUUUCUUUUGGAAGUUCUCUCAUUUUCAAAAUUAAGAAGUCAACGAGAAGGCACCGAGUGAACAUACUUCAAAUUGGGGUGAACAAGCGAUGAAGGAGAUCUUUCCUCUAGGUACCCGAAUCCUGAGCGGCUUCAUUCUGGAACAUUGAUUAACGAGCUAGGAGAAGUAAAAGGUAAGAGGGGAGAGCCUCUGUAGGUGUUUGAACCCCAGGGGCCGAACCCUAGAAGACUGCCUAUUCCUUCACUCUUUUUUUCCUUCUUCCUUUCACUUGAAUCUUGGUCGUGUCCUAGCUUGGUUCCCCAAUAUAGUUGAUCGGAUACAUCUUCAUAGGACCCUUCUCCAGAUUUUCUUGCUCGAUUGUCUUCUGAGACUUAUUCUCGAAAUGCACAUUCUCUCUCUAUUAUCUGUGAGCAGAAGACUUAGAGGUGUUUUAGUUGUGAAGUUGAUGACUUCUCGAUCCUUCUUGGGCCUUGACAUGUCUCCCUUCCGUGCUAAGCUGGAUCUCUUCACUUUCAGUUAUCAUGUCAUUGCACUUUGUUCGGAGGUCACUUCACGUCCUCAUGAGAAUGACUUUCUUUAUGUAAGGGCCUCAGGAGCUUCAGGACGUCAUGGAUAGAUUGAAGGCCAAGCUUCGGGAAAUUGAUUCAUCUGCCCAAGACCUUAAGGAACUGUUAGCCUGAAGUUCGAAAGGCUCGAGAUACUGCCAUUGUCGACUUGGAGGCUUUAGCUAUGCCCCCAGUUCAGUUUGAUGUAUCAUGACCUUUGGAUCAUGACUUCAUGUAGCUUUUAUUUCUUCCAUCACUUUUGAAGAUAAAGUGUAUUAUCGAGGAUUUCAGGGUCAAGUGUCUCAAUCACUUUUGAAGUUGAAAGUAUAACUCUUUUUUUUUUCUGGAUCGAGGGCUGAUUAAUCAGGUGCCUCAUUACUUUUGAAGUUGAAAGUAUAACUUUUUUGGGUCGAGGGCUGAUUAAUCAGGUGCCUCAUUACUUUUGAAGUAGAAAGUAUAACUUUUUCGAGUCGAGGGCUGAUUAAUCAGGUGCCUCAUUACUUUUGAAGUUGAAAGUAUUUUUUUUUUGGGUCGAGGGCUGAUUAAUCAGGUGCCUCAUUACUUUUGAAGUAGAAAGUAUAACUUUUUCGGGUCGAGGGCUGAUUAAUCAGGUGCCUCAUUACUUUUGAAGUUGAAAGUAUAACUUUUUUGGGUCGAGGGCUAAUUAAUCAGGUGCCUCAUUACUUUUGAAGUAGAAAGUAUAACUUUUUCGGGUCGAGGGCUGAUUAAUCAGGUGCCUCAUUACUUUUGAAGUUGAAACUAUAACUUUUAAGAAAUUUGCUCUGAUCAAAAUUUGAUGUAUUUAUUUAACGAUCAAGAUAUAAUACAUUUUUUUUUCAUUUUCUAGUCUGCUAGGGCAGUAGCUUAUUCAGCAUUAUGCUUCUUAUUAUAGUUCGAUUUCACCUGCCGCUAAUUUUUCAUGAUAAAUUCUCCUCAAAUUACGACAAUUCAUGAUGGAAUGUCCUGGGUAUUGAUGAUACACGCAAAAGUCUGAUCUCUUCUUCAUCUCCUCGGUCACAACAAAUCUGGGUUUUGGAGGCUUCACCAUUCCAUUUUCUACCCAUUUCUCAUACAAAUCUUUAAAUAUCUCCUCACCACAAGUGAUAGCUUCGGGCUCUAGCGAAUUUAUAUUCUUUUUGAUUCUUUCCCUCUUGCCCCCCUGUGGCUCUGACUGAGAGUCUGUCAAAGCCGUAGUAGCUGUCCUCUUACUCUUCCAGGUAGCAAUCGGAUGGUUCACAGAUACUGCCAUAAUUUCUCCAUGGUCCUGUGCAAAGGUGGAAAGUGUCGCAAAGGAAUCACAAGACUUAGUGAUCAAGUGGGGCUUGAAGGCGUCGAGGGCGCCGUUGUUGCAAAUACUCACUAAAUUCUUCUCUUCGAUUGGCUCCACACACUUCCGCGCCUGGGCCCGAAAGGUGGAAAGUGUCGCAAAGGAAUCACAAGACUUAGUGAUCAAGUGGGGCUUGAAGGCGUCGAGGGCGCCGUUAUUGCAAAUACUCACUAAAUUCUUCUCUUCGAUUGGCUCCACACACUUCCGCGCCUGGGCCCGAAAUCUGUCAACAUAAUCAGAUAACUCCUCAUUCGAAUUUUGUUGAAUUCUCAUAAGCUCUAUAAUUGACACUUCCUUCUGAACAUAAAAGAAUUUUUUGAAAAACUGGUGUUUCAUAUCAUCCCAAUCUCGAAUCGAACCCUUCUCCAAAUUGUAGUACCAGCUGAAGGCACCGUUAGUGAGCGUCUUGUUAAACUCCCUCAAUAGAAUAUUGUGGUUGCUCACUUCAUCUAUUCCCAACCACGAGGACAUCGACUCCACAAAUCUUGCAAUAUGCUCUCUCGCAUUCCCUUUCUCUCCACUAUACUUAGGGAACUGAAGUGGAUGUUCAAUGUACCCAGCAGGGUAUGGCUGUCUUCUCACAUGCGCCGGGUAUGGUGGGGUGAAAUCCAGUUCCGCAGGCCUGACUGUCUGUCUACGCAUCUGAUUGAUUACAUCCAUCAUGUCUUCCCUUGUCGCAUAUUGACUGGUUUCUGGAGCCUUUUGGGACGUCAUCGCAUACUGGUUUAUCUGAGGUGUAUGUGGAACACAUGUUGAUGCACACUUGCCUCAUGUAAGAUUGGUUGUACUUGCUGGAUUAUUGGUUGUAUAUGGCUUGGGAUGGUUGGUAUCUGCACUUGUGAAAAUGCUGGGAGUGUAAUCGGGAUGAUGUUUAGCUGAGGCUGGCUAGCUUCCAAUCUAAGUGGUGGUACAUCACCACUGUUCUGGGGCUCCAAGUUGAUGACUGGAAUCGGCUGACUCUCCAUUGCUGGAGGUAUAAUCUGAUUCUCUUUGUUGUUGUUGUUGUUGUCCUCCACUUCUCCUGCUCGUCCCCCUUGCGAACUUCCUGGGAACAUGGUCUUGAAAGUGGGGAUUUGCAUCAACUGCUGGCAAAAAUUCUCCAUUUCUUCUUGCUUUCUCUGCAUCUCUAGCAUCAUGGCCAUCAUCAUCCCUUGCCCUUCUCGUGCUUCUUUCAAUGCUUUAAGCAUCUCCAGUUGCACAGCAUUCGUCUGGUCUCCCCCUGCAUCUUCGCCUUGCCUUCUUGCAUUGGUUUGUUGUUGAUUGGCCAUAUGUGGUGAUGUCGAACUCCCUUCCAAAGCGUCUUCAAUAAUUGGUUGGUCAAAAUCCAGGUUUGCGCCUUGGAAAACUUGAGUUACUUGUCUUGGAACUGGAUCCGGUGACGUAAUGCUAUUUGUUGGUGAAGCAGCUCUUCCUGUAAUUCUCCCACUUCGAGUCGUGGGCAUACCCUUCACGAAUUAUACACCUCCCCAGCAGAGUCGCCAAAGAAAUGUGGGCAAGGAAAUUGUACCUUAGUAGGGUUAGGGUUUCGUGUUGGCUGAGGAGGAGAGAAAUCCACGAAGAGCACGGAAUUGAUUGGUUGAUUGAAGAGGGGAGAACGACAGGUGGGCGAUUACUCCAACGACGUGUGGCAGAACCCCUAGAAUACAGGAACCGUGUUAGGGUAGUAGGGUUUCCAAGAUCCUUCUUGAGUCCUUUGUUCUUGAGAGAAUGUCUAAACCCCUUUUAGUGCUUUUAGGUGGAAUCUCCGAGCCUUUAAGUCACCAAAAAGGGUCCUUUGAUCUUCCGAGAGUCCAAGUCUUGAGUCUAAAGAGAAGUCCCUUUCCCAAUGGAAUGGAAGGGGUAUUUAUAGGGUUUUCUGGAAAGUAGUCAUGUGCGAGGCACAUGCUUUCAGGGAAAUUCCAGAAAUGCCCUUUAGUCAUUAGAAUAAUGCCCAUGUUGCCCUGUCCUUCUAGCCACCAAUCCAAUCCCUCAAUCAAUUCCCACAUCGAGCCGCCUCCACGAGUCUUCUGCCUCGGGACACGUGGAGGCUUCUCCCAGGUCUAGCACAUUUAUUUAUGACUUUUUUGUCUUCAUUCCAUUCGGUUAUGCGAACCCUAAUUUGCACAUUUAAUGAGGUCGUGGAACCCUAAUUGCGCAUUUAAUUCAAUUAGGUCAUGUGAACUCUAAUUUUACACUUGGGCCCACACUAGUAAAUGAUGAUUUUCUUCUAACCAGAAGUAUGAGCAGGUUAAAAGUAGAAGAAUAAGCAUCUCGCAGGCCAAAAAUCAAUAAAAAAACGAAAAGAAGAAAAAGAAAAGAAGAAGACAGCAAUAGCAAGACCAUAUUUUUCUUCUUCUUUCUUUUUAUCUUUUCUUUCUUUCUUUUUUGUUUCUUUUUAGACGGAGGGUUUUAUUUCAUCUUUGAAAAUAAACCUAAGAAUUUAUCAAAGGAAAUAAAGGAUAAACGACAAUACAAAUAUAUAUUUUUAUUUUAUUUUCAAAUAUAUACGCAUGCAUGAUAAAGAUUCACAAUUAUACACACAUAUAUAAUAGGCUACAACCAACAAUCUACUAAACAAUUUGUAAACCAUCGAGGUGUUUUAGUGACAACCUACCGUCUACCAAAUCGUUAUUAGUUAACGAGUUAGUGUAAAUUUUCAUUUUGGAAGCUAGUAUAAACUAUCAUCUCUCAAAUUGUUAUUAGUAGAGGAGCUACGAAUGUAAACUAUCGUCUAACAAACUAUAUUAGCUGAUGAACUAGUGUAAACUAUCAUUUACUAGAUGUAUGAGCAUGUUAAGAGUAGAAGAAUAAGCAUCUCGCAGGUAAAAAAAUAGGAAAAGAAGAAGACAACAAUAACAAGGCCACAUUUUUCUUUUUCUUCCUUUUUAUCUUUUUUUUUCUUUUUUGUUUGUUUUUAGACGGAGGACUUCAUUUCAUCUUUGAAAAUGUGGGUAAAGAAAUUGUACCUUAGGUUUUCAUGUUGGCUGAGGAGGAGAGAAAUCCACGAAGAGUACGGGAUUGAUUGAUGAAUUAAAGAGGGCAGAAGAACAUGUGAUCAAUUACUCUAAUGACAUGUGACAAAACUUUUAGGAUCCGAGAACCUUCUUAGGGUGCCAAAGAUCCAGGGAGUCUUCUAGGGUGUGCUUCGGGUUGAGAGAGAAUCUCCAAGUCUUCAAUCUUUCGAAAAGCCCUCUUCUUCAUAGAAUAGAAGGAGUAUUUAUAGAGUUUCCUGGAAAGUGGUCACAUGACAGACAUAUGACCUCGAGCAAAUUCCAAAAAUACCCUUAGUCACCAGAGUAAUGCCCAGAUCGUCCUGUCUUUCUAGCCACCAAUCCAAUUCCUCAAUCAAUUCUCAAAAUGAGUUGCCUCCAUAAGCCUUUUACCAUGGAGGCUCUUCCUUGAUCUCAUGAUACAAAGCUCUUAUUGCUCAAACCAUGCUUACUUGCUCUUCCUUCUUUAUUUAAGAAUCUCGUCGCCAGAAAUCAUCGGAAGAACUCUGCGCAAGACCCGGGAAGCCGCGUGUUACAAACCAGUCCCACAUCGAAAGAUAUGGAAAAAAAUUAGUCUAUAUAUAAGGAAUUAUGUUACUACCAAUAAUAUACUUUUAAGUCAUGACCUUUUGGGUGAGCCUGUGGUGGGAUAAGAUGACCCAAUAAUAUACUAUUGGGUCAGUGGUUUAAGGCCUUGGGAUUCGGACUUGGGAUUUGACCCAAGAUUUGUUUUGGGCAAUUUUACUCAGGUUGUUACAUAUGGUAUUAGAGCCGACUCUCGAAAGCUCGGGUCGGAUCAUCCGAUCGGGUUGCCGGAAGUGGGGACACGAAACCAGCCGAUAUUAUCCCACAAUGGCUAAAGAGGCAAAGAUCUGUGGAACGUAUAUGUGAUCGAUUUUGAUGGAGAUGUCAAAAAUUUAAGUGGGGUAGUUUAUAACACCUCAGUCCCACAUUGAAAGAUAUGGGAAAUACUAUUGUGCAAUGAUUUAAGCUAUCCAGCUAUAUUGUUAUAGUUUGGAUAUAUUCCAGUAUGAGAAUUAACAAACCCUGAAAUGGGAUAUUUUUAUUGCACUCUGGGAGUGGUGACGUUGAACAUGGAAGUUGUUCUGGAUAAGAUAGUAUUGAUUAAUAAAGGGCAUAUAUAAAGGGCUGAUCAUCCAUCGUGCUCAUAAGAUAAGAUGGUUCACAAAUAAAUUUUUAAGAAAACCUUUUCAAGAAAAGAAAAAGCUUGUUCACGGUCUUAUGACCUCUCAGAUGUUCAAUAUUGAUAUGAUAUUCCAGGAAUAUGAAUGAUUCAAGAUUUAAUUGCUUUACAGUUUUGUUUCACUGUUAAAGCAUGUCUCAAAGAAAACAUUUAAUUAUUGUUAAGAUAUUAAAGAAUGCUAUUACUUAUUGAGCAAUUGAAUGCUCAUUCUUGUUUUGUUAUAAAUGUUUUCAGCUAAUCAGGCUCCAACGGAGGGGUCUAAUAGAGACAAAGGAAAAGGAAAAGCUACUGAGUAGUAGGUAUAUGUUGUAAUAAAUAGUUUAUAUGUUUGUAGAUAUUUAACUAUCAUGUAAUAAGCACUUAAUGGUUACGUACCUGGUAUUAGAAGAACUCUGAUAUAAUAAAUCUAUCAAGUUUGAUAUUAUAUUAUGUUGAAUGCUUGAUAUCUUGAAGCACUGAAUAAGGGUUUAAAAUACCCGAAUUUGGGGGCGUCACACGCCCGAUUCGCCUCCUUUGCGUAUGUUUAACAUGCUCAUACAACUUGUCUAAUACUCCAUUGAUUAAUUCUAAGUAUCAUUAUAUUUCAUAACUUUCAUGUUUAAUAACUUAGAAUAACAUAUUUUAUCGUCAAAAGCAUCCACGUAGUACGAGCAUGCCCGACGCCCUCCGAUCGCCUCCGAUCGAAUGCACAAUAGUCCUAAAAAUAGCCAUUUUAGCCCCUUCUCCCGACCUCAAAUCUCAAAACUUAUAAAAUAAAAGUUUUAGGUCAACUUCUAAUAUUUUCGAAUCAUCUUGAAUCACCUCAAUCAGAGUUCGUAUAAAAAGGUUAUGCAUGUUUUACUAAAGAACGUCAAAGCUGACUUUCUGCACUUUUGGUUCAGCGCCCAUCCUAGGCCUAUUUCCAACGCCCCGGGGCUGGACGGCAGUACGUUCUCAGCCAAAAACUUCAAUUUUCAAAAAUCUUCAGUUUUGAAUGAUUUCAACAUGUCUACUUUGAAAUAUCAUAAAUUUCUCCUCCGAUAUCGAAAUGAGCUCGUUCUUAAUGGGUUGAAAAGCUUGCAACACCCUCUACAAAUUUCUCAGGACAAAAUAAUUUUCUGGAUUCUCUAACAAUCCUUUAAACUUUCUCAAAAGUCCAUCGAGACUAAGAUUUUUAUCAUUCAACAUACUUUACCAAAAUUUUCUGCCAUGACUUCGUUUUAACAUAUUUUUACUCCGUUCCAAUUAGAAUAUCUUCAUAAAUUCCUUAUCUAUAAAUCCUUAUUCCCGAAUUUUAUUUAUUACAACCCUAUCAACAAUAUUAAAAUCCAAUUUAAGUACUCUAAAUAAAUAAUGUCUAUCCUUUAAGCUUUGGCCUACGAUUCCAUUCUUGUUACCACUUCUUAUGCAAUUUAACAAGUUAUUUAUCAUGAUCAAAGCACACAUAACUUUAUUUACUCAAGGUCCUUCAUACUCUUUCAUUAAACAACCAUCGCCAACAACUAAUGAUUCAAGAAAGACUUCACAGAAAUGAAAAGAUGGAUGGUUCUUACCUUCUUAGUUAUUCUUCUUCUUCCUAGCUUAUGCUUUGUUAGCAUGAUAUACAUUGUUGGGCCCUCCAUCUACCAACUUAAGCUUUUAAGAUAAGUUGGUUACUUAACAUGGUAUCAAAGCUUUGGGUGUGCAAGGUCUUGGGUUCGAAUUUUUCCAGCUGCACAAUUAUCUUUCUAUUAAUUUAACAGUGCAAAUGCACUUUAAUUUCUCCCUUCUCUAUAAAAAAAAGUUGCGUUUGAGAGGGAGUGUUAGCAUGAUAUACAUUGUUGGGCCCACCAUGCAUCUAACAGCUUAAGCUUUUAGAUGAGUUGGUUACUUUGCUCUUCUUUCUCUUCUUAUUGGUAUUCGGCCUCUCUAUUUCUCUCUCUCUCUCACUCUCUUGUUUUCUUUCUCUUCUCUCUAGUUUGCCCUCUCUUCCUUUUUUUUUCUUGCAAAUGAAAUGAAUUGGCUAAGUGAAAAAUCCUCUAGAUCAAUUGAAUUCUCCACUAACUAACUCAACCAUACUUCUAAGGUUAGGUUAACUCGUGUAGGGUUAGGGAAUGAUAGGAUGACACUUGUAAGCUUAAUGUUUAAGGAUGACAAGAAGAUAUAAGCUAGCAUUAAAUUAAAUUUUCACCUUGCUAGAUGAGUCACACAUACUCUCCCUUUUGCUUCUUUAAUUGGUUGGAUCACCCCUCCCUUUCUUAGCUCAUAUUUUAAUUAUCCCAUGUGGGAUAAACAUCAAUCCUCUCCCUUAUCUUACUUUUUCACCCAACUUAUCUUUUAUGAGAUAACUACUAAGUCUCAUUCCUUAUCUUUUCUUCGAUAAGCCUUGUCAUUAAUCCUUAUCUCUUCCUUGUUUUCCUUCAACCCAAACUUACCAUAAAUAGAAAGUUUCCAUCUCACCUUCUCUCUUCUCCUUGUCCAUAUUCAAAUCCCCACAUGUUUAAUUCUAGCAAAUGACACUUGCCCUCUUAUAACUUUGGCUCCUAGUUUGGCUCACUUUUUGGCUCAAAGACCAAGCCAUGGCUCCUAUCCUUUGACUCUAAGCUUAAGCCACUCAAACCUUAGGCUCAACCCUUAGCUAAGCCCCUUUAAAUUCCUAACCAAGUCAUUUAAACCUUAGGUUUGGUUAGACUAGAAUUAAUUUAAUUUCUCUUUUUCUUUUAAAUUAGUUAGAUUUCCUAAUUUUUUAGUUACAUUUUUCGUAAUAUGCUUGGUUAGCUGACAAUCCGACUUUUGAUUUUCAAAAAUCCAAUUUCGCCACCAUUCCUUCUUUCCCGAAUAAACGCUAUGUAGUUCUUCGAAAUUUUAAAAAAAACGAAGUUGGGUUUUUAGCGUGAAUAGUUUUUUUUCAUACGACUUUUUCUAGAAAAAUAUUUUAUUAGAGAUUUCAUCUCGCCUUCUCAAAUAAACACUAUGAUGUAAUUCAAAAUUCUCGAAAAAGUAUGUUUAUUAGCGUUUUUCUGUGAUUUUAAAAAUAGUAACUUUUUCGUCUUUUUCUCGAAAAAAUUAUAUUCUCCCAAAACUCCCAACACUUAUACAUAAUCACGUAACACGUAAACUAGGUCAUUAAUCGACCUAAAUCAUGUAACACAUAAUAAUAUCUAUAAAAUUUUAUUUUAUUAGAUAUUCACAAAUAAAACCUAUUUUCAAGCCUAUCUGAAUUCUCGGGUCGUCACAUAGUAUUUAUAGAGUUUCAUGGAAAGUGUUCACAUGCCAGGAACAUGACCUCAUGGAAAUUCAAGAAAUACCCUUAGUCACCAGAGUUAUGCCUAGAUCAUCUUGUCCUUCUAACCACCAUGCAAUCCAAUCCCUCAAUCAAUUUCAAAAAUGAGUUGCCUCCAUAAGCCUUCUGCCUUGGGACCCAUGGAGGCUCCUCCUCGAUCUCAUGCUUCAAAGCAAUUGUUGCUCAAACCAUACUUUCUUACUAUUCCUUCUUUAUUUGAGAAUCUCGUCGAUGGAAAUCCUCGGAAGAACUCUGCGCAAGAACCAGGAGGCCGCGCCUUAGGGGGGCAAUCCUUAGGGGGCGGAACCCUAGGGAGCUGAACCCUAGGGGGGCCUCCUUCAGUUCUUUUCGUUCGUUUCAACCUUUCUUGGUCAGUUUUCAUCAUUUUCUCAUGAUUCUUGGUCCUGUAAGAAGCCUUUCUUGUCAUAGAGAUUAUAAGGCUAAUCAUUAUUUGGAGUUUCACAAGAUUUUAGUUUAUUUUUGUAGUCCAGGCUUAUUUCUUUGUCAUUGCAUCGAUGAAACCCCUUCUAGCAUGCCAAUCGAGAAAAUGAGGUAGCAUAUGCCCUAGGGUGCCGAACCCUAAGAGGUAAUUUAGAUUUCUUUUGUCCAUCUUUUGUCUGUUUUCCUUUUUUCAUUACGAUAGUUCCAACCAAAUCCAGUCGGAGAAGAAAUUGGUUUUAUCUUUUCUUUAAGGAGAAGUCAUCUUGGAGUGGUUGAACCAUAGGGUGGCCGAACCCUAAGGGGCCAAAAUCCUAGGAUUUUUCCCUUUUUGCUGAUUUAAUGCUUCGUUCAUUAAUUGAAGUCUUGUUCAUUUACUUUCGUCUUUUCAUUUAAUUCAAUUAAAUCAUAUGUAAACCCUAAUUUGUACUUGGGCUCACAGAAAAUAAACCUAAGAAUUCAUCAAAGGAAAUAAAAGAUAAAUGACAAUACAAAUAUUGCGUUUUGUUUUGUCUUAUUUUUUUAAUUUUAUUUUCAAAUAUAUACGCAUGCAUGAUAAAGAUUCACAAUUAUGUAUAUAUAUAUAUACAUAUAGAUACAUAAUAUGGUAAAUAAUAGGUGGUAGUUGUUUUAUUUAUAAUAUGGUAAAUAAUAGGUGGUAGUUGAUUUAUUUAUUACAUGCUAAUAACAGCCAUGAGUUGAUAGUUGAUUUAUUUAUUAUAUGCUAAUAACAGCUAUCAGUUAUUGGUUGAUUUAUUUAUAUAUCGUGCUAAUAACAACCAUCAACUUGUAUAUAGUUUCUUGAUUUACUGCUGAUCGGAAGAUUACUGAUCGUUCAUUUAGGCGUUGGUGGGACUAAUGUUAACACCAUAGAUAACUAAACCCGUCUUCAUAGUCACGCUUUCAGUCCCGUCAAGAGCAAAUUUGAUAUCUCCAUAGUCAAACUUAUUGAAGAAUUCCCCAGCUUUGAGCGAAAAUGGUGUGUUUCUCGGAUAAUUCAUCAAUCCAUAUCCGUUCACUUGCGAGGAUCCAUUCGGAAGAGUAAGUGUAAGACUCACCGGACUUGCUAUGUUAAAGUUGUCUUUCAGCAGCACCACAAAAGAUACCUCAUAAGAUAAAUUUUCAAGCUUUUCUGUCAUAUAGUUUCCGUCAACAUGUAGGACUAAGCUACCAAUUAAUUCAGCACUGUCAGGACUGUAAAAAAUGAUAGUAGAAUUAAAGUCAGAAACUUUUGAUAUAAGGAGCUUAAAUUCAUUAAUAUAGUACAAUUAAUGCGAGUCCUUCUAUCUAACUAGACUUCAAUAAAAUUUCUUUAGUCCUUCUAUCACUUUAAUUUAAUGACAAAGUUGCUUAUAUCCCUAUUUUUAACUGAAUAAAAUUCAGGUGUUUAAGCACAAAUCUUGACCUUUGACGUCAAUUAAGUUAACUAAAUCUUAUUUCUACUUACGUAAACUUCCAGCCCGAAGGGUUGAAAUAAUUGAGUUUCUCAGCAGGUAUAUAAGCGCCAGAACUUUGAAUAAGACAAGAAAAAAAAAUUCAUAUCAUCCAUUACAAAAAAAUCUCACUUGCAAAAUUUACAAAUAUUAAGGAUUAUUUUUGUUCUAUAACCAACUUUAGCUAUAUAUAUGAUGUUUGUUUACAAUUUCAGUAGACUUACCUUCUGCCCUAUUCCGUUGUUUUGGAGCAACUCCAUUUCCUUGGCUUGGGACAACAAUGCCUUGAGGUCAACCUCAUUAUGCCUCACUACUUGUGCCAUCUCCUCGAUCGAUCGAUAACUAUCCUUUAAUUCUGCUAUAUAUAUAUAUAUAUAUAUAUUUUCUGUUUCUAUUCUUGAUGUCUAUAUAUCUCUCUUCCAAAGGCUAGCUCUAUUUAUACUGGCACAAACAGAGGGUACUGCGAUUAUUAUAUUCCAUAAUAUCCUAUCUUCAAAUAUUCCUUCCCUUUUCACAGUAGGGAUCCGAUCCCGAUAAGUUUAACAUCAGCAUCAUCAUCAUCACCAAGGAUAUAGAGCAGCCGAUUCUGUUUGAUAAUUUUGUUGGAAUAAUUCUUUUCCAUUUCUCAGUUCAAUAAUUCUUUCUUUAGCUUGUUGCGCAGGCAAAAUUCCAUGAAGGCGAAAGGUACGUAGGCAUCCUAGUAAAUGAUGAUUUUCUUCUAACCAGAAGUAUGAGCAGGUUAAAAGUAGAAGAAUAAGCAUCUCGCAGGCCAAAAAUAAAAAAAAAAUCGAAAAGAAGAAAAAGAAAAGAAGCCACCAAUAGCAAGACCACAUUUUUCUUUUUCUUUCCUUUUUAUCUAUUCUUUCUUUGAUUCUUUUUUAUAAUUUUUUUUAGAUGGAGUCUUUGAAAAUAAGCAUAAGAAUUCAUUAAAGGAAAUAAAAGUGUUGAAAGUUGUCUUGCAUUAGUCUUCUCCAAAUUCUGUUCCCCUUAGACUUUAGAAUUUAGCCUUUCCCAAAAUUCUGUUCCCCUCAGAUUUCGGAAUUUUGCUUUCCUCAUUUCUUGUUCUCCUCUCCAGAUUUCUCCUAUAAAAGGGAGCUUUGGUGUAAGACCCCAACUUUUAUGAAUAAAGACGAAUUUUUCUAUAAAUAUAAUUUUUGAUUAUUAAGAUGUGAAUUUGAAAAAAUAUUAUAGUUGUGAGUAAUAUUUAAAAAUUUUACAAAGUAAACAAGGUGUUAUAAAAUAUUCGGUUGGUCGAGGAAUAUUCGUUUUAACAGGGAAUAUUCAUACGACGACACAAUCAUUGGUGGACCCCACAACGAAAGUAUUGUCGGAGUUAGAAAACGACAGAAAUAUCUUAUUAUGAAAAUAAUGGCGAAAAUUUUACCGUUAACUGUUGAAAUACCCGUUAGUAAAAGUACAGUAAUACGUAUGGUUGCAUAGUAGUACACGGUAUUAAUUAUUGAUGCUUACGUGAGAAGUCACUCAGUUAUACUCAAUUAUUGUUACAGUAAUUGUUGUAUCAUAUCUCUUAUAUUAUUGAUUCAAUUAUUGUCAGUAUCAUCUGCAUAAUAUUUUAUAUUAUUAAAUCAAUAAUUGAGACGAUAAAGUUAUUCAUAUUAUUAUUUACAAUAUUGACGAUGUCUAGAAGUUCUGUCAAGGAGAGGUUAGGUCAUUUAAUUGCGCGCCAAUAGGGAGAAAUCCUUAUCGGAAAGCCCCUCUUUCCUGAAAACGAUCUGGUUGUUAAUAUUGCGAGUUAUAAUAAUGAUGAAUAAAUUGAAGGAAUUUUAUGAAAUAUUUGUUGUAAGUUUUGCUUAUUAUAUGGACCCCCAUUUAACCAUUUUUCAAAAUAAUCGGUAAAAAAUUAUUCAGUAUUUUUUUUAAUAAAAAAGGUGGGGCCACAUGUGGGGCCCACUGAAAGAAAAAUGGGGGGGGGGAGAUGUUUAUGUUUGUCAUGGGUGAAGGUUUGAUUAUAUAUAUAUAUAUAUAUAUAUAUAUAUAUAUAUAUUAUAAUAAGUCUUUUUUUUAUGAAAAAUAGAAUAUAUUAAAUUUUAUUUGCAUAGUAUUUUACUAUGCAGUGCACAGUAAAGUUUUGUGAAUUAGAAAUUCGGCGCCCGUGAAAUUUUCGAUUGUUUUGUCCGUGAGAAUUUCAAACAGUACCCCUUCCAUCAUCCUAUAAAUAUGACGCUUAUUUUGAAUUGAAAAUCACACAAGAAUCAGAGAAUUUUUUUCUAUAAUAUUGAGUAUAUUUCUUUCGAGUUUUAGAAAGUUUUGAGUGUAGAAAACAGUGAAAGUUUUUUUCAAGAAUAUCCCCGCUAUACCAGUCGAAAUACUCUUCUUAGGAUGUUUUUUUGUUCAAUAUUCGUAUGAAAUAAUAUUUUCUUCCAUACUCUGUAGUAUGUAAAUAAUAUUAUUUCGUUUUAGAUUUCGAAUUCUAUAUCCAUUUUGUUAAAGUUUUGGCUCCUAUACUCCAUGAAAUUAGUAGAAUAUCCUUAAAAUUUGCGUUUCAUCCAGUAUCUUUUCAUGGAAAUAUUAUUCUGAGCAUUCUUGAUAAGUUUUAAUUUUUUCAUGCCAGAGUACUAUAUACGGGGUACUAUUCUCAAAUUACUAUUCACGGGGUACUAUUCACUCGGUUACUAUUCAUCCGAGGCACUAUUCAUGACAAAAAUUAAUUUUUUUUCGGUCCAAAUCAUUUUUGUUACAAUAUUAUUCGUGAAUUUUACUCCAUAAUGCAGUAUCAUAUUGACAAUUUGGACAUUAUUAAAUUAUGGAUAAAUUAAAUUAUAAAUCUUUAAAAAUUUAUCUUUUGCUUUCAUUUAAUUGAAUUCUUAUAUCAUUGUCAUCAUCCUGAUGCUUAUAUUAUAAUGAAAGUCAUUUGUGGCCCGUAGUGCAUAGAUGGACUUGGUAUGAUUAUGACCAGGGAUUAUUUGGUAUAAUCAUGACUGUAAUAUUACAAAUGAUGUGGUAAAAGUCCUCAUUGGCCCGUAGUGCAUUGAUGAACAGUUGUUUUCAUGAUCAUGACCAUUGAUGAAAACACGAAUAUCUUUGGCCCGUAGUGCAUGAAUAAUUUGUGGUUGUGAUACUAAAGAAUAUCCUUGGCCCGUAGUGUAUGGAUAAUUCAGUGAUGUGUAUUAUUUAUUAAGCUGAGUCUCAGCGAUACAAUUGAUGAUAAACCUUUUAAAUAAUAGAAGAUAGUAGAUUUUAUGCUCUACUUAACUCUUCUAAUAGAUUGCUUGUUCCUCUGCAAUUAAACUUGAUGUUUAUUAUAUUUUAUCAGUUUAACAUUGUUGAAGGCUAAUGAUAAUUUAUUCUGUGUUAUCUUAGUCAUAAUAUUUCUUACUGGCUAGUUGAGCUCACCCUUUACUUUCAUUGUUCUCUUCAGGAAAUGAGAAUAUAGCUGGGAUCGACUAGUCGGGGAACGGAGUGACGGUCCAAAUGAUAACAUUAGUAGUCCUCACUAUUCUGUGAAAUAGUGUGAUAAUAAAUGUAAUGAGGACUUAUUUUGAGUUUGAAUACUGUCUAGAAGACAAUAUUUGUAUUAAAACUCACAACUCAUGUUAUAUAUUUAAGUUUAUAUUUGUAUUCUGUACCAUGUAUUUAACGAUUCAAAAUGGGUGAUGUAUACCUAUUCUGGGGGCGUCACAGUUGGUAUCAAAGCUUGGGGAUAUGAUCCCUGGCUGAGAUGAGAGACUAGAACUAGGAGGGGAGAGUCAGGUAAUUCCUUUGCUAGUAUGACCUACCUAAGUUUAUUUGUUAUUUAAUUAGUCGGUCAGAAUAUAGGGAUAAUAUGUUGCAUGUCAAUUAACCCUUGUUUUGUGGCAGUAUUUGAAAAUGACAUCCGAGAAUGUUGAGAAUAGCAAUGGAGUACAUGAGACCGUUGAAUCACCAACGAUCAAUAACCAGGAUAAUGUGCAUCAGGAAGGCAAUAAUCCUCAUGCAAACAAUAACUCCAACAAAAUAAUGAACGACAAAAUGUUUAUGAGCUUUCUUCAAUUCAUGCAACAUCAGGCAAGAGAGACUCCUGUUCAAAAUGUAGGUGGAAAUACCGGCAACUCUCGAACGGUCACCGCUAAGCAAUUCAAGGAGCUGGGACCACCGAAGUUUUUGGGAAAGCCAAAACCACUUAAGGCGGAGACAUGGUUAAAGCAGAUCACUAAGAUAUUUGAUGUCUUUGGAUGCUCCGAGGAGCAAAAGGUUCCCUUUGCCACCUUCAUGUUGCGAGGAGAGGCAGAUCAUUGGUGGAAAUCUGUAAAAUGUACCCAGCUUGCCACAUUAAAGAUGUCUUGGGAGAAGUUUCAAGAACUGUUCAACGACAAGUACUUUUUCGAAAGUAUUCGUUAGAUGAAGGAGGUGGAGUUCAUCAGGUUGGAAUAAAACAAUAUGACCAAGACGCAGUACGAGGCUAAGUUUGCGGAGUUAUCCCGGUUUGCAUCUCAUUUGGUUGUUAAUGAGGAGAGAAUGACGCGGAUAUUUUUAAGAGGUUUGAAACCUGAGAUAUGUCAAUAUCUCAUUCUCACAAACUUUGCUUGUAUUCAGAUGUUGUGAAUAUUGUAAUAACUCGAUAUUUUCUAUAUAAUUAAAUCAGAAAUUUUACGUAUGAAUUUUUUUAUUUAAUUAUUAAAGUUGGAAAUAUGUGCCAGGUAAUGUGUAUAUGUAUAUAUGUGAUAAAUAAAAUAUAUUUAUUACAUGAAUAAUUACCAAUAGUUUUAUUUUAGAAUUAUUGCUCAUUAUAAAUUAUAUUAUAAUAAUAAUUAGUUUUAUACUAAAAAUGUUUUCAUUAAUUCUAUUCUAUGAAAAUAUGUUUAUAUAUUAUUUAAAAAUUAUAUGAAAUGAUUAUAUAAUUAUUAUAAUGAUUAUUCUAUUUUAUUAUAUGAAUUUAGUUCAGAUUAUUUAAGUUAAUUAUUUUAACUUAAUUAUUAUUGUUAUGUAUGCAAGAUAAAUCAGAUAUGGAAUCCAAACCCUAAUUUUGGAUUUUGAACAAGGAAUGAGAAUAUUAAUAUAAUAUUAAUUAUAUUUUUAUUUUUCAGUGCUAUAAAUAUAUAUGUUAUGUUUGUAAGGUUAAUCUGGGGAGCAAUUUUCUUAUGACCUGAUAAAACCCUAAUUUGAAAGUCAAUUACGACUGUAAAAUUUGUUAAGUCAUUGUGAUAUGUGGUCUAUGAUUUGUAUUAUAAGUAUUAAUGUUAAUUCUAUAAAACCCUAAUUAGUAAUUUAAAACUCUAUUUUUCUUAAAUUAGGAACCCUAAACAGUACUUAGCUAUCCGCUAAGUGAAAACCCUAAUUUAAAACUCAGCUAUGAGUCGAGACUGUUAUGUAACUGUAUUAUUAUGUUUAAGGUUAAGUAUUAUAGAAUUUUAUAUUAAUUAAAGAAACCCUAAUUAACAUUUAGAAAUUCUAAUUUCUAGAAACCCUAAUUUCUAAAUUAGUAACCCUAAUUUGCUAAAACAAAACUCUAAUUGUUAAUUUGGCACGCUUAAUGAUAAUUAGUAAAAUUUAAACCUAAUUUUCAAGUCUAUGUAAUGAGGAAACCAAAUUAAUUAUGAAACCUUAAUUUGUAUUUUUAGAAACUAAAAAUUUCAAUUUUUUUAAAAUUAGAAAUCCUAUAACACUUUGUGCUAACCCUAAGGGUCAAACCCUAAGGGUUUGAUAAGUUACUAGUUUGCCCUUAAAUUGAUUAGCCAAAUGACAAAAAUACCCCUCUUGCAUUAUUGGACAUAACUUGUAAGACUAGCCAAUUUUGAGUUGCUCAACAACUCUUACCAGCCCCAUGUGACUAAAAUGCCAGCAAUCAAGCUCUAGAUAUCAGCCAACUUGAUUUCAUGUUUUAUAUAUAUAGACAUCAAGAGAGAGAAAUUUCAUUUAUUAGCCACAUUUGUACACAAACUCCUUACCAACUCUCUCUCCCAAAACCCAUGAAAUGUUGUAGUAGAUCAGUCCCGUAUUGAAGCCCCACUAACACACUUAAGCAAAUCAGCAGCCAGAAUCAAGAAUUGAUGCUUAAAGGUAUAAAAUCCUAAGUCAAAUUUUGAUCUUGUAUGCUAUAUUGGAUUUGUGGUUUUAAUGUUUAAUCAUGUUGAAUAAGGUGUUAAUAGGUGAUCUGGGUUGGCACAUGUUAGAUCCAUAACAUCAAAGUGCUCGAAAUCUAAGUUUUUCAAAAUAUGGAAAUUUUUGUUUUUGUUGUCUGACAGCGAAUGUCAGGCCUUGUAGAUCUGUGCUUAUUUAUUAUUUUGAUGAUUUAAAUGUUUGAAGUGGUAGUCUGGUAUGAGGUCUUUCAUAUGAAAAUGGAAUCACUGUUAUUGGAUGUCUAGAUCGAAAAUUAUUGAUGGUCAAAGGUCGUUGACUGACCAUGACCGAGUAUGAAUCUGGGCAACCUUGAAAGCUUUUUCAGCGUCUGAAAAUGUUUUGGAAGGCUUAGAUCUGUCAGUGUGUAAAUGAUUUGAUGAUGUUAUAAUAUCCAGUUUAUAGCUUGUCAUAUGUAAUUUAUAUUUGUGGCUUUAUAUCCUUUAAACAAACAAUUGAUCGAACUUAGUGGAUGGUCAAACCUGGCCCCUCGGUCACGAUUUCAUUUCUGGGAAUUUCCAGAAAAUCGAAAGAACAGCCCUCUGACAGGGUUUGACCGAGUAAUAUCUUGUAGAUCUGUUGAUGUUAAACUGAUUUGUUGUUAUAUUAUUGUUCCUGGACAUAAGGACUACAUCUUUGAGGCAUUAGAUCACUUGAAUCAUGAACGGAACCUAGAUUAAAUCGAGGAUGAAAGUGACUGGUCGACCACCUGGGUUUCUGGAAAACCCAGGAAUGCUCUGACAACAUAUUUGCAAGCCUAGAUCUCCUUGUGUGUUUGUUGUAUGACCUAGAUAUUGAUUGCUAGUUAUAGUGUUGUAUAAUGACUUCAAUAUUGAUGCUUAAGUUUGCCCAAAAACGAAUUAGACAGAGAAUUAUUAGUGGUCAAAGUUGACCCCUCAAACACGAAGCUGUCAGUGUUCUUGAGCUCAAGAACACCAACAGCGACGCUUAGUGUCACUAAAGGCCAAUAGCGAUGGUUUCUAAUAUUUUUAAUUUCUGAUUUUCUAGAAAAUACUUAAAAAUAGAAAAUAAAUUAUAAAAAUUACAAAAAUGGUUUUAAAAAUUAUUUUAAAUUAUGAAAAUUAACUUUUAAUUAUUUGGGAUAUUUUUUAUUAAUAUUUAUAAUUAUUUGAAUAUUAUUAAUAUUUAAUUUAUUUAAUUAGUGUAUUAAAUAAAUUAGAGAAAAAUGAUUUUAAUGUUAUAAAAAUCAAUUUAAAUAAGAAUAAAGUGUUUAAAAAUAUUUUUGAGUUAUAUAUGUAACUUUUAAUAUUUUUGUGAUGAAUUUCAUUAAUUAAUUAAUAUUAAUGAUAAUUAAGUUAUUUAAUAAAUGUAUUAAAUAAAUUAUGAAAAAUAGAAAUUAUGAUUUAAAAAUCAUAUAAAAGUGAUUUAAAGAUUAUAAAAAAAUAUUUUAAGUUAUAAAAUAUAACUUUUGAUAUUUUGUCAUGAAAAAUAUUAAUAAUUUUAUAUUAAUAAUAUUAGAUUUAUUUAAUGAUUAUAUUAAAUAAUUUAGUUUAAAAUGAUUUUAUUAUUAUAAAAUUAUUUUAAAUGAAAAUAAAGUGUUUAAAGAUAUUUUAAGUUAUAAAAUAUAACUUUUAAUAUUUAAAGGAUAAUUUCAUUAAUAAUUUAAUAUUAAUGAUAUUAAUUUAAGAUUUAUUGAUAUUAAAUUUAUUCAAUAAUUAUAUUAAAUAAAUAGUUUUAAAAUGGUUUUAUUAGUUUAAAAAUUAUUUAAAAAGGAUAUAAAUGAAUUAAAAAUAUUUUAAGUUAGAAUUAAUAACGUUUAAUAUUUGGAUAAAUAGUAGAUUAAUAUUUUAAUAUUAAUGGUAAUUAUUUAAAAAUGAUUUUAAAUGUUUAAAAAAUUAUUUAAGGGUAAUAUUAGCACUUUAAAAAUAUUUUGAGUUAUUAUUAAUAACUUUAAUAUUUUGGCAAUGGUUUCAUUAAUAGUUUAAUAUUAAUUAAAUAUUAAUGAUAAUAUGAUUAUUUACUAUUUAAAUCAUUUAAUUAUGAUUCUAGUGUUUGAAAAUUCAUAAUAAAUUAUAAUAAAUGUUUAAAAAUUAUUAUAAGUCAUUUAAAAAUAAUAUGACUGAUAUUUGUAGAUAUUGAGAUACAGGAUAGAGUCUUAGACUCGAUAUUUACCUGAUAAAGCCGUCGGUAGACCGACAUGUUUCAAAAAUUGAUCUAGACUUAGAUAUUUUGACUGUAUUAAUAUUUGUUUGUGAUUCAAUGACUGUUGAAUAUGUGUGACAAUGUGAUUAGGUUAUAUGCUGACUGCAAUAAGCAGUGCUAUGUUAUUCUAAUCGAACGAAUGAUCUUAUUAAUGAUAGAUUUUGGUAUUAAAGAUAAAACUAAGUUGCGUAUUGUAAGCAGCAGACCAGGCAAGUAUCAUAUAUUUGCAUUUUGUUUAUGUGACGCCCCCAAAUCCGGGUUAUCUUUAACUCGGGUUUGGUGCUUACGAUUCUAGAAUACCCAUUCAUACUAAAAAUAAAACUGUCUUAUAUUACAUAAACAUUGAACUUAAAUCCCAGGUUCUAGAGACCUUUACAUACAAGCCAAAUAUUAUUACAUCAUAGUGCUACAGUAUUUAUUACAUGCACUACUUAGGUUCAUUUAAGCACAUGCGCUUAAUAAUUGACUACUCAACAACCUUGCCCUUUCCUUUGUCUUUUCCAGAUGGACCGGCAACCUCAAUUUUAACUGAAAACAUUAUAUUUAACGCAAGGGUGGGCAACAAGUUUGCCCAGCAAGGAAAUAAGCAGCUAAAUAUAAGAGAACAAAAAUAUUACAGUAAUGGGGAUAUCAUACAGAAGGUAUAGAACAAAGUAAUUCUUAAGAGUGUUGAGUCAAAAGUCAGGAUUUAUCAUGCUGUAAGGUCAAAUGACCAGUGAACACUAUACUAGAAUUUACAGUAAUAAUACUGCAAUCUAUGAAUACAAACAGUUAUAAAGCUGUUUUAUAUCCUAGACUCGUACUUCAGGGGAUCAGCCUAAGUACCCUAUAUUGUGCACAACAUAACAGUCUAAUAAAACUUUACAUGUCCUUCAGAAUCAUAUAUACGGUACAAUACGCCCCUAAAAAAGGGUUGUUCGUUCACAGCAUUAUAUAAGAAUCCAUACCACAAUAACAAAAUGGUUUGGAAAGAAUUAACUGAUAAAUUCAUAAACAAUAUCAAUAUAUCUCAACCUUUGUCCAAGCGAAGUAAUGGUAUUGACAUACUUUCAAUAUAACUUUUAUUCAAGAUAGAAAAGUUGAUAUACUAUUCUUUUGAAGCUGAUUGGAAUAAAAAGGCUAUUUAACCUUAUAUUAUUCAUAAAUAAGGACAAACAGUUCAGAAAUUAAAGAACCUGUCCACUGCAGAAUAUUUGCUCAAUAAAGAGUAAGGAUUAGAAACUUGCCUUGUUUGUAGUCUAUCGUUUAGGAUUUCAGCUUAAUUGAAGUAUUUCUCAAAGUCCUACACAGUUAUUUGUAUUAACAAGCAUGUUAAUCACAUAGCUAUGUUAUAUAGUUUGUAAGCUCACAUAUCACAUAAUUUCAGUGAUUAUGGUUGUAGUUAAAUUAUUAUUUUUGAUACAUUUUUCAAAUAUCUCAUCCAUGCUUUCAAGAGACAUUUUUCACUUUGAUGGGUUUCAACAAGCUUUCAACAAGUAAUAGAAAUCAUAUUACAGUCAUCAUUUGCAUUAACCAAGUAUGUUAGCCACAUAGCUAAGUCAUAUAUCAUGUAGUUUUAAUGGUCAUGGUUAGAUUUCCUAUAUUUGAUACAUUUUUCAAAUACCUCAUCCAUGCUUUCAAGAGACAUUUUUCACUUUAUUAGUGUUCAAUAUGCAAUACUUUACAACUACCAUCUCCAUUUCCUUAGUAACAUAGUAUAUAAUCAUUUUAUGUUUCCUUUACUUAAUUUCUAGCAUAUAAGGUGUUUUCAUAGCUUAUUGUCGGUUUUGAAGGUAUUUCUUAUAUGUAUGGUUAACCUAUAGUCUUCCUCAUAGUUUAUAGAUUCAUUUUGACACACCAGUGUAUCAAUUAUCACUGUUUUCACCUAUGAUGCUAAAACAGCCCUUUGAGGCUUUAAUUUUUUUAAACAUGACUUAAUGAUCCCAAUUUAGGUUUACUGUUUAUAUUAGAUUUCAUUUAGAAUUUUUCUCCUACACUUGCUUGCAUCAUAACUCUACUCAUUUAGAGAAACAUAAUCUAUCCUUUAUAGAUAAUCUGGUUACUAAAACUAAAUUUGGAUUCAAACAUGAAUUUUACAAAACAGUCAUUAUUGUAGCUGCUAUACCACAACUGUUGUUUCCCAUUCUACUUGUUGUGGCUAUUGGUAUCAGCUAUAUGCUGCCACUAUUAGGCAGUAAGUCACAUCACUCAUGCCCAAAAAUGCUUCUAAAUUAACCUUUUCAGCUGGCUUUGCAGGCUUUGCAGCCCUUAAUUGAGCCUUACAGCUCAAUAAUCUCUGUAACACAUUUCAGUUAUUAGUCUUAUCUUAUAACUUGCUAUUCCAUUAACAUUUUCUAUGUAUGAAUGCACUGCCAACUGCUACUGCUGGUGUUGCUGUUGCUGCCAAUGGGCAGCGACUAUUAUUUUCUUACCAUAAGCUGUUUGGUCUGUUUCAAGUGCUGCAGUCACAUGUCAUCAUGCUCCAUCAACUAGAGUAAACAAAAAUGCAUGAACUUAACUUACUAACUGCAGCCCAAGAAAAACAAACUCAGCUGUCAAAAUGACAGUGCAGUCAUCUACUUGAAGUUGCCAAGGACAACAGCUAUCCGAAGCUUUUUGCUACUGUCAUUAGCAGCCUCCCUUGCUCCUUAACCCAUUCCCAACAAUCCUCUAACCUCAGUUUUGCUAUAUUUCUAGGAAUAGGCCUCAUGGCUAUAAUCUUUUAGAGUUAUAAGGUUAUCCCAGUUGGCCUAUUAAGCUUUGGCUCCUUGGUUUAGUGACUGUUUCAACAGAGUAGGCAAAGGAGUUUGUCAAGCUAGAAUUACUUAGCCUAAAAACUGAACUAUGCUAAAAAUUUCUAUGCCAAAACAUUACAGUCAUCACAUAUGUUGGGUAAAUCAGGUAAAUAGUGUACUAGUUCUACUAUUCAGUUUCUUUUUACUAAAACAGUCCUCUUAGGUCUUUUAUCAAACAGUUGGUGGGCAUGGUUAUAAGCUACUAGUUCCAUAGCCAUUUGUUUAUAUUCCAACUCAUAUUUUCCCCUUAUUACUCCACAGCCCACUUAUCUCCUUGUGCUUAAAUUAUAACAAUAUCAUAAUGGCAUAACAAUCAAUGAAAUGUUACAACAGUUUAUAUAUAGCAGCUUAACACCCACAUAGCAGUCCUCAAAUCCAUACUAGGCCUUUUAGGCUAAAUGAUCAAAACAGUCCUUAAGUUUUUAACACAAGGAUUAAUAUAACAUGUACAUACUAUGUUUUAUGGUUUAAAGACCCCAAUACCAACCAUCCUGUCUUGACACUAUAACAGCUUUAGACUAGCAAUUUGGUCAUGGUUUAUCACACCAAACCAAUAGCAAGCACUGAUAUGUAUGCCUUUCUAACACUAAAACAUUUUACCUACCAUAUUUUCAUGGUUUAAAGCAUCUAGAGGCAAGGUCCUUAAGUUUAAAAUCAAAACAGCCUCUCAUAGGCUUUUAAAGUAAUAUAAGAUAGCAUGCUUGGGCAACAUGAAAACAAGGACUGCCUACUAUGAAUAUAUUAGAAGUAAGGCAUGAUCAUCAUAAUAAACUUCUAAUAACAGUCCACAUAAUGCAAUAACAGUUCAUAUAAGGCAAUAAUAAUUUAUAUAGCAACUAAAGUCCUUCUAACAGUCAUUUAUGCUUAUUCUAGUCACCACAACAAGUAUACUGUCUUAGUCCAUUCUGUAUACUAGUUCUGGGCAUGGUAAUAUAUUUUACAAUCAUAAAUAACCAACCAUCUUGGACUCCUUUCCAGCCACACUGUUUUGCCAUUAUAGCAGUUUUAGACUAGCACCUUAGGCACAGUUCAUCACAGCAAAACAGUAGCAACAUAGCAUAGCGUAUCAGUCCAGUUAUUACAAUAACAGUUGGUAUAUCACAAGGAUGAUGCUACAGCUAUUCAAGUCUCUUUUAGGCCAUUUUGGCAAGGUUUUAGUAAUAAGUUAUCAAAGCGGUCAUUAGUGUGCAAUACAAAGAUUAUUACCUCAUGUACAUGCUAUAGAAUAUAUGUUCAUGUUUUAAGAGCCUAUAUACAAGGUUUCUUGCUGUUAGUUCAUAACAAUCCCUUAUAGGCUUCAAUUUAAUACACGGAAGCAUGAUCUGAAAAAUUUAGUUAUCAAAAUAACAUGUUUAAACAUAAACAUAUACUCGAGGUAUUCUUUUUCUUUCUAUAUAAUCAAGUAGACAUGCUAUUAGGCUCUAUUUACAGCUAGCAUACCUUGAUACCAUAACAGUCCAAUUAGAGCAAUAUUUUAGGCAUGGUCUAUUACAACAAAAUGGUAGCAAGCACUGACAUGUUUUCCUUUCUAACACAGGCACCUUUUAUUUAUCAUAUAUUCAUGAUUUAAAACAUCUAAAGGCAAAAUCUCUUUGCUUUAAGCCAACACAGCCCUCUUUAGGACCCACUUUCCAAAAAUAACCAUGGUUUACCCUUAUGUUUACAAGGAUAACAUGGAUGUGCAACAUAGAAGUUUAGACUAUCUUCUUUAUAUGGUAUUUAAGAUGCAAAAAUAUAUUUGGAUGUCAUAGAAUGCCUUACCCCAUAUAUAUCAGUCCUUAUUAAGCCUCAAAUCUAGCAUACCAGUUUCUCAGAAUAGUGGCCAAGUCUUGGUUAAUUGCUUAGAUUACAUAUAUGCUAGUAUACAAUAGUUAUACCCAAUACAUCAUGCCACAUAUAACAUAUAAGCAGUCCUUUAUUAAUAAUCAUAGCAUAACAGUCCAUUUAACAUCAUAGCAAUUCAUAUGGUAACACAGAUCAUGCUAACCGAAAUCAUAAUAUCAUUAACUUUUUAGCAGCUCCUUAGCUUGACAAAUUAUCAAACACCUAGAGUGCAGUCUAUAUACUUGCACUUAAUACAUAAUUUCUAGCCCUCUGCCCCCAGCCGUAUGGCUUAAACAAUAUCAAGCAUAAGACCACACUUAUCAGUACCAAACCCAGCAGUUCAAAUAACAUGAAAGCAGUCAGUUAUCAUAACAGCCAUACACGUUUUUGGUCAUUGACAAUUCAUUUUACUAAUUAAUUUAAUAGCCAUCCUAAUCAUUUAUCAAUUCAGUUGUUACCCGGAAUGAAUGGAAAGAUUAGAAAGGCCAGAAUUGGCUUACCUUGCUGAUUCGAAGGUAUCAAGUGGUUGAGCUGCUUAAUUCCUUUUCCCCUCUAGCCGAACUCUUCACUCUUACUCUAUAUGACCGUUGCUGCUAAUUCUUUUGGACUCAGUUAAGUGAUGAGGCUAAUUGAUUUUGGGUAAUAACCUGGCCUUUUUAUGGCUGAGCUUAGCUUCCUUACAGUUGAUCGCAUCACCUUCUACUUGCCCCCUAACAUAUAAUCUAUUACCUCUAGCAGUUAGACUGCUCUGCAGCCACCCUACAAGACCCUAGUCUCUCUGCCAUGCCUUAUCUGUUGCUAACCUGUCUACUAACUAAUAACUGACUAACUUAUAGACUAACUACUGCUAACAACAGAACAGCCUCAGCUCCUAAGUUUACCCCUGUGGGCUGUUGGAAAAAAUCCUAAGGCAAGGCUGGGCAGUGGUUUCAUUUUGGGCCUAGUCCCUUUAACCCAAAGUUUUACUUGUUAAUUUGCUAUACUCCAAUGGGUUUACAGGAUUGGGUUUUGGACAUCCAUUUCACUCUUUAACACUUGGAGCUGCCGAAUUGGGCUAGCAAAUAGACUACAUGCAACGAUCAUGGCAAAAUUAUUAAGGCCCAAUAUUUUAAUAUGGACUCUUGUUACAUUAAAACACAUGGACUAUUAUUUUCUCUAGCAACAAUAGUUAUAACAUAUAUCAUUAAAAUGACUAUUCUAUGUAAUCUUAAAUAAUUCAUGAUGGCACAUAAUUUCUUUGCCCUUUAUAACUCAAGAUGCUAAACGAACUAUUAAAUAAAUAAUAUUUUUAUCACAAUGAGAAUUAACAUAUCAUAAAAAAAAAUUUAUACUCAAAAAUUGACAUUACAAUAAUUAAAUAUUACAUAGGAUGAACUACAGGCCAAUGAGGACUUUUACCACAUCAUUCGUCACAUUACGGUCAUUAUUAUACCGAAUCAUCCCUGGUCAUAAUCAUACCAAGUCCAUCUAUGCACGUAAGCCAAAGAUGACUUUCAUCACAAUAUAAGCAUGAGGAUGAUGACAAUAAUAUAAGCAUUAAUCAAACGAAAAUAAUGAUAAAUUUUAAAGACUUUAAAUUUAUCCAAAUGUUUAUCAAUCACUUAAUAAACUCAUAAUCUAAUAUUAUUAAUAUUAUAACAAUAUUUUAAUCACUUCUUGAACUUAUAAACAAUUUAUUCUAAUUGUUUACACUUUCCCAAAUAAUACAUUUUAAUCAUUCAAAAAUACCAUACUCAUAAGAUUUCAUCACCAAUGAUCAAAUCCCUUAUCAAAAAUCUGCAUAUACCUUAUAUAGGAUUUCCAAGCCAUAAAAUCCAUUUUACCAAUUUUUCAACUUCACAUAACAUAUUUAAUUCAUAUGUUCGUAACUAAACUAUUUUCAUGAAAAAUACCAAAUCAGUCCAAAAAAUUAUUCUUUUUUGGGAUUUAGCAGAAUAUAGUCCCAUAUUGAACAUAUAUUUUUCUCAUAAUUUUUAAAAUUCAUUUACUAUUUUUCAUAUGGCCAAAACUGCCGAAUAUUUAGACAUUUAUCAUAAAUUGUACUUUUGUCCAAAAAUUCCGAAAUUUACAAGGUAUACUCCUAUUAUAUAUGUGUACUCCCAAUAAAAAUUUAACCAAUUUUGGAGUUAACCACAAGGAGUUAUAAGGGUUUACUUUUAAAAUAGUUUUUUCCCAUAAAAUUCAUAACUCCUAAUCUAUACAUCCAAAAAUUGCCAUUUUUGGACACAAUCUAGAAAUCUCAACAAACUAUCAUUUCAAAUGUUUCCAAAAUUUUUGAGGGUCAGAAAAAUUACGAAACUGCAAAUAGAUUUUCACCCGUCAUUCGGUAAUCCAGGUAGACAGAUCAUUUCCACAAUUUAAUAAGGAAUGAAUACAAAGGAUCAUUCACCAUGCAUGCGGUAAUCCACAUAGACAGGUUAUUCCAACAGAAUAAUAAAAAAUAGAAUAACAACAGAAUUCACCAGGCAUACGGUAAUCCGCGUAUACAGGUUAUUCCAAUAGAAUAAUAAAUAAUGGAACCAGGUCAUGCGUAAUCCGCAUAGACAGGAUAUUCCAACAGAAUAAUAAAGAAUGGAAUAACAACAGAAAUUCACCAAGCAUACGGUAAUCCGCGUAUACAGGUAAUUCUAACAGAAUAAUAAAGAAUGGAAUAACAAUAGAAUUCACCAGGCAUACGAUAAUCCGCGUAUACAGGUUAUUCCAACAGAAUAAUAAAGAAUGGAAUAAUAGAAAAUUUUCACCACGUAUGCGGUACUUCGCAUAGACAGGUUACUCCAAUAUAAUAAUAAAGAAUGAAAUAACAAAAGAAUUUCACCAUGUAUGCGAUACUUCGCAUAAACAGGUUAUUCCAACAUAAUAAUAAAGAAUGGAAUAACAACAGCUCUCUUCAUGAAUACGAAAGAAAUAAUAAUACCCCUUACCUUAGAAGAAACUGGAUACUGGAAUAGUGAGGUAGCAGGCUUCUCUUCUUCUUUCUCUCUAUAAUUUCUCUCUAUAAUAAUUGCUCUAUAGCUUUAGUGAAUUGGUGAGAAAUGAAGGAAGAAUGAGCUUCUGUUUAUAGGAAAACAUAGUUUCAAUAAUUGCACAUUUUGGGGCUCGAAAUAUUACAUUAUAAUACCUUCCUCUUUUUCUUUAUUUUUAAUUUAGCCCUGCAAGUAUUAUCAAACUUGCACCACCUCCUCUAAUAGUAAAUCAUGUGAAUUAAUAGUAAAUCAUGUGAAUCAAUAGUUCUAGACAUGUGAAAAUACGAAUUACAGUAUAGUACCUCCAUCUAUACCUCUAUUUUUAACUUAGUCAUGCAAGUAUUAUCAAUCUUGCACCAACUCCCCUAAUAGUACCAUAAUGUGAAUCAAUAGUACACACAUGUGAACAAAUAGUUAUAAUCAUAUGAAUUAAUAGCAAUUAAAAGCUCAUUUAUCCGGAUAAUUACCCGAUUGGUCAAUAUAACCUCCAGACAUCAAUUAUCAUCGAAAUAAAUGUCGAUUCCCACUAACACUAAUAAUUCCAACACAAUGGAACUAUCAAUUUCAUCUUUAAUCAACACAAAUUUAUUCAUCAUUAAUAUUAUAACUCAUAAUAUUUAACAACAAGAUCGUUCCCAGGAAAGAGGGGGCCUUCCGGUAAGGAUUUCUCCUCACUGGUGCGCAAUUACCUAACCUCUCCUUGACAGAACUUCUAGACAUUGUCAAUAUUGCAAUUUAAUAAUAUUAAUAAGUUUACCAUCUUAAUUAUUUAUUUAAUAAUAUAACAUAUUAUGCAGAUGAUACUGUGACAAUAAUUGAAUCAAUAAUAUGAGAGAUAUGAUGUAAUAAUUACUGUAGCAAUAAUUGAGUAUAACUGAGUGACUUCUUACGUAAGCAUUAAUAAUCAAUACCGUGUGCUACUCAAUUCGUCAGCUACCACGUUCGCUCUUUCAUGAUGAUAUUGAAUGGUACGAUCGUAAUCUUCUACAGCUCAAGCCAACGUCUUUGGCACAUUAUACGAUUAUUUUAGGUAAAGAAAUAUUUGAGGGUUUUAGAAAUGAGUUUUGUACUUGGGUCAAUACAAAAUAUGAUUUCACGCUCUGGGGUAGGCAAGGAAGUUCUUCGAGAAUACGUCAGAAUAUUUAUUAACAAUAGAAAUAUCAUUUAAAAACUGUGACUCUCAUCCAAGACUUGGACAACACAUGAAAUGAAGGUUUCUACUAACGAAGUUUCAACCAAUAAGUCAAAGUCUAACUUCUCUGGGGUCAAAUUUAAAUGUUGAGCGCAAGCAAGAGAGAUAAAAGAAUGGGUAGAACCGGUAUCUAAUAAGGUAUAGACUUCGCAAAAAUUUAUAAUUAACUAACCCGUGCUAACUUCGUUCGGGUUACUCGCUUUUUGAGAAGUCAUGAAAAACGCUCUUCCUGAAACCACCGACUUUGUUUUGUCCAUAUCCGCCUUUGGUGCCACCGUCCCAGCUGGACUUGACUUUGGUGCACGACAAAAUCGGGCUAAGUGUCCUUUUCCAUAAUUAUAACAUGUUUUGGACUGCAUCACGCAGUUUGGACUGAUAUGUCCCUCCCCUCCGCAUUUGAAGCAUACAAUUGGUGGUCGUUCUCCUUCCUUGAAAACGGGUGUUGGUGCUGCUGUCUUUGCAUCUUUGUUGAACCUUCUCUUCUUGAAAUUUCCACUCCUAUUAUCUUGGUCAUGAUUACCACCGAAGUGGUUACCAUUCUUGGUGUAAGACCCCAACUUUUAUGAAUAAAAAAUGAAUUUUCUAUAAAUAUCAUUUUUGAAUAUUAUGGAGUAAAUUUGAUAUAAUGUUAUAGUUGUGGGUAAUAUUUAUAAAUUUUGAAAAGUACGCAAGUUGUUAUAUAAUAUUCGUUUGGUCGGAAAAUAUUCUUUUUGUCGGGAAUAUCCGUACGACGACACAAUCAUUGGUGGACCCCCACAACGGAAGUAUUGUCGUAGUAAGAAAACGACAGAAUUAUCUUUUUAUAAAAAUAACGGCUAAAGUUUUACCGUUAAAACUGUUGAACUACUCGGUAGUAAAAGUACAGUAAUACGUGUGGUUGCAUAGUAGCACACGAUAUUGAUUAUUAAUACUUACGUGAGAAGUCACUCAGUUAUACUCAAUUAUUGCUAUAGUAAUUGUUGCAUCAUAUCUCUCAUAUUAUUGAUUCAUUUAUUGUCACAGUAUUAUCUGCAUAAUAUGUUAUAUUAUUAAAUCAAUAAUUGAGACGACAAAGUUAUUAAUAUUAUUAAAUUGCAAUAUUGACAAUGUCUAGAAGUUCUGUCAAGGAGAGGUUAGGUAAUUGCGCGCCAAUGAGGAGAAAUCCUUACCGGAAGGCCCCCUCUUUCCUGGGAACGAUCUUGUUGUUAAAUAUUAUGAGUUAUAAUAUUAAUGAUGAAUAAGUUUUGUUGAUUAAAGAUGAAAUUGAUAGUUCCAUUGUGUUGGGAUUAUUAGCGUUAGUGGAAAUCGACAUUUAUUUUGAUGAUAGUUGAUGUCUGGGGGUUAUAUUGAUAAAUCGGGUAAUUUAUCGGAUAAAUGAGCAAUUAAUUGCUACUAAUUCACAUGUUUAUAUAACUAUUUGUUCACAUGUGUGUACUAUUGAUUCACAUUCUGGUACUAUUAGGGGAGUUGGUGCAAGAUUGAUAAUACUUGCAUGACUAAGUUAAAAAUUGAGGUAUAGAUGGAUGUACUAUACUGUAAUUCGUAUUUUCACAUAUCUAGAACUAUUGAGUCACAUGAUUUACUAUUAAUUCACAUGAUUUACUAUUAGGGGAGUUGGUGCAAGAUUGAUAAUACUUGCAGGACUAAAUUAAAGAUAAAGAAAAAGAGGAAGGUAUUAUACUGUAAUAUUUUGAGCCCCAAAACGUGCAAUUAUCAAAACUAUAUUUUCCUAUAAAUAGAAGCUCAUUCCUUCAUUAUUUUUCACUAAUUCACUAAAGCUAUAGAGCAUUUAUUAUAGAGAGAAAUUAUAGAGAGAAAGAAGAAGAAAAGUCUACACUUCACUACUCCAGUAUCCAAUCUUCUUUGAGGUAAGGGGUAUUAUUCUUUCGUAUUCAUGAAGAGAGUUAUUUUUUUUCAAUACUCGUUAUUCCAUUCCUUAUUAUUAUGUUGGAAUAACAUGUCUAUGCGAAGUACCGCAUACAUGGUGAAAUUCUUCUAUUAUUCCAUUCUUUAAUAUUCUGUUGAAAUAUCUUGUUUGUGCGUUUUACGCAAGACCUGGUUCCAUUAUAUAUUAUUCUGUCAGAAUAUCUUGUCUGUGCUUUACGCAUGACCUGGUUCCAUUAUUUAUUAUUCAGUUUGAAUAACAUGUAUACGCGGAUUACCGUAUACCUGGUGAAUUUUGUUGUUAUUACAUUCUUUAUUAUACUCAGUUGGUUAAAGUUUUGGCUUUUAUACUCUAUGAAAUUAGUGGAAUAUCCUUGAUAUUUGCGCUUCAUCCAAUAUCUUUUCAUGGAAAUAUUCUUCUGAGCAUUCUUGAAUUUUACAUCACAAAGCAGUAUCAUGUUGACAUUUUGGACGUUAUUGGUUCCUGGAUAAAUUAAUUCUUGAACUUGUUUUAUUGAAUUCUUAUAUCAUUAUCAUCAUCCUCAUGUUUAUAUUCUGUUGAGAGUCAUCUGUGGCCUGUAGUGCAUAGAUGGACUUGGUAUGAUUAUGACCAGGGAUUAUUCGGUAUAAUCAUGACUGUAAUAUUACAAAUAAUAUGGUAAAAGUCCUCAUUGGCCGUAGUGCAUUGUUGGACAAUUGUUGGUAUGAUCAUGACCAUUGAUGAAUACACGAAUAUCCUUGGUCGUAGUGCAGGGAUGAUGUUGAUUAUUUAUUAACCUGAGUCUCAGCGAUGAAAAUGAUGAAAAACCUUUUUAAAUCAUAGAAGAUAAUAGAUUUUAUGCUCUAUUUGACUCUUUUAAUGGAUUGCUUAUUUUCGCUGCAGUUUUUGAUCUAAAACUUGUUGUUUAUUAUAUUCUAUCAGUUGUUAUACUGUUGAAGGCUAAGGAUAAUUUAUUCUGCAUUAACUUAGUCAUAAUAUUUCUUACUGGGCUUGUUGAGCUCACCCUUUUCUUUCAUGGUUCUCUUCAGGAAAUGAGAACGUAGCUGAGACUAGUCAGGGAACAGAGUGACGGCCCAGAUGUUUGCAUUAAUUGUCCUCACUAUUCUGUGAAAUAGUGUGAUAAUAAAUGUAAUGAGGACUCCAUUGAGUGUGGAUAUUGUCUAGAUGACAAUAUUCUUCUUAAAACUCUUAGAUUAUGUUUUGUCGUAUUUUACACGACUGUUGUAUAAUUAAGUUGUAUUUGAAUUUUGUACCAUAUAUCCGGCGACUCAAGAUGGGUGAUGUAUACCUAUUUUGAGGGCAUCAUAGUUGGUAUCAAAGCUUAGGGAUAUGAUCCCUGGUUGAGAUGUGAGAUAAGAACUAGGAGGGGAGAGACGGGGAAUUCCUUUGUUAGUAUAACCUACCUAAGUUUAUUUGGUAUUUAAUUGGUCGGUCACAAUAUAUGGAUAAUAUGUGACAUGUCAAUUAACCCUUGUUUUGUGACAGUAUUUGAAAAUGGCAUCCGAAAAUGUUGAGAAUAGCAAUGGAGCACAGGAGACCGUUGAGUCACCAUAGAUUAAUACCCAGGAUAAUGUGUAACAGGAAGAAAAUAAUCCUCAGGUAAACAAUAACACCGAUGAAAUGGGGAACGAUGGGAUGUUCAGAGGCUUUAUGCAAUUCAUGCAACAUCAGGCGAGGGCGGCUCCUGUCCAAAAUGCAGGUGGAAACACUGACAACUCUCGGACGGUCACCGCUAAGCAGUUCAAGGAGCUGGGACCACCGGAGUUUUUUGGAGAGCCAAAACCACUUAAGACAGAGACGUGGAUAAAGAAGAUCAACAGGAUAUUUGAUGUCUUGGGAUGCUCCGAGGAACAAAAGGUUCCUUUUGUCACCUUCAUGUUGCGAGCAGAGGCAGAUUACUGGUGGGAAUCCGUAAAGCGUACUCAACUUGCCGCACUGAAAAUGUCUUGGGAGAAGUUCCAAGAACUGUUCAACGAAAAGUACUUUCCCGAAAGUAUUCGUCAAAUGAAAGAGGUAGAGUUCAUCAAGCUUGAGCAAAAAAAUAUGACUGUGGCGCAGUACAAAGCUAAGUUUGUCGAGUUAUCUCGGUUUGCGUCCCACUUGAUUGAUAAUAAGGAGAGAAUGACGCGGAUGUUUUCAAAGAGGUUUGAAACCCGAGAUACGUCAAUACCUAAUUUCUCACAAACCGUGUUUGUAUUCAGAUGUUGUGAAUAGGGCUCAGUUAUUGGAGCGCGAUAAUGAAUCAACCCAACCAAGAGAGAGCAGCCGACAAGUCGAUAAUACCAGUGGUAGCAGUCAUCGAAGCGGUGACAACAAGCGUGGAGGGAAUCAACAUGCCAAAAAUGGUAAUCACUUCGGUGGUAAUCAUGGCCAUGACAAUAAGAGUGGACAUUUCAAGAAGACGAGAUUCAACAAUGAUGGAAAGACGUCAGCACCAGCACCUGUUGUUAAGGAAGGAGAACAAUCGCCGGUCGUAUAUUAUAAAUGCGGAGGGGAGGGACAUAUCAGUCCAAACUGCGUGAUGCAGUCCAAAGCAUGUUACAAUUGUGGAAGAGAAGGUCACCUAGGCUGAUUUUUUCGUGCACCAAAGUCAAGUCCAGCUGGGAUGGAGGCAUCAAAGGCCGUCCCAGACAAGACAAAACCGGUAGUUCAACGGAGAGCGUUUGUCGUAACCUCCCAAAAAGUGAGGAAUCCGAAUGAGGUGAUCACGGGUAAGCUAAUCAUAAACUCUAGCAAAGUCUAUACCUUAUUUGAUACCGGCUCUACCCAUUCUUUUAUUUCUCCUAUUUGCGCUCAACGUUUAAAUUUGACUCCGAAGAAGUUAGACUUUGACUUAUCGGUUAAAACUCCAUUGGGAGAAACCUUCAUUACAUCCACUAUUUAUAAGUCUUGUUUGAUUCAAAUCGGUAACCGUACAUUACCUGUCGAUCUUUUUUCUUUGAAAAUACUUGCAUUUGAUGUGAUUUUAGAGAUUAAUUGGUUAACUACUCAUCAUGCUAAAAUCGAUUGUUUUCGUAAGGUUGUUAGCUUUCAUAUUCCUAACCAACCUAUUAUGCGAAUUCAAGCAACCAAACAACUAAAAUCAAUCACUAUCAUAUCAAGCCAUAAAGCUAUUCAUUUAUUAAAAAAUGGAUGUCAAGCUUUCUUAGCCCAUGUCACGGAUUUAAAUAAAAAUACGUCAGAUUUGAAUGAUAUUUCUAUUGUUCAUAAAUUUCCUGACGUAUUCCUUGAAGAAAUUCCUGGCCUACCCCUAGAGUGUGAAAUUGAAUUUUGUAUCGACCUUGAAUGUGGUACAAAACCCAUUUCCAAAGCCCCAUAUCGAAUGGCUCCUAUUGAACUUCAGGAGUUAAAAACCUAACUACAGGAAUUAUUAGACAUCAGUUUCAUUCGUCCUAGUACAUCUCCUUGGGGUGCUCCUGUUCUAUUCGUGAAGAAGAAAGAUGGAAGUAUGCAACUUUGUAUUGAUUAUCGGGAGUUGAAUCAUGUCACCAUCAAAAAUAGGUACCCGUUGCCUCGCAUUAAUGACCUGUUUGACCAGUUGCAAGGAGCUAAAUUCUUUUCAAAGAUUGAUCUUCGUUCCGGAUAUCAUCAGUUGAAGAUUAAAACUGAUGACAUUCCAAAGACUGAUUUCAGAACUCGGUAAGGGCAUUAUGAAUUUCUAGUCAUGUCUUUUGGAUUGACUAAUGCUCCUGCUGCCUUCAUGGACAUGAUGAACCGAGUAUUCAAGGAAUAUUUGGAUCACUUUGUGGUCGUCUUUAUUGAUGACAUCCUCAUAUACUCCAAAAGCCGUGAAGACCAUGAUCAACACUUGAGGCUGAUACUUCAAAAACUUCGUGAGAACAAGCUUUAUGCCUAGUUAAAGAAAUGUGAGUUCUGGCUUGAGGAAGUUGCAUUCCUUGGGCACGUGAUAUCAAAUCAUGGAAUAUCUGUUGAACCAGCAAAGAUUGAAGGAAUCCAAAGCUAGGAGCAACCAAAGUCAGUGACUGAAAUACGUAGCUUUCUUGGCUUAGUUGGUUAUUAUCGGAGAUUCGUGGAAGGAUUUUCUCGAAUCGCUACUCCAUUAACUCAGCUGACUCGAAAAGAUACAAAGUUCAGUUGGAGCGAGAAAUGUGAGAAGAGUUUUCAAGAACUCAAGAGAAGACUCAUUUCAGCACAUGUUCUGACAAUACCAUCUGGCUCGGAGGGAUUUGUCAUCUACAGUGAUGCUUCAGGCAAAGGGGUUAGGAUGUGUUCUCAUGCAACAUGGAAAAGUCAUAGCCUAUGCCUCACGACAACUCAAAGAAUAUGAGAGGAAUUAUCCUACUCAUGAUCUAAAGUUGGCAGCAGUCGUUUUUGCGCUUAAGAUUUGGAGGCAUUACCUGUAUGGAGAGAAGGUGGAGAUCUAUACGGAUCAUAAAAGCCUCAAAUAUUUCUUCACUCAAAAGGAACUCAACAUGCGGCAAUGACGAUGGCUUGAGCUGUUAAAAGAUUAUGAUCAUACCAUCCAAUACCAUCCUGGAAAAGCGAACGUAGUAGCUGACGCAUUGAGUAGAAGAUCAUAUGCGGGUACGAGUGCAAUAUUGUCAACGCUAAGACCCAUUUUGUAUGACUAACGAAGGAUGGAGAUAGAGUUAAAAACUCCAGGGACCCAUGUGAUAAUGACGGAUAUACGAGUAGAACCGACUUUAAUCAAUAAAGUUAAAGCUGCUCAAGCUACAGACCUGGAGCUGAUGCAUAUGAGGAAGAAAGUGCAAGAAGGUGCUAUUCCAGAAGCAAGAAUCGAUGAAGAAAGAAUACUUCGAGUCAACUCCAGACUUUGUGUUCCUAACGAUUUUGACUUGAAGUAUAAAAUCAUGAUGGAGGCAAACAACACACCGUUUGCAAUCCAUCACGGGAGUACCAAAAUGUAUCGUGAUCUUCGACAUACAUUUUGGUGGAGCAAUAUGAAGAGAGAGAUAGCGGGGUUUAUCUCAAGGUGUCUAACUUUUCAACGAGUCAAGGCGGAGCAUCAAGUGCCAAAAGGUCCAUUGCAACCACUUGAAAUUCCAGAAUGGAAGUGGGAGCACAUUACCAUGGAUUUCGUUACUGGUCUUCCCAAGGUUUCCCAAGGCGUAGAUGCGAUUUCGGUCAUUGUUGAUAGAUUGACCAAGUCUACUCAUUUCUUACCGAUACGAGAAACUUAUACACUUGAACGUCUUGCUAGUAUGUACAUAAAUGAGAUUGUAAGAUUGCAUGGCAUGCCAGUAUCCAUAGUUUCUGAUCGAGACCCAAGAUUCACUUCAAGAUUUUGGGUUAGUGUGACGCCCCCAAAAUAGGUCCACACGAACCAUUCUGAGUCGCCAGAUAUCACACUAUAAAAAUCAAAUACAAACUUUAUUUAUACAACUGUUGAACUGUCGUGCAGAGUACGACAACAGUUAACUGUGAGUUUUAAUACAAAUAUUGUCAUCGUAGACAGUAUCCAAACUCAAAUUGUUACAAUGCCAUAUAAAAUACAGCAGCAAAUAUUUUAAGACCCCAAAGAAGAACGAGAAGAUUACUAUCAUAUUCAUUCUAAUGAGGUGCACUUUUGACGCUUUCAAAGUCGGGUUCUCAUCACCCUUAUUGUUGUUCACCAACAUCAAUUAUUAAGUGACGUAUAAAAUACAACACACACAUCUUAGGUCUUUAAUACAAUUAUCGGUUGCAUAUCAUGCCGUUUUAUAAUGUAUUGAGAAAUUUCGACAGUCUCGGACCAUCACACUAUUUUCCUGUUAUCCCCGCUCGACCCAGCUACACUCUUAUUACCUAAAAGGAAUUGUGAAGCAAAAGGGUGAGCACAAUUAGCCCAGUAAGGAAUAUCAUGGCUAAGAUAAUUAAUUUAUCAACAGCCUUUAUCAGAAUAAAUCAGAGAUUUAGAACAUAUGGUAGAUAAUAAAACGUUUCAACCAUAGUUGCAGCGGAACGAGUAAUCCAUUAGAUGAGUCAAGUAGAACAUAAUGUCUACUAUCUCCUCUAGAUUAAAAGUCCAUCGUUGAUAUUUUAUUCCUGUAAUACUCAUCAACAGUUCUUUGUUAUACUUAAGACAAAUAAAACUUUCAACACUUGUCUUCACCUGAACCACCAAAGAUGUUAGUUAAAUUCACAAUUCAUAUUUAUAAUAAUGUGAAUUAACAGUUCCUUCUUUCCACCAAGACUUAAUAGAAUGUUUACUCAAUAUCUUUACCCCAAAGGCUGAAGGUAUUCAAAUGUAAUAACAAUGAUCAUACCAAUCAGUUGUCUAUCUUUGCAUUACGGGCCAAAGAUAUUCAACUAUAGAACCAAUGGUCAUGAUCAUACCAAUCACAUCAUUGAAUUAUCCAUGCACUACGGCCAAGGAUAUUCGUUAGUAUCACUAGUGGUCAUGAUCAUGUCAUACACCUGUCCAUCUUCACACUACGGGUCAAAGCUAUCAAAUAACAGAUCAUCUUUGCACUACAGGCCAAAAAUAUUCAACAACAUAUCGUCUUUGCACUACAGGUCAAAGACAUACUACUGUAAAACCAAUAACCAACAAUAUAAUAAAGAAUGGAAUAAUAAAAGAAUUUCACCAUGCGUGCGUAAUCCGCACAGAAAGGUUAUUCCAACAUAAUAAUAAAGAAUGGAACCAGGUCAUGCGUAAAUGCACAGACAGGAUAUUCCAACAGAAUAAUAAAGAAUUGAAUAACAACAGACUUCACCAAGUAUACGGUAAUCCGCGUAUACAGGUUAUUCCAACAGAAUAAUAAAGAAUUGAAUAACAACAGACUUCACCAGGUAUACGGUAAUCCACGUAUACAGGUUAUUCCAACAGAAUAAUAAAGAAUUGAAUAACAACAGACUUCACCAGGUAUAUGGUAAUCCGCGUAUACAGGUUAUUCCAACAGAAUAAUCAAGAAUGGAAUAACAACAGACAUCACCAGGUAUACGGUAAUUCGCGUAUACAGGUUAUUCCAACAGAAUAAUAAAUGGAACCAGGUCAGGAGAAAUUCGCACCGACAGGAUAUUCCGACAGAAUAAUAAAGAAUAAAAUAAUAGAAGAAUUUCACCAUGUAUGCGGUACUUCGCAUAAACAGGUUAUUCCAACAUAAUAAUAAAUAAUGUAAUACAUAAGGAUUUCACCAAGUAAAGGGUAUGACGCUUAUACAGUUUAUGUAUAGGGUAUGCCUCAUAUACAGGUUAUUCCAACAGAAUAAUAAAGAAUGGAAUAACAGAAGUUCUCUUCAUGAAUAAGAAAGAAUAACACCCCUUACUAUAAUAAUAUUAUCCCUUACCGUAAAAAAACUGAAAAUAGAGGUAGUGAAGUAGCAGAAUAGUCUUCUUCUUUCUUUCUAUAAUUUCUCUCUCUAGAGUUUCAGUGAAUUCGUAAGAAAAUAAUGAAGGAAUGAGCUUCUAUUUAUAGAAGAAUGGAUUGCAUAGUAACUAACUCAUGAACGGUCCAAAUUGAUUUACUUUAAUCUGACGGUCCAUAUUUAAAGCAAAAUCUUUUAAAUAAAAUAUAAUAUAUUCUAUUUAUAAUCUAAUAAAAUAAAUAACUUUAUGUAAAUACUAUGCAGGCACUAUGCAAAUACUAUGCAUAAUAAAAUAUAAUAUAAUCUAAUUAUUGUCUAAUAAAACGAAUAACUUUAGAAAAGUAUUAUGUUUUAUAUAAAAAGAUUUUACUAUUAGUCUAAUAAAAUGAAUAACUUUAUAAAAGUAUUCUGUUUUAUAUAAAAAGUUUUUCUGUUUUAUUACGUUAAUAAUACGAAUAAAACAAAACUUCAUCAUCGCUUACUUUGAAAAUUUUUCAAAUGUCACCCUUAACUUUAAACUUUUAUCAAUUUAAUCAUUUACCAAAAUAGAAAAAUUGAAUACUUUUAUUUCAUAAAAUUCGGGGUCUCACAGUUAGUUUGCAAAAAGCUAUGGGCACGGAUUUACGAUUUAGUUCGGCAUAUCAUCCUCAAACGGAUGGGCAGUCGGAAAGGACUAUUCAAACUCUUGAGGAUUUAUUAAGAUUAUGUGUCCUUGACUUCAAGGGAAGUUGGGACAAGUUCUUACCAUUGGUGGAGUUUUCCUACAACAAUAGUUAUCAAGCAAGUAUUGGCAUGACUCCAUUUGAAGCGUUGUAUGGAAGAAAGUGUCGUUCUCCAGUAUGCUGGGAUGAGGUGGGUGAAGCAACGUUGUUGGGACUGGAGUUGGUACGUAUGACUACGAAAAAGAUUCAAACGAUCCGACAACGUAUAAAAACCUCACAAGAUNNNNNNNNNNNNNNNNNNNNNNNNNNNNNNNNNNNNNNNNNNNNNNNNNNNNNNNNNNNNNNNNNNNNNNNNNNNNNNNNNNNNNNNNNNNNNNNNNNNNUAUAUAUAUAUAUAUAUAUAUAUAUAUAUAUAUAUAUAUAUAUAUAUAUAUAUUGUCCAAAAUUAAUUUUUAGUUUUUGAGAUGGCAUGUAACCAUCACAUAUAUAUUUCUCCUUAAUGUGAUUGCAUUUAAGCCAUAACAAAGAAAAAAGUUUAAAAUAAUCUUUGGUGACAGCCAAGACCAUCACGAAAAGAAAACCACAUGUGAUGGACCUUUAUGAUUACAUUUAAAGUAAUCUCAACAAAUGGUAUUAUAUGAUGGACUUUUUCAACAAUCACAAAAUAAUAAUAUACAUGACGGCUCCUAGUAGUGGUUAUUUUUUCCAUCACCAUAAACUAUUUGUGACGGACAAGACAAUCACUAAAAAACAAGCAUAUAUGAACAACAAAUAUAUUAGGCGAGGAAUUUACUAGCAAUCACAAAAUAGUAGUAUAUAUGGUAGAUGUUACUCAAUGUCUAAUUGUGCCAUUAUUAUUAAAUAUUUAAGACAAUCAUUACAAUCACUAAAUUUUUCGCGUAAAUUGUACAUCUCUUUUUUAAGUCCCCAUUAAUCUUUAUUUUGCUUUGUUCUCUUUGUAAACUCAUUGUUUUUAUUGUGAAUUCAAAGGAUUUAGAGUUUAUCUCGUUUUUAUAUAACUAACUAUUUACGUUUGUUCUCUUUGUCUCGGUUGGUAUAUAUCUACUUCUUUCUAUGCAAGAAGUCUAGAGUCCAAAUCUCCACCCAAAAAAGAAACAGUGCAAAUGAUGGAGCAAAAUUCUUGCUGUUGGGGAAGAGCAGAUGGACUAAUUGAUGUAACCUUCAAAUUGGUGGGAAGAAAUCUGAAAUGGAAGGAGCAGUAAGCAGGAUUUUUUUUUUUACUAAAUUUAAAUUGUAUUAAAGGAGAAAGAAUGUACAAAAAUCAUGGGAAAACCCAAUCAGAAUAUAGUAUAUACAUCACCUCAAUCAGAAUAUAACAUAGACAUCAUAGGACAUGCCAUAUGAUGUCAUGACUAAAAAAGAAAAUAAGGCCAGAUGCCCAAACAAAAGAGAAACAAUCUCAACAUUCAUGAGAAUACAAUGCAUAGAAAUCAGACACAAAACCAAGAAAAACCUCAUCCAAAGUAGCAGCAGCCCACAAUAGCAGCAAAAGAAAAAUCAGUCCAAAGACCAAAAGGCAUCAUCCAUAACAGAACCGAAAGAGCCUACUGCAGACUAGCAGCACAAUAGAGCACAAGGCCCAACAAGAGAAGCCAACAACAGUUUAGCAAAGCAAAACAGCAGACAGGACAUGGAAAGCAAGAGCAACAAACCCCAAGAGCCCAAUGGCAGCCAUAGAAGUGCAGCAGCUGCAGCCGACAUCAAAUAAAACAGCAGUAAACGAUAGCAGCCAUAAGUACAGCACCACCCCCCAAAUCUGCAGCAUCAAGACAUAGAAAUAGUCACAAUACUGCAGACCAAAACACGCAAACAAUGCAGCAUAAGCAACAAACAGAGCAGCAAAUAGGUCUAUUUUCCUGCUUGUUUUCAAGGUUGUGUAGUAUUUAUUGUCAUUUUAGUAUUUUACAUAUAUGUCCAUUAUGGGUAAAAUAAGUUGUUUGGCAUGGGCAAUGAUGCCAGUGAAGGUUUUCUUUCUUCAGUGCUUGAUGGAAGCUCUCGAGCUGUAGUCACUACAAAGAUGAGGAGAUGCUGAAACCAUUUUCGAGCACAGUGAGAUAUAAUAGUUACAUAUAUGAAUAUGCCAUCUCAGAUGAUCAUGUUGGUGUAACACAGAAGCAUGUCUUCCAUGUGCUGGUACCAUUUCUCCUUCCUUUUCUGACAGUAGGCCUAUGAUUUCUUCUGGGAGUGCUGAGAAAGAGACUGCUAGACUAGAAUAUUGUAUACGGCACUAGAAAUAGGGCAGUCUUUCUGUAAACUGCAGAGCUAUGGUUCCUUGGAAUGAUCAUUGCUUUACAACGCAUUGAGUUUUUUUUUUCUACAUUUCUUUUUCCUGGAAAAGCCUAUUUGAGGGAGGAAAUAGGAGAAGUAGAAAUUUGUUGUGGGUAGAGAUGUUUUGGAUUUGUCCUUGGUUUCAGUAAUUAAACAUCUGCCAUUUUUAUUUGCGAUUAUAUCCGGAGGAAGCUUUUAUAUACUAGAUUCAUAAAUCAAGAAGUUCAAUAUAGGGAGCACCAGCUGCAACAGCAGCAGAGCAUGAGCAGCAACAUUAAUGUAGGUGGAAGCAUUGAAAGGACGUUCUAUUUGUUCAUGCCAUUUAAUCAUGGCAAUCAUUCUAUUUAUUCAUGGUAAUCAUUUUAUUUGUAUAUGCUUGUUCUUAUAUAGCUUAUAUUGACAGAAAAUUUAAAUGGAAGCUAUGAGAACCACAUUUUAUCAAGUCUUUCAGGUGGGUUAGCCUCUGCAUAGCUCUUACUAUUUCUUGCAGCUCGAGGAGCUAAAGCUUCCUAAAGUAUAGAAAUCACAAAACCAAGCAAAUAAGUUUAAAAAAAAAAAAGAACUAAAGAUAGAGUCGCAUGUCUUUCAAAUAUGUUUCAAAAAAAAAACACAUUCUCUAAAACACUGGUAACAGAGCUUCUCUAAAACUGAAUUUCAUGUCCAAGUUCAUGUUAUCAACUUAUAGUCUUAUAUGUAAUCAACAUAACUCAAACGACUUCCUCUUUUUCUAAUAAUUAAUAACAGGGAAAAAAUUUAAAAAUAUGGGUGAAUUGGAGAAAUAUAUCUUACAAUAACAAAGAAAAAGGGAAUCCUAGUCCAGAAACUUGUGCGCGCUCUCACGAAAGAUGUCUCAUGAGUAAGCCUGAAUCUUGACGGAUCUGCAUGUUCAUUGUAGGAGAAAUUUAACAUAAAGAGAUAGCCUCAUGUACACAAAUAUUAAAAUGAAUACUAAAUUCAAACUACAGAAUGAUAAAUAGUCAUUUCUUGAUCGUGCAGCGACAUAACAAUGGAAAACUCGGUCCUGAGAGGCAGUUUCCUGCUCCCAGACCUUCCAGCCACGAAUCUGUACAAGUUAAAAACUUAUUAGCAUUAUAUGUAGAAUCAAUCAGGUGAUAAUAUGAAGAGUGAUAGUGUUUUAUAGAAAAUGAAAAUAUUCGAAAAUUGUUUCGAACAUAUAUUAAAAUAAAUUAUUGUCCUUUUAUUUUAUUAAAUAAAAUAUUAAAAAAAUCAUUGUCUUCUUUAAUGCAGUUUAUAAAGAAACACGGGAAAAUGAAUAUAGGCCAAGUUAGUGAUAAAAGAAAGUGAAUGACAGACUUGGCAGGAACUCUAUUACUGUAGAAAAAUAAAGCAACAAUUGAAAGGAUUCUUAUUUCGAUAAUGAAAGGAAAUAAUAAUCGACUGAUAAUUAUCUGGAACAUGCCAACUACUAUAUAUAUAGGAAAACAUAACUAAAAAACUCAGCUACGUAGGCCUAAAUAUCAUCAUCUUCUUCUUCUUCUUCGAAAUAUUCAUCAUCAUUAAAAUAUUCAUUAUCAUCUUCAUCUUCAUCACUACAUUCUCUAUCUUCAUUUUCUGCUUCCGCUAAUGAUGGAUCCACUUCCGCCCACAUUAGGAUUACUCGUCAAUGGUUGAUCAAAUUUGAUAGAUUCGCCUUCUGAAACAAGAAGUUCUGGCCCUGGAGGGAUAAUAUCAACCACUUGACGUCCAUCCGAUGCAUCCGUUAUGGUUAUUUCGUAACCCCCCUUUUCUUUUCGUAUUAUUUUGCCUACUAUACCUGCUGCUGUAGCAUUAUAAACCGUAUUGUUACUCUUGCUCCCGUCGGGAUAAAUCUGACCCCUUCCCCUGUUUCCGCCUACGUAUAUAGGAUAUUUUAAGAAGUGAACAUCUUUCUUAGUAGCGGGGUCCGGGGAAAGAAUAGGAAAGGUGAUUUCACUAUAUUUUUGACCAGGAACAGGGCCUAUCACAAGAAUAUUUUUUUUAGUGGGGCGAUAGCUCUGAAAAGAAAGAUUGCCUAUCCUUUCUUUCAUCUCGGGAGAAAUCCGAUCAACAGGAGCUAAUUCAAAACCCUCCGGUAAAAUAAGAACAGCCCCUACAUUCAAAGCCCCCUUUUUACCAUUAGCAAGAACUUGUUUUAGUUGCAUAUCAUAAGGGAUUCGAACAACUGCUUCAAAUACAGUAUCAGGAAGUACGGCUUGUGGAACUUCAAUAUCCACGGGCUUAUUAGCUAAAUGGCAAUUGGCACAUACAAUACGCCCAGUCGCUUCUCGUGGAUUUUCAUAACCCUGCUGUGCAAAAAUGGGAUAUGCACUUGAAAUGGAUGUCCGAGUUAUGAUAUAUAUCAUGAGCGAUGCGGAAAUGGAUCGAGUAAUCUGUUCCUUUAUCCAAGAAAAAGUCUUUCUAGUUUGCAUGGUCCAACCAUUGAUCCCGAAAAUUUCUACAAUAAAUUGGGUAGGUCGCUAAUAUAGUUCCCUAUCCGCGAUUCUGCUAUUUACUGGAAUAAUAUAUNNNNNNNNNNNNNNNNNNNNNNNNNNNNNNNNNNNNNNNNNNNNNNNNNNNNNNNNNNNNNNNNNNNNNNNNNNNNNNNNNNNNNNNNNNNNNNNNNNNNGAGAAUCAUCAAGCAAUAUCAAAUUCUGAGUUUGCUCCUCAAUAUUAUAUAAGUCAAAAUCAUGAAACUCUUCCUCUUGAUAUGUCUCUUCAUUACUAUUUUCGGCAACAUCAUAUGUGUUUCUUGCUUUUGUUGUGAUUACAGUAGACCAACCUUUAGCUUUAGUCGACACUGGAUUAGCAUAGAACACUUGUACAACUUGUGAUGCAAUAACAAAUGGCUCAUACGGCUUGUGCCUUGAAUUUGUAUCAAUUGUAGUUAUCCCGUACUUGUUAAUAACUACCCUUUUUUCAGAAUCAUACCAUUCACAUUGGAACAAAAAUACUGAAUUCUCUUCUCCAUAGUAUUCUAGUUCAACUACUUUAAUUAAUUGUCCAUAAUAGUCUCGUUCUUGGCCUUCAAAAGUACAUCCCUAGACUAAAACACCACUAUUUUGAGUUACCUUUCUUGACUCCAAUUCUUUUGUAUGGAACCUAAAGCCAUUGACAAUGAAUCCAUCAUAACAUGUUACCUCUCUAGACGGACCCAUAGCGAGCGCUUUUAGACGCGUAUCAACGACAUCAUCAUUCUUGACUCUCUUUUCAAACCAUUUUAUAAAUGUCGAAUUAUGUUCCUUUUAUAGCACUUUAUCCGACAUGUUUGGACGUAAUUCUUUCAAUAAAUGCUUGUGCUCCCUAGAAGUAAUGAAAUAAAUUAGUAGAUAUAGAGUAAUGAUUUACAUAUCUAAAAGUAAUAAACUUUAUAAGAAUUAAAAUGUCAUACUCGAUGAAAUCAAAGACUUCCUCAUAAUUAGACAAGAUGUAUAAGGUUGCUGCCUCGAGUUCUUUAUCAGAUAGAUCUUCACGUUUUCGUUUUCCUCCAAUUGGACGACCAGGCCUAGGGUGGCUAAAUAUUGAUAACUUUCCAUUAGUUUCAGCUUGACCGCCAUCGUCAUUUCGAUCAGCUCGGUUGAACUUGGUUUGCACCCUAAGAUCAAAAUAUCGAGAAGAAAAGUAAACUAGUUCGUCUAUUAUGUAUGCCUCAGCUAUUGAACCCUCGGGGCAAGCCUUGUUACGCACCCUUUUCUUCAAAGAACACAUGCACCUAUAAUUAUAUUGAAGUUAGGUAAUCACUUUAACUAUAAAAAAGCCUUGGCAAGAAAAGAGAUAUAAUUUAUUAAAACAUCACCUCUCGAAAGGGUACAUCCAACGAUAUUGUACUGGCCCUCCGACCUUGGCUUUAUAUGCCAAAUGAACAAGUAGAUGCUCCAUUGAAUCAAAGAAAGAUGGUGGAAAAAUCAUCUCAAGAUUGCAUAAUAUUUCAGCAAUAAAUAGCUCAAGCUUCUCUAACUCAGCUAACUUAUACACCUUAGAGCAUAUGUCUCGAAAGAAUUUGCACAAAGCAUUUAUUGGUUCCCAUAUAGAGUUUGGUAAGAAAUCACGAAAGGCCAAUGGCAAGAAUCUCUGCAUGAGAACAUGGCAAUCAUGGCUCUUUAGCCCAAUUAUUUUGCAAUUGUCAAGGUUAAUACAAUGAGAGAUAUUUGAAGCAUAACCGUCUGGAACUUUCAACGAUUUAAGCCACUUGCAAACUUGCUUGACUUCUUCGCUUUUUAAAGAAUAUUUAGCUUUUGGCAAUUUAAAUUUCCCAUUACCACUCUCUUCAGGAUGUAAUUCAAAUCUUAUACCAAGCUCUUGCAAAUCUAAACGAGCUUUAAGGUGGUCUUUUGAUUUUCUAGUAAUGUUCAUCACAGUGUAAAAUAAAUUAUCAAAAAUAUUUUUCUCAAUAUGCAUCACGUCUAAGAAAUGUCUUAUUAGAAGCAAACUCCAAUAAGGCAAUUCAAAGAAGAUACUUUUCUUUGUCUAGUUAUGCUCGAUUCCAAACCCAGGAGUCUUAUCGGUACUAUUGUUUUUAUCCUUUCCAAAGAUGACCGAACUAAAUUGAGAUACAAAAUUUAACUCCUCAACACCUGUUAGUCGAGGCGGGGGAUUUCUCCGUUCGGUUUUAUUAUUGAACUUACUCUUCUCAGCUCGAUAUUUAUGAUUACGCUUCAACCAACGACGAUGGCAUCCAAAAUAACUCGGCUUCCUCCCAUGUUUAAGGUUAAAAGCUACACUUGGAUCCAUACAAGGACAUGACAAGGCCCCAUGUGUACUCCAACCCUUCAAUAUGCCUAGCGCAGGAAAGUCACUGAUUGUCCAUAUUACAGCUGCUUUCAUAUAAAAAUUUUGCUUUGAGAAAGCAUCAUAUGUAUCAACUCCAACAUCCCACAAAGUCUUUAGUUCUUCUAUAAGAGGUCGCAAAUACACAUCAAUCUCUCUUCCAGGUCCAUGUGGACCUGGAAUAAGCAGUGACAUAAACAUGUACUCCUCUUUCAUACACAUCCAAGGGGGGAGAUUGUAUGGAACAAGGAAAACUGGCCAUGUCGAAUGAGGUUUGCUAGAAUGCCCAAAAGGAUUAAAUCCAUCAGUAGCUAAGCCAAGUCUUAUACUACGAGCAUCUUCAGCAAAAGAUGGGUAAUUGAGGUCAAAAUAUUUCCAAGCCUCACUAUCAGCAGGGUGCCUUAGCUCACCUGGAAUAUCACAUCAUUUUUCUUUGUGCCACCUCAUAGGCUCGGCCGUUUUUGAUGACAAAUAAAGCCUUUGAAGCCUUGGUAUAAUUGGUAAAAAAACUUAAGACCUUCCUUGCUAUUGGUUUAUUCUUUUUCCCUUUAACACUGCCAUGGUUUUUAUACCUAGAUUCGUUACAAAUUGGGCAAGCAUCUAAAUCUGCAUAUUCUCCUCGAAACAAGAUACAAUCAUUAUUACAUGCAUGUAUUUUUUGUAGAGGUUGCCCAAGGUCCUUCAUUAAGGCCUUGCAGUGAUAAAAUGACUCGGGUAAUUUAUUCUUUUUAGGCAACAUUUCCUUGAAAGCUGAAAGAAAAGCAUCAAAUCCAGCAUUAGACAAACAAUACUUGGAUUUUAGGUGCAACAACAAAGUUACGGCUAAUAACUUGGUGUGAUUUUGACAACCAUCCCACAAGGGCUCGUCUGCAGCCUUUAGAAGGUCAUAGAACUUCUUUGAUUCGCUAUUAGGAUCCUCAUCAAAUUUAGGGCUAAUGCAGCUUGUAAUAUCCCUUAACAUGUCUUUAGGCCAAUUUGCAAUUCCCUCAUCAAUAUCGUCAUCUUAAUUCCCUACUUUCUUAAGUGACUCCCCAUGCUCCGUCCAUGUAGUGUAGUUUGGUACAAAUCCAUGCUUAUAAAGACACAUUUCUACAUCUUCACGUGAUUUAUAGUUUAUGAAAUCACACUUGGCACAAGGACACCGAAUCAUGCCAUCAUCUACGCACUCAGGAUUAGAAAAUGCAAAAUCAAGAAAUGUAUUGACCCCACUCAUAAAUUCAUGUAUAUGUUUAGACUUUUUCCCAACAUGCCUAUACAUCCAACUUCGAUCAUCCAUCUACCAUUUGUAAUUCAAAUAAUUGAAAAAUGUUCAUUUAUGGUGAUAAUUAACCCUUUUAUGAAAUAGAAAAGAAAAAAAAAACUGUACUGACUUUACAACUUAUUUUCUAGCACACUGUUCUUAACAUGGUCACAACUUAUAAUUAAAGAAAACAACAUAUACUACCUGAAUUCAAGAUAAUAUUGGUUAUGAGGUAGUAAAUCAAACAGAGAAAGCGUAAUCAGAGAAAGCAUAUUAGAUUUUCUAAUUAAUGUUCCUAAUUAGUUUUAUAUUAGAUUUUUUACAUGCUACACAGGAAUUGGGGCCAAAUUCGAACAGAGAAAGCAUAAUCAAAAUUCUAAAAUAAUUGGGGCCAAAUUGGAACAGAGAAAGUAAAGAGGGAGACAAUAAACACCCAAGGAAGAGAGGAUUUACCUUCAAAAUCACAAAGCUUAACUUGGAUCACAACUUUGGUACGUAGAAGAAAGGGAGAUGGUUUUAGUUACCGUCUAUGGAGAAGAUGGGAAGAGUUGUUUAGAGCCGCAGAGAGCACUGGGCAGAGGCCGUCGACUGAGAGGGAGUAGUCGACUGUCGACUUUGUCAAGAAAGAGGCAAGCAAGUAGCAACUGAAGCAAUCAAACAAAGAGUGAAGAAGGAGAACUGAAGAUAAGGGCUAGGGCAAAUGUCAAAUGUGAAAGUGAAAUCAGAAAUGGACCGCCGACUCGGUCACUUAGGAUUAUAGAUAGGAGUGAGAUAUAAUAAUAUUAUAAAAUUGUUUUUUUUAAGAAUUACGGUUCGGUUAUUCGGGUAUCCAAAUAACCAGUUUUUGAACACCGAAUCUGUAAUCGAAUACUAAAUAAUAAUUCGGAUAUAACUGAAAUUGUAAAAAAACCGAAAAACCGAAAUAAUUCGGUUAAAAAAUUUCGAUUCGGUUCGGUAAUUCGGUUUUAUUCGUUUUUUGCUCACUCCUAGUCACUGGACAUUUAAUUUUUGUUGGCUUGUUGUUGCUGACUUGCUGUAUUUUGGACAGUUAAUUAGGCUUGCAUUAUUAAGUCAUAAAUUUCAUGUUGGCUUGUUGUUGCUGCUGGACAAGUAAGUUAACAGUUGCUGCCUGCUGGGCAGUUAAUUUGCUAAAUAGUUAACAGGGAAUUUAUGUUGUAUGAUAUUUCGGUUAUUACCCGAAUAUCCGAAAUUACAAUUCGGUAUUCGGUAAUUCGGUUAUUUUCACAUUUCGAUUAGAAUUUUGGAUAGUGGAAUUGUCAUUAAUUCGGUUUUCGGUUAUAACCGAAUAGCUUAUUCGGUUCGGUUAUAACCGAAUGAUCACUCCUACUAAUAACUUGGUAUUUUGAAUCAAAUAUCGGCAUCGACACAUAAGGCUGUAAAAUGAGCAAACAGUUCGGGGUCGAUUCGUACUCGCUCGACUAAAAGUUCAAUUCGAGCUCGACUCUAAAUAUAAAUGAGUCAAAUAUGAGCAAAUUUUAAAGUUCUAUAAAUUACUCGAACCUCCUCAAAUUAUAAUUUUCUAUUGAUACUCGGAUCAUAUUCGUUCGAAAAGUUCAAACUGUUCAGGCUCGAUUCGGAAUCGUACUCGACUCGAUAGCUAAAUGAUCCUCAAUCAAACCUUAUAAUAUACUUGAUAAAAUUUGUGAACCAAAUCUGAUAGAAAUACAUUACGAAAAUUUAAAAAGAUUAUAAAAUGAGUUUUAGUUUUAGUUGGACCAGAUUAAGUAAUCUCAAGUACAUGAAAUUAAAAAUAAAAUAAAAUUAACAAAUUGAAAAAAACAACAACUAGUAGACUCGGGCGUAAAUUAACUUUUAAGGGUUUAAUACACUAUUUGUACGUUCCAAAUUUUAUAUUUGACUUUGUACCAUUGACAUUUAUUUUUUCGUGGGCAUAUAUUUUUAUUAUUAUUAGUUAUUGUCAAUUUUGGUGGAUAAAUUAUUUAAUGUUUGAAGACUAUUUGGGGGAUAUUAAAUAUAUCAUUACUCAUAAUGAUAUUAAAUAUAGUGGGUGCAGAUGAUAGUAAUGUUAUAAAAAAAUUUCAGGCUUCACAAAGAAGAAUAUAAGUUAUUGUAUUAAGCUUCAAUACUUUUUGUAAGAGUAAUAAUUGAUAUUAAAACAUCAUUUUUAUUAAUAAUAUUAUUUUAAAAUAAUAAAAGAGAGGAGACUUAAUUUGUAGCUUAAUCUAAAGAAAGUAUAUAAAUUUUUAAUAUUAUUUUAAUUUAUUUUACUUUUUUGAAUAACAAAUUUGUACUUAAUUACUAGUGGAUCAAUUAAUUCAUAUCUCACAAAUUUACUAAAAAUAAUAAUUAAAUGAUACUCUUUUUUUUGUAGAACAAAGGGUAUAUCAAAAGAUAAUUAAAUCAAAAGAAAUUUAAGCUAAUUAAAUUUAAUUAAAAGAUAAUUAAAAUUUAAACAAACAAAAAUAGACUAAUUUAGUGGCAUAUUCCACUCAUUUUGAAGAAAUGGCGGGAUCUCUGUUUCUAUCUUUAAUUUCAAGUACCAUUGUAUAAACUUCCCCAUCUUUUCCAUAGGCAGCAAACUGAAACCCUACAUCCAUCUUCUACCAAAAUUGUGAUCCCAGUUAAGGUUGUGAUUUCAAAGGUAAGUCCUCUCUUUGGGUGUUUAUUCUCUCCAUCUUUCCUUUCUCUGUUCUAAUUUGUCCCCAAUUCUUAUUUUAGAAUUGUGAUUAUGCUUUCUCUUUUCGAAUUUGGCCCCAAUUCCUGUUUUUAUAGAGAUGUUUUACGAACUGUUAUUGACAAUUUGAUUGUUCAUGUGUUUGUGGAGAUUUAAUAUAUAUAUAUAUAUAUAUAUAUAUAUAUAUGAUUUUGAUAGCGUAUUUACUAAUUUUAANNNNNNNNNNNNNNNNNNNNNNNNNNNNNNNNNNNNNNNNNNNNNNNNNNNNNNNNNNNNNNNNNNNNNNNNNNNNNNNNNNNNNNNNNNNNNNNNNNNNNNNNNNNNNNNNNNNNNNNNNNNNNNNNNNNNNNNNNNNNNNNNNNNNNNNNNNNNNNNNNNNNNNNNNNNNNNNNNNNNNNNNNNNNNNNNNNNNNNNNNNNNNNNNNNNNNNNNNNNNNNNNNNNNNNNNNNNNNNNNNNNNNNNNNNNNNNNNNNNNNNNNNNNNNNNNNNNNNNNNNNNNNNNNNNNNNNNNNNNNNNNNNNNNNNNNNNNNNNNNNNNNNNNNNNNNNNNNNNNNNNNNNNNNNNNNNNNNNNNNNNNNNNNNNNNNNNNNNNNNNNNNNNNNNNNNNNNNNNNNNNNNNNNNNNNNNNAUAUAUAUAUAUAUAUAUCCCUCGAUUUAUAUAUGUAUGUUAAUUAGGUACGUAUAUGUAUGCAUGAAUAUAUAUGAAACUUUGUUAGUUAAUUACUUUGGUUGAGAAUGGAUUGUAGUUUGUAAACAAAUCUAAUAUGAAACUGAUUAGGAAAAGACUUAAAUUGGAAUUCUUCUUUUGGUUGAAUGGAAGGGUUACUCAUUACUUCAUUAAUUUGACAUUAAUUUUGUAUUAUUUUGUUUAAUUAUGUUUUGGUUGGUUAUGUUUUUCAUUUAUUUUAUUCUAUUCCAAGUCAUUAAGAGCACAUGAUGUUUUAGGUAAAACACUGAUUCUACUGGACAGAUGAUUCAUGUACAAAACCAAAGUUAGUGCACACACCCUAUUAUUUAAUAUUCAAAACAUUGGGUUGCUGUUGGGGUGGGUCUGUAGGAGGGCAGGGGUGGAGUUGCAGGGGAGGCGAAUGGAAGAGGGCAAAAGUGCUGGAUGAAGGAGGGACGUUGGCAUGUUCUUGAAUGAUGGUAACCCAUUCUUUAUACAUUUUGAAUGAGAGUGGUUAAUUGCAAAAAAGCACUUGCAAUAGCUACAUUGAAAUUGGUUCCAUUUAUGAGGGACAAGAAAAGCAGCAGUGGGCAGUAAGGAACUGCUAUAACAGUUUUGGGUAUAUCAUUCUAGCUCUAGAAUCUAGUUUGAAGACUUAACCAUAGAGUUUUAGUUUUAGUUGGAGCUGUACAUUCUUUACCAUUAAUGAUUAGUGAUUCUAUUCAAAGUUACCAUGCUUUUUUAAGUUCUCACUUGGGUUUUUGUAAAUGGGUCAAGCUUUGCUUAUUGUGUGCAAGAAAAUCUGAUAUCGCUGUGAAAUCUAUAGUAAGAAAAUUAAAAAUGGUCACUUUGAUAUACUUGCACUUAAUUGAUGCCCACAAUUGUCGUCUUUAAUUGUACUAAUCCAUCAAAGGAGCAUGUCAAUAUUGUUCUAUUCAGCAGUACUAUGAUUUAAUUGAUGCCCUCAUAGUAUCCAUCAAAAGAACAUUUAAUCUUGAUGUAACCAGCAUGCCACGGAACCUGACAUGUGUAGCAAAAAAGCUUUUUACAGUUCAGACAUAUUAGAAAUGAUUGUUCCAUUGAAAUGAUUGUUUGGCAUAUUAGAGGAUCUAACAAGUGAUUACAGUCCAAAGUGGACGACAUUUAAUGCUGGCUACAUUGUCUUCAACUUUUACUUCGAUGUACUUGGUGAAGCAAUCCACACAAAAAGGAUGAAAACAUUCAUCAUUCUUCUUGAAAACAUUCAAUGCAUAUCUCACAAGUGAAAGUUGAACUCUCUUCUUCACCUGAUUUAUCCUCUUCUGUUUUCGCCAAACUCACCUCUUGUUUUUAGCUGUGUGUUCCCCAUUGUUUGUUCUGUUUCUGUUGCAAAAAAAUCAUCAGCUCAUGUGAGAAACAAUUAGAGAAAGUGGAAUUGUACAACAGAAACAUGCAUGAAGUUGUAUAUUAUUGCAAAAUAAAUGGCAACUCUUUCUACAAUUACAAAGAAAAUGCCAAACACAUUUUGAAUUUGCAGCUACAACUAUUACAUGUGUUAUACAAGAGAUGAGAAUACAUUUUGAACAUGCAUGUGUCAAUUUGUGAUCUACAACACAUUUUGAAAAUGCCUAACACAUUUUGAACAUGCAUGUGUUCUACAAUUACAUGAAUUAAUUUGCAUGUGUUGUACUUUGUGUUGUGCAUAUAGUAAUAGGUUCAAUUAAAUGUUGUGUCAAGUGAUAGUGCUAAUUUAUUUAUUUUUUGAUAAAAAAAUGUACAUGCUUGUGGUAUAAUUUCAAACUAGUUUUCCAAUGAGUCAUGAUUAAUUAUUGCUGAUUAAUAUGUUGGGUAUAUAAAUUGUUCUUUGUACGGUUGAAUGUUAUUGUCUUGACAGGUAAGAUGCUAAUUGAUUUUGGAGCUAGUAGAGUAGUGAAUAAUUUUGAAAUUGUAUUACAACAUCAUCUUGAAUAAUUUCUUUUAUUUAUCCUAUAUUUAAUUAUAAGUUUUUUUUCUUCUCCAGCUAUGGUGAGAACUAGAGGUGGGAGUAGUCUUUCCGGUAGGAGAUCAACUCUUCCUCAUAAUAGUGGCGAGACUGUUAACAUGAACAGAAUGAGAGAUGAGCCUAUUGUAUCUCAUGAUAGUGGUGAGAGUAUUGAUAGGGCUACACCGAAUACUACACAAGCCGAAAGGUUAUCUCGUAAGAAAAGGGGGCCAACUCUAGGGAUAAUAAAGCCUAAAACAGGCCAAACAAAGAUGCUUGUUAAUAUCAUUGGACAAAAGUAAGUUUUUACUAAUCUACUCGUGCUUGUCAAUAUGCAAGUUACAUACAAUCAAUUCUGGAUACGUUAAAGAUUCAUUUUCUGACACAUAAUAUAACGUCCGUUUUAACUAUAACAGGGUAAUCUAUGUAGCACAAUGUAAUCCAAAGAACAUAAAAGCAACUAAUCAUAUCAUGUUACUAUAAAAAGCAAUUAAUAGGGGUUCCAUUUAACAAGAUUUGAUUAAUCCUAUUGUGACAACUUUGUUUCUACUUUUCAUUAUUGUUGUACUAAUCAUAUCAUGCUAUGUUACCAUAUCUUGUAAUUAGCUUCCUUGAACCUGAAGCUCGAAGCAAGACUCACAUAUUAUUUCAAAAACGUUUUAAAGAAGCUCGAACCAAAUUCGAGCAAUGGCCAAAACAUGAAAUUGAACUUCUUUGGGGAGAAUAUUUGGUAUGUUUUAAUGAACACACAUUUUAAUUGUAGAAAAAAGUUUAUCAAAAAGUGUAUUAUUCAUUAUAUAUUAAUUAUUAUUUUUACUUGUGGAUGGUGUUAUAGAAAUAUUUUCGUUUCUCUUCAUCGAAGGAGGAGGGAAGGGGUCGAAUCAUAUGGGAGGAAAAUGCACGAAAAAGCUACCCAAACUAUUUAUGGAGAUGGAAAGAUGAUGCCAUUAAGAAGUUUGGCUCCAUUGAGGAAGCAAGGGAUAAAAAGCCUAAUUGGACAACUCUUGAUGUGUGGCAGGAGAUGUGUGAUUAUUGACUGAGUAAAGACUUUUUAGACUCUAGUGAGCUACAAAAAAAGAACAGAAACAUAACUACGUAUGUUCCUCACACAUCAGGCUCCAUAUCGUACGCCGUUAGGAGGGAACAAGAGGUAAAUUAUAAGUUGAUAAAAUCAAAUUAAUAAUAUGCGUAGUCGAUAAAUGCACAUGAUAAUGGUAAAAGAUUCAUAUCAUGAUGCUCUGUUUGGAGUUUUUAAGUGUUCAUGUGGUAUGUAUUGCUUAUUUUUAAUAUUAAUGUUUAUAAUUAAAAUAAUUAUUAUUUUGCUUGUUUUGUCUUAGAAACAAAGACUGCAUCGUCCGCCAACGCAAUAUGAGUUAUAUAAACAAACUCAUAUGAGGAAGGAGAAGGGUAGCGAGGAAAAAACGUGGGUUUGUGAUGAAGCAAAGAGGAAUUUGGUAUGAUUUUCUCUUGUAAAAUUAUAAACUUUGUUUACUCAUGCGAAAGUGAAGAUUGUUGUUCGUUCUUUUCAUAAUUAGUUAUGAGUAUUGUUAAUUAUAUAUACAUAUUUUAUGCAUUGUAUAGGAUGAUUAUGAGAGAAGACUCUUAGCCAAACAUGGUGAUACAGAUAAGCCCGUGAAUGAGUUAGAUGAUCCAAAUUUGGAGACAUGGCAGAAAACUGUUGGAGGCGUCAAAAAGGGUAGACUUGUUGGUCGACCAGGGGAAAAAUGGAGUUCUCGUCGUGGUUCGUAUUGUCCAUCUUUGGUUGCAGAUGAGAACUAUAUUAAAUUAAAGAAAAUGGAAAGCUACAUGACUUAUAUUCAUCAAUACACAAAAAAUAUGGCCGAAACACUUGCACUUGAUCCUCCUAUAGACUUUUGUGAUUUGUUUGCUUCAUCAAAUGCAUCAGCUGAUAUUCCAACGAAUAACUCAACCACGCAUGCUGAGAAUGACAACGGAGAUGAUGACGACUCUCAAGAAAACUUCAUGGAGAAUUCAGGAUGAUUUAGCUCUGCUUUACUUAUCAAUUUUAUUAGUUUAGGGUUCUUUGAUAGAUGUUGGGUUUGUUAAUUGUUUGAUGAACCUAUGACAUGUAGUUACCUAUUUAAGUAGUUGGUAAUGAAUUUAUUUUUAAUUAAAUGGAUCAGAUUUCUUCAUUUUAAUAAAUUUGUAUGAUUUUACGUUUCAAAUUUAUUGUAAUUUAUGUCAUUUAUAAAUUUGAAAUAUAAAAUUGGCAAUUAAAUAUAUUUUAAUAUAGGAAUUUGGUGAUGGCUUUACUAUCACCAAAACGUAUAAAAAGGUUACAAAAAUAGGAAUAAUUGUGAUUGCUUUAGCCAUCACAAGAGACUUAUGCCAUCACAAAAGAAUGUGAUUGUUUUGGCCAUCACAAAUAAUUGGUGAUUGUUUUGGCCAUCACAAAAAGAUGUGAUUGCUUUGGCCAUCACAAAUAAUUGGUGAUUGUUUUGACCAUCACACAAAGAUGUGAUUGCUUUAGCCAUCACAAAUAAUUGGUGAUUGUUUUUACCAUCACAAAAAGAUGUGAUUGCUUCGGCCAUCACAAAUAAUUGGUGAUUGUUUUGACCAUCACAAAAGAUGUGAUUGCUUUGACCAUCACAAAUAACUACUAUGCUAUCGAGAUUACUUUCGCCAUCACAAAUAACUUGUGUGAUUUCGUGAUGGUCAAACUAAUCACAAAAUACAUGUGCGCUAAUGUGACUGAUUUAGUCAUCACAAAAGGAUCGAAUGUUUUGGUGAUUGCCAAAACCAUCACGUAAAACCUUUCAUGAUGGACGUAUACAAAACGGCCAUCGUGAUGCUUAAAAUCAUCACGUAAACCUUUCGUGAUGGUUUUUUUAGUUUUUGUGAUGGAUUUUUGCCAUCACAAAUGACCAUUUUUUUAGUAGUGAUCGAAAGGACGUGGAAUUUAAUAUUGGAGAUCACGUGUUGUUACGUGUUGCUCCAUGGAAAGGAGUUACGAGAUUUGGAAAGAGAGAAGCUCAAUCCUCGAUUCAUUGACCCAUUUUUAAUCCUCGAGCGAGUAGGAACUAUGGCCUAUAGACUCGCCUUACCGCAAAGUAUGUCUCGUGUUCAUAACGUUUUUCACAUAUCUAUGUUACAUAAAUAUGUGAAAGACCCGAACCACAUUAUUGAAUUAGAACCAGACAAGAUAGAGGAAGAUUUAACAUAUGAAGAGUUACCUAUUAAAAUCUUGGAUAAGAAGGAUCAUAUUCUACGCUCCAAGGUUAUACCUCAAGUCAAAGUUUUAUAAGAGAAACCACGAUGUGGAGGAAAUGACCUGGGAGUUAGAAUCUGAGAUGAAGUCAAGAUAUCCUCGUCUCUUCGAUAUACCAGGUACGUACCCUAGUUUCGAGGAUGAAAUUUCAUAAGAAGGGGAGGUAGUAAGACCCCAACUUUUAUGAAUAAAGAAUAAUUUUCUCAAAAUAUAUUUUUGAAUAUUAUGGUGUGGAUUUGAUAUAAUGUUAUAGUUGUGGGUAUUAUUUACAAAUUUUGCAAAGUAAGCAAGUGGUUAUAUAAUAUUCGAUUGGUCGGGGAAUAUUCGUUUUAACAGGGAAUAUUCGUACGACGGUACAAUCAUUGGUGGACCCCACAAAGAAAGUAUUGUUGUAGUUAAAAAACGACAGAAUUAUCUUUUUAUAAAAAUAAUGGCGAAAGUGUUGCCGUUAAAACUGUUGAACUAACCGGUAAUAAAAGUACAGUAAUACGCGUGGUUGCAUAGUAGUACACAGUAUUGAUUAUUGAUGUUUACGUGAGAAGUCACUCAGUUAUACUCAAUUAUUACUAUAGUAAUUGUUGCAUCAUAUCUCUCAUAUUAUUGAUUCAAUUAUUGUCACAGUAUCAUCUGCAUAAUAUGUUAUAUUAUCAAAUCAAUAAUUGAGACGACAAAGUUAUUAAUAUUAUUAAAUUACAAUAUUGACAAUGUCUUGAAGUUCUGUCAAGGAGAGGUUAGAUAAUCUAAUUGCGCGCCAAUAGGGAGAAAUCCUCAUCGGAAAGCCCCCUCUUUCCUGGAAACUACCUGGUUGUUAAAUAUUAUGAGUUAUAAUAUUAAUGAUGAAUAAGUUUGUGUUGAUCAAAGAUGAAAUUAAUAGUUCCAUUGUAUGGAAAUUAUUAGUGUUAGUUGAAAAUCGACAUUUAUUUCGAUAAUAAUUGAUGUCUGGAGGUUUUAUUGACCAAUCGGGUAAUUAACCGGAUAAAUGAGCAAUUAAUUGCUAUUUAUUCACAUGCUUAUAACUAUGUGUUCACAUGUGUGUACUAUUGAUUCACAUGCAUGUACUGUUAGGGGAGUUGGUGCAAGAUUGAUAAUACUUGCAUGACUAAAUUAAAAAUUGAGGUAUAGAUGAAGGUACUAUACUAUACUUAAUUUUUUCACAUGUUUAGAACUAUUGAGUCACAAGAUUUACUAUUGAUUCACAUGAAUUACUAUUAGGGGAGGUGGUGCAAGUUUGAUAAUACUUGCAGGACUAAAUUAAAAAUAAAAAAAAAGAGGAAGGUAUUAUACUGUAAUAUUUUGAGCCCCAAAAUGUGCAAUUAUUGAAACUAUAUUUUCCUAUAAAUAGAAGCUCAUUCUUCCUUCAUUUCUUACCAAUUCACUAAAGCUAUAGAACAAUUAUUAUAGAGAGAAAUUAUAGAGAGAAAGAAGAAGAGAAGUAUGCUACCUCACUACUCCAGUAUCCAGUUUUCUUCUAAGGUAAGGGGUAUUAUUUCUUUCGUAUUCAUGAAGAGAGUUAUUUCUUUCAAUACUCGUAAGGGUUGUUAUUCCAUUCUUUAUUAUUCUGUUGGAAUAACCUGUAUAGGUGGAUUACCGAAUGCGGUGUGAAAUUCUUCUGUUAUUCCAUUCUUUAUUAUUAUGUUAGAAUAACCUGUCUGUGCAGAUUAUGCACGCCUGGUGAAUUCUUUUGUUAUUCCAUUCUUUAUUAUUUUGUCGGAAUAACCUGUCUGUGCGGACUACGCACGCCUGGUGAAUUCUUCUGUUAUUCCAUUUUUUAUUAUUCUGUUGGAAUAACCUGUCUGUGCGGUCUAUCGCAUGCCUAGUGAAUUCUUUUGUUAUUCCAUUCUUUAUUAUUUUGUUGGAAUAACCUGUCUGUGCGGUCUAUCGCAUGCAUGGUGAAUUCUUCUGUUAUUCCAUUCUUUAUUAUUCUGUUGGAAUAACCUGUCUAUGUGGAUUACCGCAUGCAUGGUGAAUGAUCCUUUGUAUUCAUUCCUUAUUAAAUUGUGGAAAUGAUAUGUCUACGUGGAUUACCGCAUGGCGGGCAAAAAUCCAUUUGCAAUUUUAUAUAUUCUAUUAUACUCAGUUGCUUAAAGUUUUGGCUUCUAUACUCCAUGAAAUUAGUAGAAUAUCCUGGAUAUUUGCGCUUCAUCCAAUAUCUUUUCAUGGACAUAUUCUUCUGAGCAUUCUUGAAUUUUACUCCACAAAGCAGUAUUAUGUUGACAAAUUGGAUGUUAUUAAUUUCUGGAUAAAUUAAAUUAUAAAUCUUUAAUAUUUAUCCUUGAACUUGUUUUAUUGAAUUAUUAUGUCAUUGUCAUCAUCCUCAUGCUUAUAUUGUGAUGAAAGUCAUCUUUGGCUUACGUGCAUAGAUGGAUUUGGUAUAAUUAUGACCAGGAAUUAUUCGGUAUAAUCAUGACUGUAAUGUGACGAAUGAUGUGGUGAAAGUCCUCAUUGGCCUGUAGUUCAUUGAUGGACAGUUGUUGGUAUGAUUAUGACCAGGGAUUAUUCGGUAUAAUUAUGACCAUUGAUGAUUACACGAGUAUCCUUGGCCAUAAUGCAUGGAUGAUUCGAUUUUAUUUAUUAAGCUGAGUCUCAGCGAUAAAGUUGAUGAAAAACUUUUUAAGUCAUAGAAGAUAGUAGAUUUUAUACUCUAUAAUUGACUCUUCUAAUGGAUUGCUUAUUCCGCUGUAGUUUUUUAUCUAAAACUUAUUGUCUAUUAUAUUCUUUCAGUUGUUAUACUGUUGAAGGCUAAGGAUAAUUUAUUUUGCAUUAUCUUAGUAAUAAUAUUUCUUACUGGGCUUGUUGAGCUCACCCUUUUCUUUCAUGGUUCUCUUCAAGAAAUGAGAACGUAGCUGGGACUAGUCGGGGAACAGAGUGACGGUCCAGAUGUUUGGAUUAGUAGUCCUCACUAUUCUGUGAAAUAGUGUGAUAAUAAAUGUAAUGAGGACUCCAUUGAGUGUGGAUAUUGUCUAGAUGACAAUAUUCUUAUUAAAACUCUUAGAUUAUGUUUUGUCGUAUUUUACACGACUGUUGUACAAUUAAGUUGUAUUUGAAUUUUGUACCAUGUAUCUGGCGACUCAAGAUGGCUGAUGUAUACCUAUUUUGGUGGCGUCACAUUAACCCUAUUGUUAUAUAUAUUAUAUCCGAUUAUUGUUUAUCAACAUAAUAUUAUACUAUAUAAUUCAGAUAUAUAUUCUGUUCAUUAAUUUCUAAAAAUGAUUAUACAAGUGUCUCCACCUGGAUAAUCAUUGUAUUUAAUCACAUGUUGAUAUAUAUAUAUAUAUAUAUAUAUAUAUAUAUAUAUAUAUAUAUAUACCUAUUGAACCCCAGUAUGUAUACAUUAAGUAAAAGUCGUCUAAGCUAUUCGACCAGCUAGACACAAAUUUAGUUAUAUCGUUUAAUAUGACAAAACUUUUUUGUAUCCAAUCAAAUUAUUUUGGUUCGGAUUCCAGACUAAGUAUGAACAUCCCGAACAUGAGAAAACUUUUAUGCGCCCAAGGCGGACAGAGUAAACGAUAAUAUCUUUCUUUCAUGCAGUAUUGAUCAAUACAGGGUCCAUGGGAUGUAUACCCUCGUGCCCGUAAGUUAUGACGGUUUGCAGAUGAAGUUCUGUUUAACCUUUUUGAAAAUAGAAAACAAUGUGUAUGUCACCCUAACCCUAUAUAUAGUCAAUACAUAGUUUCAAAAAUGUGAGAUAGAGUUGAUAUGUUAUUAUUAUCAGUUUAGUUUACUUCACAACUAUUGAAUCGUUGUAGAAGUAAUGUACAAAGAAAACAUUUAAUUCUUUCAGAUAAUUAUAUUUAUAAUUGUUAUUACUUGCUGGGCACUCAAAUGCUCAUCCUUGCUUAAUUUAAAUGUUUUCAGCUAAGCGUGAUCAACCUGAAGGUUUAGACAAUAAUAAGUGAAAAGGAAAGCAAACAGAAUAUGUUUAACGGUAUCUUUUGUAAUAGUUAAACUGUAUUAAGAUAAUGAUAUGUAUUAUCUAUCAUGUAAAGAAUUAUAGUAAAUGUUGCGUACUUGGGAUUAGACUAUGAUAUUUGUAAAUUAAGUUUGAUUUUUAUAUUAUUGUUAUUAUUAUUAUUAUUAUUAUUCUGCUCAUAAAAAUGGUAUCGUGAAGCACCGAGUUCGGGUUUCAAGUACCUAAAUUUGGGGGCGUCACAGUAUGGUAUUAGAGCUAUAGGUUAGAAACCUUAGGUGGGUUAAACCUUAGGCUAUAACCUUAGAACAGAGGGGAACGUUGAAAAUACAAAUAACUCAUAUAGAGUUUAUAAGGAGAUGAAUUUAAUAAAUUCAUCGUGAAACAAAAUAAAAGAUAACUAAUAAAACUAUUAUUUGCUAUGUGUUUAUACUUAGUGUUAAUCCGGAUAAUUUAUUUGUAUAGAUGUCAGAUAGAAAAAGAAUUAGAAUACCCUCAGAUCAUAAAGAAAGAGCAAAUCUCCAUGACCGAGCCAAUAUUAAAGCUAAUAGCUGAAAUAGAGGCACACAUUGAAAACUACCUCAAAGAGGAGGUUAUUUUGGAAAGUAUAAUACCAGAUCCAGAGACGAUAGUAUAACAGAUAGGUUGAGUGUAGUUAAAGAAUAUAUGGUGAAGCUUGAGUUCUUAAACUCAUUUAUUUGUGGUAAGUUCUUAAACUCAUAAUGUGUAGUAAGAAAAAGGGAAGUAUUUUAGAAUACCUCAUAUCAUUCUCGAAUUACUACUUCAUCUCCUCACCAGCUCUUGAACCCUUGACCUCUAGAAACUCAAUAAUCAAACGAGUACCAAAUGUCUACAAGGAGGACUAGUAUAGUUAUGUGUUAAUGGAUUAUUGAGGAUAAUAGAAUAUAUAGAAUGCUAAGCAAUUGAUCAUUAGUAAAGACGUAAGAAAUAGAUAGUGUUAGUAUUACUUGAAUAGGUAUGAUUCUAUGUGGUGUAAAUGAUAAGUAUGUCUGUGUAAGGAAAUAUUCUCAACUUUUGUAUAAGUUAUGGCUGCGAUUCCUGACUUGUGUGUUAUAAAGGAAUAGCGGAUGUUUAAAGCAGUAUGUGCUAUGGUAUGUCAAGUGAUAUGAAUAUGAGUCUAUGUUGGAUUAACGAAAUAAGUUGAUAUAAAGAUAGUAAUUAUUUAUCUGAACACUGGUUAAUACAGUAAACCGAAUUUUCAAAAUCUAAAAUUUUGAGUACAUGAUUAUUUGAAUAGAAAGUUUUGCGUUAUUUGAGAUGCAUGUACGAUAAGGCUUAGAAUGUAAGUUAAUAAGAAUAAUUUAUGAUAAUGCCAUCGAGAAGAAGAACCUGUCAAUAAAGCUAGAAGAUAACCAGACCCGCCAUAUAAUUUUGCGAAUGUGGACGCUCAAGCUAUGCAGAACGGAAUCCCAGCCGCGGGAAAUCGGCCAGAUAAUCGAUCGACAAACUUUAGAGACUUCAAGGCAAUCGUACUGCCAAGAUUUAGAAGAUCAACUGAUCCUGUUGACGCGUUUGUGAUAGUUAGGGUAACAUAGGGGCAAAAAGACAGCUUUUGCCACCUAUACGAUGAAAGGAGAUAGUUUUGAUAAUACCUGAAAUAAGCCAAGAGUGUGAUGGAAAGGAAAGUUUGUGUGUUGCAAAUGUGGACAGGAGGGAUAUAUCUCUCCUAACUCUCCCAAUCCAAAAGUGUAUAGUGGGUGUUUUAUUUGUGAGUUAAGGGAGCAUAAGGUGAAAGACUGUUUAAGAAAGAGAAGGGAGGCAAGGAAUGCGAAUACGAGGAGAGGCAGCAGGACAUUGACGACAACGAGACCAACUUCAACAAACAAACUGACGGAAUCAACCGCAAGAGUCAUCAACAUGACUGUUUAGGAUUCGGUAGCAGCCGGGGAUGCAACUCCAAGUAUUACUCGAACCAAUUUUAUUUUCUUAUAUAUGAUUUUCUUAUAUAUAUAGUAAAUUAUUUUAUAAAUUAUUUUGAAGGAGGAAUUUGAGUUCUUUUAGAAAUCAAAUUUCUGUUUAUGAAGAUAGAUAAGCUUUUUGCUGAAUAGUUAAAGAUCAGUUAGAUCAAUUAUGAUCGAGAUCUACUUGCAAUGAUUGUAUAGGUUAUGUACCCUUAUAUGUAUAGGUUUUAAAACGGUGAUUCCGGGGACGAAAUCUUUAUAAGGGAGGGUGAAUGUAAUAACCCGAUAUUUUCUAUAUAAUUAAAUCAGAAAUUUUGUGUAUGAAUUUAUUUAUUUAUUUAUUUAUUAAAGUUGGAAAUAUGUGCCAGGUAAUGUGUAUAUGUAUAUAUGUGAUAAAUAAAAUAUAUUUAUUGCAUGAAUAAUUACCAAUAGUUUUAUUUUAGAAUUAUUGCUCAUUAUAAAUUAUAUUAUAAUAAUAAUUAGUUUUAUAGUAGAAAUGUUUUUAUUAAUUCUAUUCUAUGAAAAUGUGUUUAUAUAUUAUUUAAAAAUUAUAUGAAAUGAUUAAAGACUUAUUAUAAUGAUUAUUCUGUUUUAUUAUAUGAAUUUUAGUUCAGAUUAUUUAAGUUAAUUAUUUUAACUUAAUUAUUAUUGUUAUGUAUGCAAGAUAAAUCAGAUAUGGAAUCCAAAUCCUAAUUUUGGAUUUUGAACAACGAAUGAGAAUAAUAAUAUAAUAUUAAUUAUAUUUUUAUUCUUCAGUGCUAUAAAUAUGUAUGUUAUGUUUGUAAGGUUAAUCUGGGGAGCAAUUUCCUUAUGACCUGAUAAAACCCUAAUUUGAAAGUCAAUUACGACUGUAAAAUCUGUUAAGUCAUUGUGAUAUGUGGUAUAUGAUUUGUAUUAUAAGUAUUAAUGUUAAUUAUAUAAAACCCUAAUUAGUAAUUUAAAACUCUAUUUUUCUUAUAUUAGAAACCCUAAACAGUAAUUAGCUAUCCGCUAAGUGGAAACCCUAAUUUAAAACUCAACUAUGAGUUUGAGACUAUUAUGUAACUGUGUUAUUAUGUUUAAGGUUAAGUAUUAUAGAAUUUUAUAUUAAUUAGAGAAACCCGAAUUAACAUUUAGAAAUCCUAAUUUCCAGAAACCCUAAUUUCUAAAUUAGUAAACCUAAUUUCUAAAUUAGUAACCCUAAUUUACUAAAAUAAAAUCCUAAUUGUUAAUUUAGCACGCUUAAUGAUAAUUAGUAAAAUCUAAACCUAAUUUUCAAGUCUAUGUAAUGAGGAAACCAAAUUAAUUACGAAACCUUAAUUUGUAUUUUUAGAAACUAAAAAUUUCAAUUUUUGUUUAAAUUAGAAAUCCUACAACACUUUGUGCUAAACCUUAUGGUCAAACCCUAAGGGUCAAACCCUAAGUGUUUGAUAAGUUACUAGUUUGCCCUUAAAUUGGUUAGCCAAAUGACAAAAAUACCCCUCUUGCAUUAUUGGACAUAACUUGUAAGACUAACCAAUUUUGAGUUGCUCAACAACUCUUACCAGCCCCAUUUGACUAAAAUGCCAGCAAUUAGCCAACUUGAUUUCAUGUUAUAUAUAGAGAGAUCAGGAAAGAGAAAUUUCAUUUAUUAGCCACAUUUGUACAAAAAACUCCUUACCAACUCUCUCUCUCCCAAAACCCACGAAAUGUUGUAGUAGAUCAGUCCCAUAUUAAAGCCCCACUAACACACUUAACCAAAUCAGCAGCCAGAAUCAAGAAUUGAUGUUUAAAGGUAUAAAAUCCUAAGUUAAAGUUUUGAUCUUGUAUGCUAUAUUGGAUUUAUGGUUUUUAUGUUUAAUCAUGUAGAAUAAGGUGUUAAUAGGUGAUCUGGGUUGGCACAUGUUAGAUCCAUAACAUCAAAGUGCUCGAAAUCUAAGUUUUUCAAAAUCUGGAAUUUUUUGUUUUUGUUGUCUGACAGCGAAUGUCAGGCCUUGUAGAUCUGUGCUUGUUUAUUGUUUUGAUGAUUUAAAGGUUUGAAGUGGUAGUUUGGUAUGAGGUCUUUCAUAUGAAAGUGGAAUCACUGUUAUUGGAUGUCUAGAUCGAAAGUUAUUGAUGGUCAAAAGUCGUUGACCAACCAUGACCGAGUGUAAAUCUGGGCAACCCAGAAAGCUUUUUCAGCGUCUGACAAUGUUUUGGAAGGCUUAGAUCUGUCAGUGUGUAAAUGAUUUGAUGAUGUUAUAAUAUACAGUUUAUAGCCUGUCAUAUGUACUUUAUAUUUGUGGCUUUAGAUCCUUUAAACAAACAAUUGAUCAAACUUAGUGGAUGGUCAAACUUGGCCCCUCGGUCACGAUUUCAUUUCUGGGAAUUUCCAGAAAAUCGGAAGAACAGCCCUCUGACAGGGUUUGACCAAGUUAUAUCUUGUAGAUCUGUUGAUGUUAAACUGAUUUGUUGUUAUAUUAUUGUUCCUGGACAUAAGGACUACAUCUUUGAGGCAUUAGAUCACUUGAAUCAUGAACGGAACCUAGAUUAAAUCGAGGAUGAAAGUGACUGGUCGACCACCUGGGUUUCUGGAAAACCCAGGAAUGCUCUGACAACAUAUUUGCAAGCCUAGAUCUCCUUGUGUGUUUGUUGUAUGACCUAGAUAUUGAUUGCUAGUUAUAGUGUUGUAUAAUGACUUCAAUAUUGAUGCUUAAGUUUGCCCAGAAACGAAUUAGACAGAGAAUUAUUAGUGGUCAAAGUUGACCCCUCAAACACAAAGCUAUAAGUGUUCUUGAGCUCAAGAACACCAACAGCGACGCUUACUGUCGCUAAAAGCCAAUAACGACGGUUUCUAAUACUUUUAAUUUCUGAUUUUUCGAAAAAUACUUAAAAAUAGAAAAUAAAUUAUAAAAAUUACAAAAAUGGUUUUAAAAAUUAUUUUCAAUUAUGAAAAAUAACUUUUAAUUAUUUGGGAUAUUUUUCAUUAAUAUUUAUAUAUUUUUUAAUAUUAAUAAUAUUUAAUUUAUUUAAUUAGUGUAUUAAAUAAACUAGAGAAAAAUGAUUUUAAUGUUAUAAAAAUCAAUUGAAAUAAGAAUAAAGUGUUUAAAAAUAUUUUUGAGUUAUAUAUGUAACUUUUAAUAUUUUUGUGAUGAAUUUCAUUAAUUAAUUAAUAUUGGUGAUAAUUAAGUAAUUUAAUAAAUGUAUUAAAUAAAUUAUGAAAAAUAGAAUUUGUGAUUUAAAAAUCAUAUAAAAGUGAUUUAAAGAUUAUAAAAAAAUAUUUAAAGUUAUAAAAUAUAACUUUUGAUAUUUUGUCAUGAAAAAUAUUAAUAAUUUAAUAUUAAUAAUAUUAGAUUUAUUUAAUGAUUAUAUUAAAUAAUUUAGUUUAAAAAUAAUUUUAUUAUUAUAAAAAUCAUUUUAAAUGAAAAUAAAGUGUUUAAAGAUAUUUUAAGUUAUAAAAUAUAACUUUUAAUAUUUAAAGGAUAAUUUCAUUAAUAAUUUAAUAUUAAUGAUAUUAAUUUAAGAUUUAUUGAUAUUAAAUUUAUUUAAUAAUUAUAUUAAAUAAAUAUUUUUAAAAUGGUUUUAUUAGUUUAAAAAUCAUUUAAAAGGAUAUAAUUGAAUUAAAAAUAUUUUAAGUUGGAAUUAAUGACGUUUAAUAUUUGGAUAAAUAGUAAAUUAAUAUUUUAAUAUUAAUGGUAAUUAUUUAAAAAUGAUUUUAAAUGUUUUAAAAAUCAUUUAAGGGUAGUAUUAGUACUUUAAAAAUAUUUUGAGUUAUUAUCAAUAACUUUAAUAUUUUGGUAAUGAUUAUAUUAAUAAUUUAAUAUUAAUUAAAUAUUAAUGAUAAUAUGAUUAUGUACUAUUUAAAUCAUUUAAUUAUGAUUCCAGUGUUUGAAAUUUCAUAAUAAAUUAUAAUAAAUGUUUAAAAAUUAUUAUAAGUCAUUUAAAAAUAAUAUGAUUGAUACUUGUAGAUAUUGAGAUACAAUAUAGAGUCUUAGACUCGAUAUUUACCCAAUAAAGCCGUCGGUAGACCGACAUAUUUUAAAAAUUGAUCUAGACUUAGAUAUUUGACUGUAUUAAUGUUUGUUUGUGAUUUAAUGAUUGUUGAAUAUGUGUGACAAUGUGAUUAGGUUAUGUCCUAACUGCAAUAAGAAGUGCUAUGUGUUAUAGUAUGUUAUUCUAAUCGAACAAAUGAUUUUAUUAAUGAUAGGUUUUGGUAUUAAAGAUAAAACUAAGUUGUGUAUUGUAAGUAGCAGACCAGACAAGUAUCCUAUCUUUGCAUUUUCAUUAUGCAAUGGACAUGAGUAAGAAGUUUAGAACUGUAUUACUACUGUAUCAGAUUAUUAACCCUAUUGUUAUAUAUGUUAUAUCCGAUUAUUGUUUAUCAACAUUGUGACGACCCCAAAAUAGUUAUACAACACCCAUUCUGAGUCGCCAUAAUACAUGGUACAGAAAGAAAACUACAACUUCACUAUUACAAUUGUCAUGCAAAAUACGACAACACAUACUGUGAGUUUAAAUACAAAUAUUGUCUUCUAGACAAUAUCCACAAUCAAAUAAGUCCUCAAUACAUUUAUUAAUACAUUAUUUUACAAAAAUAGUGAGGACUGCUAAAAUAACUAUCUUGAAUCAUCACUCCAUACCCCGGCUAGUCCCUGCUAUAUUCUCACCUCCUGAGAAGAAAAAUGGAACAACAAGAAAAAGGGUGAGUUCAACUAGCCCAGUAAAGAAUAUUAUGACUAAGAUAAUAUACAACAAAUUAUCAUUAGUCCUCAACAGGGAAAAAUCUGAUAGAAUAUAAUAGACAACAAGUUUUAGAUCAGCAAAUGCAGCGGAAACAACAAUCCAUUAGAAGAGUCACGUAGAGAAUGAGUUCUACUAUCUUCUAAGAUUUAAAAGUCCAUCAUCAAUAUUUUAUCCCUGUAACAACAAUCAAUAUACAUCUUUACACUACAGGCCAAAGAUAUUCAUUUAAAUCACCAGUCGGUCAUGUUCAUCUCAACACCUGUUCAUCUUUGCACUACGGGCCAAAGAUAUUCAUCAGUUUAUCAUUCAUCUUUGCACUACAGGCCAAAGAUAUUCAGUAAUAUCAUCAUUUAGGACUGAGGAUGAUGAAAAAUAUUUUUUUUUAAAGAAACGAAUCCAGUGAAACAAAAGGACAAGGAUUAAGAAUUCGUACUUUAGUUUGUCCAAAUUCAAAAAUACUCCAUAAUAAACAAUUAUGGGACAAAUUUUAAGAAUGAAGAUCAAAACAUGGAUAUAAUCAAAGCUAGUAUCAUAAUGGACAUUUUGGAUAAAAAGGAAAUUUUUUAUUUUUCGGUGAAUAAUGUCGUAUUCGUGAAUAGUGCUGUAUACGUGAAUAGUGCCGUAUACGUGAAUAGUAACCCCGACACAAAAAGUUCCAAAUUUGAUAAAAAGAUCAGAUCAAUAUUUCGACGUAAUGAUAUUGACGAAAAUAAUAUCAUUCAUGAAGAAAAUAAUAUUCCUUACCUCAAAGAAGCAGUACUUCGGAAUGAAAGGUCGGAAGUGAUGCUGAAUGAAACUUGUACUGAACAACAACUCUCAAAGUAUCUAAAUACUCACAAAAUACGCUCGAUAAUAUAGAGAGAAAGAGAGAAAGCUUAUGUUUCUUGUGUGAUUUUCAAUUCUAACUUAGCCAUCUAUUUAUAGAAAAAUGUUAACCCGCCGAAGCAGACUUGACCUGCUACCUGAUGGCUUUACCUGUUACUAUUGCCACCCACCACAUUUAAAAUUCAAUUUGAGCACAUUUCUCACCAACCACAAGUGGGGCCCAUUCAAUUCUAGAAUUUUCCACCAAAAUCAUUUAUAACCCUAAUUUCCGAAGCAGUCACCUCUUAAAAUUCAUAACAAAUCAUUCGUUCAUUUUUAACGGUUCAAAAUUUGUGGACAUAUACCCAACUUAUAUAUGUAUAACAUAACCAAAAAUCACAACAAUCCAACGGUCAGAGUAAAAAUUAUAACUCACGCAAUAUAUCGUAAAAAUACUGAUUUGAUUUUUAAUACCUCCAUUCCGACAAAAAUAUAGAUAAAACACCUCAACAUUAACUCCUUCAAUUAUAAUCACAUAAAAUAAACAAAUCCAUCAUUUAUAUAAAAUAAAUAUUUCCUUAUCAUAUAAAUCAAUAAUUAAUUAUUCACAAAUAAUAUUAUAGAAUCACAAUUAUGACAACCAAGCCGUUUCCAGGAAAGAGGGGGCUUUCCAAUAAGGAUUUCUCCUUACUGGCGCGCAAUUAGAUGACCUAACCUCUCCUUAACAGAACUUUCUAGACAUUGCCAAUAAUGCUAUCUAAUAAUAUUAUUAAAGCAAUAUGAAUUAUUGAUCUGAUAAUGGGAAAUACUGUGCAGUAACAAUAAUUGAAAUAAUAAUAAUAUAAAAUAUCAACGCAGCAAUUAUUGAAUCAAUAAAAUAAAAUAUUAAACAGUAACUACUGUAACAAUUAUUGAGUAGUGCCUUCUUACGUAAGAAUCAAUAAUUCAACUAUACUGUGUAAUACCGUGUGCUACUGUGCAACUACGCGUAUUACUGUAUUUUAACCACCAGGUAAUCCAACAGUGUUAACGGUAACAACUGCGCCGUUAUUUAUAAAAACACAUACUUGUCGUUUUCCUUCAUCCAACCAUUUUUCAUUAUGGGGCCCACAAAUGGCUGCGCCGUCGUACGAAUAUUCCCUGACAGCAAGAAUAUUCCACGACGAAACGAAUAUUCCCCGACAACAAUGAAUAUUUUAUAACCACUUGCUUAUUUUGCAAAAUUUGCUUAUCUCAUCCAUAACCAAAAUAUUAUAUCAAAUUAACACCUUAUUAUUCACAAUAAUAAUAAUUAGAGGAAAUUCAAUUUCAUUUAUAAAAAGUUGGGGUCUUACAAACAUGAUAUUAUAUUAUAUAAUUCAGAUAUAUAUUCUGUUCGUUAAUUUCUAAAAAUGAUUUAAUCACAUGUUGAUAUAUAUAUAUAUAUAUAUAUAUAUAUAUAUAUAUAUAUAUAUAUACCUAUUGAACCCCAGUAUGUAUACAUUAAGUAAAAGUCGUCUAAGCUAUUCAACUAGCUAGACACAGAUUUAGAUAUAUCAUUGAAUAUGAUAAAACUUUUUUGUAUCCAAUCAAAUUGUUUUGGUUCGGAUUCCAGACUAAGUAUGAACAUCCAGAACAUGGGAAAACUUUUAUGCACCUAAGACGGACAGAGUGAAUGAUAAUAUCGUUCUUGCAUGCAGUAUUGAUCAAUACAGGGUCCUUGGGAUGUACACCCUCGUGCCCAUAAGUUAUGACGGUUUGCAAAUGAAGUUCUACUUUACCUUUUUGAAAAUAGAAAAUAAUGUUCAUAAUAUGUCACCCUAACCCUAUAUAUAGUCAAUACGUAGUUUCAAAAAUGUGAGAUAGAGUUGUUAUGUUAUUAUUAUCGGUUUAGUUUACUUCACAACUAUUGAAUCGUUGUAGAAGUAAUGUACAAAGAAAACAUUUAAUUCUUUCAGAUAAUUAUAUUUAUAAUUGUUAUUACUUGCUGGGCACUCAAAUGCUCAUCCUUGCUUAAUUUAAAUGUUUUCAGCUAAGCGUGAUCAAUCUGAAGGUUUAGACAAUAAUAAGUGAAAAGGAAAGCAAACAGAAUAUGUUUAACGGUAUCUUUUGUAAUAGUUAAACUGUAUUAAGAUAAUGAUAUGUAUUAUCUAUCAUGUAAAGAAUUAUAGUAAAUGUUGCGUACUUGGGAUUAGACUAUGAUAUUUGUAAAUUAAGUUUGAUUUUUAUAUUAUUGUUAUUAUUAUUAUUAUUAUUAUUCUGCUCAUAAAAAUGGUAUCGUGAAGCACCGAGUUCGGGUUUCAAGUACCUAAAUUUGGGGGCGUCACAAAUAUGGCUCAGUUAUUGGAGCGCGAUAAUGAGUCAACCCAACCAAGAGAGAGUAGCCGACAAAAUGAUAAUACCAGUGGUAGCAGUCAUCGAAGCGGUGUCAACAAACGUGGAGGGAAUCAACAUGCUAGAAAUGGUAACCACUUCGGUAGUAAUCAUGGCGAAGAUAAUAAAAAUGGAAAUUUCAAGAAGAGGAGAAUCAACAAUGAUGGAAAGACGUCAGCACCAGAACCCGUUGGUAAGGAAGGAGAACGACCAGCGAUCGUAUGCUACAAAUGCGGAGGGGAGGGAUACAUCAGUCCAAACUGUGCGCAGCCGUCCAAAAUGUAUUAUAAUUAUGGAAGAGAAGGUCACCUAGCUCGAUUUUGUCUUGCAAGGAAGCCAAGUCAAGCUGGGAUGGAGGCACCAAAGGUCAUCCCAGAAAAGUCAAAACCAGUAGUUCAAGGGAGAGCGUUUUUCGUGACCUCCCAGAAAGCAAGGAACCUGAACGAGGUUAUCAUGGGUAAGCUAAUCAUAAACUCUAGCGAAGUAUAUACCUUAUUUGAUAACGGUUCUACCCAUUCUUUUAUUUUACUAUUGGCACUCAACGUUUAAAUUUAACUCUGGAGAAAUUAGACUUUGACUUAUCUGUUAAAACUCCGUUGGGAGAAACCUUCAUUACAUCCACUGUUUAUAAGUCUUGUUUAGUUCAAAUCGGUACCCUCACAUUACCUGUCGAUCUUAUUUCUUUAAAAAUACUUGCAUUUGAUGUGAUUUUAGGGAUUGAUUGGUUAACUACUCAUCAUGCAAAAAUUGAUUGUUUUCGUAAGGUUGUUAGCUUUCAUAUUCCUAACCAACCUAUUAUGCGAAUUCAAGCAACCAAACCACUAAAGUCAAUCACUGUCAUAUCAAGCCAUAAAGCUAUUCAUUUAUUGAAAAAUAGAUGUCAAGCUUUCUUAGCCCAUGUCACAAAUUUAAACAAAAAUACGUCAUAUUUGAAUGAUAUUUCUAUUGUUAAUAAAUUUCCAGAUGUAUUCCCUGAAGAACUUCCUGGCCUACCCCCAGAGCGUAAAAUUGAGUUUGUAUUGACCUCGAACUCGGUAAAAGACCCAUUUCCAAAGCCCCAUAUCGAAUGGCUCCUAUUGAACUUCAGGAGUUAAAAACCCAACUGCAGGAGUUGUUAGACAUCUGUUUCAUUUUUCCUAGUACGUCUCCUUGGGGUUCUCCUGUUCUAUUCGCAAAGAAGAAAGAUGGGAGUAUGCGACUUUGUAUUGACUAUCGGGAGUUAAAUCAUGUCACUAUCAAAAAUAGGUACUCGUUGCCUCGCAUUGAUUACCUGUUUGACCAGUUGUAAGGAGCCAAAUUCUUUUCAAAGAUCGAUCUUCGUUCUGGAUAUCACCAGUUAAAGAUUAAAACUGAUGACAUCCGAAAGACUGCUUUCAGAACUCGGUACAGGCAUUAUAUAUGAAUUCCUAGUCAUGCAUGUCCGUUGGAUUGACUAAUGCUCCUGCUGCUUUCAUGGAUAUGAUGAACCGAGUAUUCAAGGAAUAUUUGGAUCAUUUUGUGGUCAUUUUUAUUGAUGACAUCCUCAUAUACUCCAAAAUCCGUGAAGAUCAUGAGCAACACUUGAGGUUUAUACUUCAAAAGUUUCGUGAAAACAAGCUUUAUGCCAAGUUGAAGAAAUGCGAGUUCUGGCUUAAGGAAGUGGCAUUCCUUGGGAACGUGAUAUCAAUUCACGGAAUAUCUGUUGACCCAUUGAAGAUUAAAGCAAUUCAGAGCUGGGAGCAACCUAAGUCAGUGACCGAAGUACGUAGCUUUCUGGGCUUAGCUGGUUAUUAUCGGAGAUUCAUGGAUGGAUUUUCUCGAAUUGCUACUCUAUUAACUCAGCUGACUCGAAAAGAUACAAAAUUCGGUUGGAGCGAGGAAUGUGAGAAAAGUUUUCAAGAACUCAAGAGAAGACUCAUUUCAGCACCUGUUCUGAUAAUACCAUCUGGCUCGUAGGGAUUUAUCAUCUACAAUGAUGCUUCAGGCAAAGGGUUAGGAUGUGUUCUCAUGCAACAUGGGAAAGUCAUAGCCUAUGCAUCAUGACAACUCAAAGAAUAUGAGAGGAAUUAUCCUACUCAUGAUCUAGAGUUGGCAGCUGUCGUUUUUGCGCUUAAGAUUCGGAGGCAUUACCUGUAUGGAGAGAAUGUGGAGAUCUAUACGGAUCAUAAAAGCCUCAAAUAUUUCUUCACUCAAAAGGAGCUCAACAUGCGACAACGACGUUGGCUUGAGCUAUUGAAAGACUACGAUCAUACCAUUUAAUACCAUCUUGGAAAAGCGAACGUAGUAGCUGACGCAUUGAGUAGAAGAUCAUAUGCGGGUACGAGUGCGAUAUUGUUAACGCAAAGACCCAUUUUGUAUGACUUACAAAGGAUGGAAAUAGAGUUAAAGACUCUAGGGACCCAAGUGAUGAUGGCAAAUAUACGAUUAGAACCGACUUUAAUCGAUAAAGUUAAAGCUGCUCAACUUACGGACCUGGAGCUGAUGCGUAGUAGGAAGAAAGUACAAGGUGCUAUCCUGGAAGCAAGAAUCGAUGAAGAAGGAAUACUAUGAGUCAACUCUAGACUUUGUGUUCCUAACGACCCUAAUUUAAAGUAUAAAAUCAUGAUGGAGGCGCACAACACACCGUUUGCAAUCCAUCCUGGGAGUACCAAAAUGUAUCGUGAUCUUCGACAUAUAUUUUGGUGAAGUAAUAUAAAGAGAGAGAUAACAGAGUUUAUCUCAAGAUGUUUAACUUGUCAACGUGUCAAGGCGGAGCAUCAAGUGACAAAAGGUCCAUUGCAACCACUUGAAAUUCUAGAAUGGAAGAGGGAGCACAUUACCAUAGAUUUUGUUAUUGGUCUUCCCAAGGUUUCUCAAGGCAUAGUUGCAAUUUGGGUCAUUGUUGAUAGAUUGACCAAGUCUGCUCAUUACUUACCUAUACGAGAAACCUAUACACUUGAACGUCUUGCUCGUAUAUACAUAAACGAGAUUGUAAGACUGCAUGGUAUACCAGUAUCCAUAGUUUCUGAUCGAGACCUAAGAUUACUUCACGAUUUUGGGUCAGUUUGCAGAAAGCUAUGGGCACGGAUUUGCGAUUCAGUUCUUUGAUGCCCCCAAAAUAGGUAUACAUCACCCAUUUUGAGUCGCCAGAUACAUGGUACAAAAUUCAAAUACAACUUAAUUAUACAACAGUCGUGUAAAUACGACAAAACAUAAUCUAAGAGUUUUAAUAAGAAUAUUGUCCAUCUAACAAUAUCCACAAUCAAUGGAGUCCUCAUUACAUUUAUAAUCACACUAUUUCACAGAAUAGUGAGGACUACUAAUACAAACAUCUGGACCGUCACUCUGUUCCCCGACUAGACCCAGCUACGUUCUCAUUUCCUGAAGAGAACCAUGAAAGAAAAGGGUGAGCUCAACUAGCCCAGUAAGAAAUAUUAUGACUAAGAUAAUGCAAAAUAAAUUAUCCUUAGCCUUCAACAGUAUAACAACUGAUAGAAUAUAAUAGACAACAAGUUUUAGAUCAAAAACUGCAGCGAAAUAAGCAAUCCAUUAGAAGAGUCAAGUAGAGCAUAAAAUCUACUAUCUUCUAUGAUUUAAAAAGUUUUUCAAAAUUUUUAUCGCUGAGACUCAGCUUAAUAUAUAUAUAUAUAUAAAAGCAAUAAACGCACCGGAUGUAGACUUACAGUGGACUGCCAAAGUAGACUUCUUGGACUGCAAAUGGAUGAACACUCGUCUCUCGCCGGACUAAAAGUAGCUAUAUACGAGCUAACUAGUGUUUAAAGAAAAGGAAACACUCAAAAGAUGUGUAUGCAGAGCUAAACGGACAGGGCUUCCUCGCCUUUUUCCCUCUCUUCCUUCUCUCAAAUGGCUGACCCCCCCUCUAUAUUUAUAGACGGAUGGCCGCAGGUCUACCUGCGGCUGGUCGUGGUGGGCCCGGGCAUCGCGGGUCUCGUCGUCUUGUAGUACGUGCACUUGCGCACGGUAAUGUCCAAUCGAACUUUCAGAACUUCAAUCCUAGCAUCCAAACGAAGCGUGUCUGUACUUCUUCGGACCGCUGGUGUCGAGAGUUACGUAAUGACAUGGAUUAGAGGUUGUACGAAGUCAGGAAGCGGGGUAUAUGCCCAUGGUCUUCAGGCUUCAAAUUCUAUCCAAAGUAUUGUCACAGGUAAUAGUCACUCGGGAUUGUCAUUCCUCGGUUAUUUGGGACAUUGUUGUAUGUAUGUAUGUCUGAAAGGUUGAGACGACGUGCCAUUUGUUGGACGAACAAGAUGAUGUUUGACUCUUUGCCGGAGUUAUCGCCUGGUUGAGCUGAAAGUAACCGUUGCUCAGGUUACAUCUGAGAUUGGACUACUUGUUGGUAUGCUGCUAUAUCAUCUUGUUACGAGAUGACGUUGGUGACUCCUCACCGGGUUUAUCGCCGGUUUAAGCGGAAAGCAGACGUUGAUCAGGGUUACAGCUAAGAUUGGACCGCCUAUUUGUAUGCCUCACUGUCAUCUGUGAUUGAAGCUGAUUGCAUGUGUUUGCAACAAGCAAUUCUGGAGUUAUCGCCGGAACUGCGAUGGCAUCACUUGGGGUUAUCACCAAGGAUGGGACUACUACUCCCAAUGUUGUCUCUGGGACUGGAACUGAACGUCGCGGUGUCAUCACCGAGACAGGACUGUCCUCUCCGGUGUUGUUGCCGGUCUUUUGAUCUGCACAUCUCGGGGUUAUCUCCGAGAUUGGAAAUGACGUGCCCGGUGUGUGUUCCGGGUUUGGAACCGAUGCUCCCGGUUUGUGUUCCGGUUUGGAGCGAAACUUCCGGUAGUAUCUGGACUUGUUGUGAGCUGUCUUUCAGGGUUAUCUCCAAAAGACGAAUCUACCCUCCUGCAAUGUUAGUAAUAGGAGUGCAGAAAAUUUCGAGUGUCUACAACACCUAGCAACCCAGAUCAUCACUAUAGACUAAAAACAACAUAUUCUAACACCCAAACAUAACAUUUAACAACAUAUCAAAGGUCAGAUUUUUAGGUUUAGUGUUAUACCUUCUUGCUCAAUUUCUUGAUUUUAUGUUACUGAUUUGUUAUGGGAUUUCGUGGGGCUUGAAAAUGGGACAAAAAUGCUAUAGAUUUUCGUUGGUUCUAGUGAGAGAAGCUCUUGGUUGAGUGUUGUGCAAUUUUUAGUGAACAAAUGCAUUUUCUCUAUCCUUAAAUCUAUUUAUAGACAAAUUAGAUACAUGAAUGGCUGAGCUAGAACUUGUUGUUGUCAAUUUAGUGUCACAUGGCUACUCUAGGGUUAGCCAACCACUCCAUCUAGACCUAUUUCUACAAGCAAGCUUCAAUAAUACAAUAGGGCACAAAAGUCUUUUGGCUAGCAAUUUUAAGGGCAUUUUUAUAACUUGUCAAACCCUUAGGGUUUAACCCUUAGGGUUUAGCACAUAACACAAAUGAUUUUUAGCAACUUAGGGUUUGAAUAAAAUAAAAUUAUUUUAGCUUCUAAAAUUUGAAAAUCAAGAUUUGUUAAUUAGAUUAAGUUAGUAAUUAUAUUAUACAUGAACAUUAGGGUUUAGUACCACUAAUCAUAAUUAACCUUGCCAAAAUAGCAAUUAGGGUUUAAGAUUUUAAUAAUUAGGAUUUCUAAAACUCAAUUAGGAUUUUCUAAUUAUCCAAUUAGGGUUCUGAACAUUAGGGUUUUAAUUUAAUAAUUAUGUUUACCAUAAUUAGCAAUUAAAGUCUAUUGUACGUGUUAUUAAUCACAGUAACAUAAUUUUUGACAGAUAAAAUUCUUCAGUUUAAGUUUUGAUUUAGGGUUUCUAAUAUCAGAAAUUCAAAUCUAAUUAGGGUUUGACAUUUAUAAUUAGGGUUCCCUAAUUGGCAUAUCAUUAUGUAACACAACAUAUAACACAGUUAUAUAACAGUCUCAAAUUUCCCAUUUAAAUUGAAAAACAGGGUCAAACCAAUUAAUGCUAGGGUUUGGUCAAUAUACACCAUAAUUGACCAACCAUCAACAGUACGUACAUACAGUACAUAUUUAUGGCACUGAGAAAUUAAAAUAUUAUAAUAUUAUAUAUUAUUCUCAUGCCUUGAUCAAAACCCAAAAUUAGAGUUUGGAUUCCGUAUCUGAUUUAUCUGCCAUAAAUAACCUUAUUAAUUAAGUUAAAAUAAUUAACUUAAUAAUCUGAACAAAAUUCAUAUAAUAAAAUAAUUAUUAUAAUUAUUCUAACAUCAUUUCAUAUAUUACUUAUAUUUUCAAGGAAAAUAAUUAAUAAAACAUUUCUAAUAUAAAAUUAACUGUUAUAAGAAUAUAAUUUAUAAUAAUUAAUAUUUCUAAAAUAAAUCAAUUUGUAAUAAUUAAUGUAAUAAAUUUUAUUUAUCACACAUAUAAUUAUACACAUAUUACCUUGGCACAUAUCACCCAUAUUUAUUUUAAUAAAUAAUAAAAAAAAAAUUUAUACGCAAAAUUUAUGAUUUAUUUAUAUAGAAAAUAUCGGGUUGUCACAUUCUUCACAUUCAUCAGAUUCGGGUGUGUAGCUUGAGCGGCUUUAACUUUAUCGAUUAAAGUCGAUUCUGCUCGUAUAUUCGUUAUCUUCACGUGGGUCCUUAGAGUCUUUAACUCUAUCUUCAUCAUUUGUAAGUUAUACGAAAUGGGUAUUUGUGUUAACAACAUCGCACUUGUAAACACAUACGAUCUUCUACUCAAGGCGUCAGCUACUACGUUCGCUUUUCUACGAUGAUAUUGAAUGGUAUAGUCGUAAUCUUCAAUAGCCCGAGCCAACGUCUUUGGCGCAUGUUACGUUCGUUUUAAGUGAAGAAAUAUUUGAGGGUUUUAAAAAUGGGUUUUGUACUGGGGUCAAUACAAAAUUUGAUUUCACGCUCUAGGGGUAGGCUAAGAAGUCUUCAGGAAUACGUCAGGAAACUUAUUAACGAUAGAAAUAUCAUUCAAAACUGUGACUCUCAUCCCAAGACUUGGAUAGCCCGUCAUAUUGAUACCUAUCAACUUGCCACCGUUAUUCACGGCGUCCCCUACGGAUAGUCUGGCUUCGGUGUAUUCCAAGACUUGGAAGUCAUCAGCGAAAGGCUUAGGUCUCUUUACUUAUGGCUUGAUAUGACAAUGAUUGGCUUUAGUGGUUUGGUUGCUUGAAUUCGCAUAACAGGUUGGUUAGGAAUAUGAAAGCUAACAACCUUACGAAAAGCAUGAUGAGUAGUUAACCAAUCGACUCCUAAAAUCACAUCAAAGGCAAGUAAUUUCAAAGAGAUAAGAUCGACAGGUAACGUGAAAGUGUCGAUUUGAAUUAAACAAGAUUUAUAAACAGUGGAUGUAAUUAACGAAGGUUUCUCCUAACAUAGUUUCAACCGAUAAGUCAAAGUCUAAUUUCUCCGGAGUUAAGUUCAAACAUUGAACACAACUAGGUGAAAUAAAAGAGUGAGUAGAACCGGUAUCUAACAAGGUAUAGACUUCGCAAGAGUUUAUGAUUAACUUACCCGUGAUAACUUUAUUCAGGUUUCUCGUCACGAAAAACGCUCUCUCUUAAACUACUGAUUUUGACUUGUCUGGGACAUCCCAGUUGGACUUAACUUUGCUGUAGAGUACAUUCCACCCUUAAUUGCUUCAUCACAUUCCUGAUCCAUGAUUCGAAUCAUUACUCUCUGAUCCAUAUCGAAUUGGGGUUAACCGCUCUGCACAGGGUAAUUUCGAAUUCGAUGUUGGAUUCUCCCAAUUGUUGUCCAAAAAGCAAAAUCCAUUUCAUCUAUUUUAGCCUUAUUGGAUCUGACGUCUUUUUCUACAAUAUCUACACGUCGUGCGACUUUUACCCAUGCAUCAUCUAUUCUCAUUCGUUCAGUUGUUUUUUCUUUCAUCAGAACUUUGAUCAUAGCAUUCUUAAAUUCCAGCUCUAAUAUCUUAUACUCUGCCAAAGAGUGCUUCUGUUCGAGCAUCGUACAUCGGGUAACACAAUUUUGAAUUGCUACAUCUCUUUGCUCCACGACCGCCUGUCGUUCUUCAGCCUGCUCUUCUAGCUCAUGAAUACAAUUUUGUAAUUCUAAAUUUCGAUCAUAAAAUUCUUCUAAUAAAUUCACCUCAGGUUCCUCUUCUUCCUCACUCUCAGCUGCUACCUCUGCAACUAGCUCGAGUGCAACUAUUAGUUCUUCACUCACCAUGUAGAUAUCUCUAAUUUCUUCUUCGUUUGACAUCACAUUAACCUGGUUAGUGAUUAAAGGUGUCUCAACGAUCUCAUUCACUGCAUUGUUAAUAUUUUUAGCCGCCAUUUUUAAAUACUGUCAUAAAACAAGGGUGAAUUAACAUAUCACAUAUUAUCAAUAUAUUAUGACCGACCAAUUAAAUACCAAAUAAACUUAGGUAGGUCAUACUAGCAAAGGAAUUCCCCGUCUCUCCCCUCCUAGUUCUUGUCUCACAUCUCAGCCAGGGAUCAUAUCCCUAAGCUUUGAUACCAACUGUGACGCCCCCAAAACAGGUAUUCAUCACCCAUCUUGAGUCGCCAAAUACAUAGUACAAAAUUUAAAUACAACUUAAUUAUACAACAGUCGUGUAAAAUACGACAAAACAUAAUUUAAGAGUUUUAAUAAGAAUAUUGUCAUCUAGACAAUAUCCACACUCAAUGGAGUCCUCAUUACAUUUACUGUCACACUAUUUAACAGAAUAGUGAGGACUACUAAUGCUAACAUCUGGACCGUCACUCUGUUCCCCGACUCGUCCCAGCUAUAUUCUCAUUUUCUGAAGAGAACAGUGAAAGAAAGGGUGAGCUCAACUAGCCCAGUAAGAAAUAUUAUGACUAAGAUAAUGCAAAAUAAAUUAUCAUUAGCCUUCAAUAGUAUAACAACUGAUAGAAUAUAAUAGACAACAAGUUUUAGAUCAAAAACUGCAGCGGAAUAAGCAAUCCAUUAGAAGAGUCAAGUAGAGCAUAAAAUCUACUAUCUUCUAUGAUUUAAAAAGUUUUUCAUCAUUUUUAUCGCUAAGACUCAACUUAAUAAAUAAAAUUGAAUCAUCCCUGCACCACAGCGAAGUUUAUUCAUGUAAUCAUCAAUGGUCAUGACUAUACCGAAUAAUCCCUAGUCAUAAUCAUACCAACAACUGUCCACCAAUGAAUUACAUGCCAAUGAUGACUUUUACCACAUCAUUCGUCACAUUACAGUCAUGAUUAUACCGAAUAAUCCCUGGUCAUAAUCAUACCAAGUCCAUCUAUGCACGUAAGUCAAAGAUGACUAUCAUCACAAUAUAAGCAUGAAGAUGAUAACAAUGACAUAAUAAUUCAAUAAAACAAGUUCAAGGAUAAAUUUUAAAGAUUUAUAAUUUAAUUUAUCCAGGAAUCAAUAACGUCUAAUUUGUCAACAUGAUACUGCUUUGUGGAGUAAAAUUCAAGAAUGCUCAGAAGAAUAUUUCUAUGAAAAGAUACUGGAUGAAGUGCAAAUAUCUAGGAUAUUCUACUAAUUUUAUGGAGUAUAGAAGCCAAAACUUUAACCAACUGAGUAUAAUAGAAUAUAUGAAGCUGUAAAUGGAUUUUCGCCCGCCAUGCGGUAAUCCAUGUAGACAGAUCAUUUCCACAUUUUAAUAAGGAAUGAAUACGAAGGAUCAUUCACCAUGCAUGCGAUAAUCCACAUAGACAUGUUAUUCCAACAGAAUAACAAAGUAUGGAAUAACAGAAGAAUUCACCAUGCAUGCGAUAGACCACACAGACAGGUUAUUCCAACAGAAUAAUAAAGAAUGAAAUACUAAAAGAAUUCACCAGGUGUGCGUAGUCCGCACAGACAGGUUAUUCCAGCAGAAUAAUAAAGAAUAGAAUAACAGAAGAAUUUACCAGGCGUGCUUAAUCCGCACAGACAAGUUAUUCCAACAGAAUAAUAAAGAAUGGAAUAACAGAAGAAUUCUCCAGGCGUGCGUAAUCUGCACAGACAGGUUAUUCAACCAGAAUAAUAAAGAAUGGAAUAAUAGAAGAAUUUUGCCACGCAUACGGUAAUCCGUGUAUACAGGUUAUUCCAACAGAAUAAUAAAGAAUAGAAUAACAGAAGAAUUUCACCACACAUACGGUAAUCCGCGUAUACAUGUUAUUCCAACAGAAUAAUAAAGAAUGGAAUAACAACCCUGACAAGUAUUGAAAGAAAUAACUCUCUUAAUAAAUACGAAAGAAAUAAUACCCCUUACCUUAGAAGAAAACUAGAAUAGUGAGGUAGCAGACUUCUCUUCUUCUUUCUCUCUAUAAUUUCUCUCUAUAAUAAUUUCUCUAUAGCUUUAGUGAAUUGGUGAACAAUAAUGAAGGAAUGAGCUUCUAUUUAUAGAAAAAUAUAGUUUCAACAAUUGCACAUUUUGGGGCUCAAAAAAUUACAGUAUAAUAUCUUCUUCUUUUUCUUCAUUUUUAAUUUAGUCCUGCAAGUAUUAUCAAACUUGCACCACCUCCUCUUGGAAGUCCUUGAAUCAAUCAGCUCGAAACAAUCCUUCUUGGACUCAAAUUCUAGUUAAAAUUACCUUUUCUACGCGUACCCAAGCCCCAGCUUGGGUAUUGCCUUGUAAAUAGUAAGCCCCGGCUUGCUAUGCUUCUGAUUUUGAACUCAGGACCCCAAGCCCCGGCUUGGGUAUAAAGCUUAAAAGAGCAAGCCCCGACUUGGGUGCAAGCUGCUAAUAGUUUUUUCUGCUGCAGUGUCCUCAGGUAAAAUGGCCAUAACUUUUGAUCCGGGAGGAGUUACGGGGCCUGCCACCUAUCAAAUCAAAGAUAUCGACGAGAUCUACAACUUUCAUUCUUUGAGAAUUGAGUAAUAACGAACGAAUGAAGGUAGAAAUUGGACUAGAAAUGACUGUUAUGCAAAUGGCCACCCAAAAUAGCGAAGUUAUUCAACAGUCUCCUGUGCUCCAUUGAUAUUCUCAACAUUCUCGGUUGUCAUUUUCAAAUACUGCCACAAAACAAGGGUUAAAUAACAUCACAUAUUAUCUCUAUACUCUGACCGACCAAUUAAAUACCAAAUAAACUUAGGUAGGUCAUACUAGUUCCCCGUCUCUCCCCACCUAGUUCUUAUCUUACAUUUUAGUCAUGGAUCAUAUCCCUAAGCUUUGAUACCAACUGUGACGCCCCCAAAAUAAGUAUACAUCACCUAUUCUGAGUCGCCAAAUACAUGAUAUAAAAUACAAAUACAAUCUUAAAUAUACAACAUAAGUUGUGAGUUUUAAUACAAACAUUGUCUUCUAGACAGUAUUAAAACUCAAAAUAAGUCAUCAAUACAUUUAUUAACACACUAUUUCACAGAAUAGUGAGGACUACUAAUGCUAUCCUCUGGACCAUUACUCCAUUCCCCGACUCGUCCCAGCUAUAUUCUCAUUUCCUGAAGAGAACAAUGAAAGAAAGGGUGAGCUCAACUAGCCCAAUAAGAAAUAUUAUGACUAAGAUAAUGCAGAAUAAAUUAUCAUUAGUCUUCAACAAUGUUAAACUGAUAAAAUACAAUAACUGCAGCGAAAUAAGUAAUCCAUUAAAAGAGUCAAGUAGAGAAUAAAAUCUACUAUCUUUUAUGAUUUAAAAGGAUUUUCAUCACUUUUAUCGCUGAGACUCAGUUUAAUAAAUAAUCCACAUCAUCGAAUCACCCCUGCACUACGGCCAAGGAUAUUCUUUAGUAUUACAACCAUAAAUAUCCAUGCACUACGGGCCAAGGACAUUCGUGUAUUCAUUAAUGGUCAUGAUCAUGCCAAAAACUGUCCAACAAUACACUACGGUCAAUGAGGACUUUUACCACAUCAUUUGUAACAUUACGGUCGUAAUUAUACUGAAUAAUCCCUGGUUAUAAUCAUACCAAGUCCAUCUAUACACUACAGGCCACAGAUGACUUUCAACAGAAUAUAAACAUGAGGACGAUGACAAUGAUAUAUGAAUUCAAUAAAACAAGUUCAAGAAUUUAUUUGUCCAGGAACCAAUAACGUCCAAAUUGUCAACAAGAUACUGUUUUGUGGGAUAAAAUUCAAGAAUGCUCAGAAGAAUAUUUUCAUAAAAAGAUAUUGGAUGAAGCGCAAAUAUCAAGGAUAUUCCACUAAUUUCAUGGAGUAUAGAAGUCAAAACUUUAACCAACUGAGUAUAAUAAAGAAUGAAAUAACAAAAGAAAUCACCAUGCACGUGGUACUUCGCAUAGACUGGUUAUUCCAACAGAAUAAUAAAUAACGGAACCAGGUUAGGCAAAAUUCGCACCGAUAGGAUGUUCCAACUGAAUAAUAAAGAAUGGAAUAACAACAGAAAUCACCAUGCAUACGGUACUUCGCAUAGACAGGUUAUUCCAACAGAAUACUAAAUAACAGAACCAGGUCCGGCGUAAAACGCACAGACAGGAUAUUCCAACACAAUAAUAAAGGCGGAACCAGGUCCGGCGUAAAAGUCACAGACAUGAUAUUCCAACAGAAUAAUAAAUACGGAACCAGGUCCGGCGUAAAACGCACAGACAGGAUAUUCCAACAGAAUAAUAAAGAAGAAAAUAACAGAAGAAUUUCAUCAAAUAUAGGGUAGCCCGCGUAUACAGGUUAUUCCAACAGAAUAAUAAAGAAUGGAAUAACAGAAGUUCUCUUCAUGAAUACAAAAGAAAUAAUACCCCUUACAGUUACAACAAAUAAUAUCCAUUACCGUAAAAGAAACUGGAUAUAGGAAAAUAAAGUUAGCAGACUUCUCUUCUUCUUUCUCUCUAUAAUUUUCUCUCUUUAAAGUUUCAGUGAAUUCGUAAGAAAUAAUGAAGGAAUGAACUUCUAUUUAUAGAAGAAUGGACUGCAUAGUAACUAAUUCAUGAACGGUCCAGAUUGAUUUACUUUUAAUCGAACGAUCCAUAAUUAAAGCAAAGUUUUUUAAAUAAAAUAUAAUAUAUUAUAUAUAUAACAUGUGCAAGAAAAGAAAAAUCACGGGUGGAAGACCCGUGAAUUCAUCUUACUCCCUCUGUCCAUUUUUUCAAACUUACAUAUAUAUAAUAUAAUAUAAUAUAAUAUACAUAAUAAUACUCCUCCCGUCCAUUUCAUCCAUACCCCCCCACCCAAGACUUUUCAUCACAUAUAUAAUAUAAAACAUAUAUAUAUAUAUAUAUAUAUAUAUAUAUAUAAUACUCCCACUAACUUUUCCUUCAACCAACCCGUGACAAACAUAACAUUUCACCCAAGACUUUCCUCCACAAAUGGGCCCCACCCGUGGCCCUCCUAAAAUAACUUCUAUCGAUUAUUUUGAAAACUGGAUAAAUAGGGAUCCAUAAAAUACGUCAAAAUUCACAACAAUUACUAUAACAAUAAUUGAACAAAACUGAGUAGUUCAACAGUAUUAACGGUAAAACUUCCGCCGUUACUUUCAAUAAAAUAUUUUUGUCGUUUUCUCAAUCCGACAAUAAUUCUGUUGUGGGGUCCACCAAUGAUUGUACCGUCGUACGGAUAUUCCCUGACAAAAAGAAUAUUUCCCGACCAAUCGAAUAUAAUAUGACAACUUGCAUACUUUGCAAAAUUUAUAAAUAUUACCCACAAUUAUAAUAUUAUAUCAAAUUAUUCCAUAAUAUUCAAAAAUGAUAUUUAUUGAAAAUUCAUUUUUAUUCAUAAAAGUUGGGGUCUUACAGUAGUUAAAUUCUUAUUUUUGACAUUUUUCAAAUAUUUCAUCCAUGCUUUUACAAUAGACAUCUUUCACUUUGAUGGCGUUUGACAUGCUUACAACAAGUAAUAGAAAUCAUUUUACAGUCAUUAUUUGCAUUAAUCAAGCAUGUUAGUCACAUAGUCAAGUCGUAGUUUCAAUGGUAAUGAAUAGAUUUCUUAUAUGUAAUACAUUUUUCAAAUAUCUCAUCCAUGCUUUUAUCAUCACCAUUUUUCUCUUUGAUGGGGUGUAGUAUGAUAAUAACAUGCAACCAUACAUAUGUAUAGUUACACCAUAUUAAGAACUUAGUUACAUGAAGUUUUCAUGCUUUGCUUAGAGACUUCUAGCAUACAAGGUGCUUUUGUAACUUAUUUUAUGCCUUUGAAAAUAUUCACAACUUGGUUGAGUAAUUUAUAGUUCUUAUAACACUUUUUAGCUUUAUUCUUGUAUACAAAAGUGUAUCAUUCUUGAUUUUCCUCUCUUUCCCAAAAUAGUCCUAACAUGAUCUAUUUGGGGCAAUCAAGCUAGCUUCUCUUGACCAUUUGGGCUUAGUCAGGCUUGGGGUAGCCUAGAUUGGCCUUGCAGUCCCAAUUGGCCUCUAUCUAUGGCAUGAUUUUAUUAAUACCCUCUUCUAUUAAGGUUUACUCUCACCUAUAUCACCAUUUGAUUCUGUUAUUUAUAGGUGAGGAUUUCUUUGAACUGCUACAUGUUUGCUACUUACUUGAUUUUGUUUUCUUUCCGUUUGUAGCUAACUACUCACUAGUAGCAGCUCUCUACUUUAGAUACUAAAUUUACUAGCUUUUAAUCUCCCACUAAACUUUUGGGUCAGCAGCUAGGGGACACAACUCCCUAAUAAUAGAGCAUAUUGGUUAAUUAUCUUAAGCAAUAUAGUUGUAUUGUCUGAAGGUCUAAAGGACAAGUUCAUUACCCAGCUCAGCUACUGUUGCUAUUAGUUGUUAUUUUUCAGUAAUAGAUUGACAGUCUUCAAACUUACCAUGUUUCUUCUUUAAUAACUUUUGUCUAGAAAAUUUCUAUUGCACUAUGUGCACCUUUGAAUACUUGCUUAAAUAAGUAACAAUUACACUCUAUUUAAUUCUGCAGUUUGCAUUUCAAAUCCAAACUACGUUGCCUAUAGCAGUUUAUUGAGGAUGUUUAUUAUUGCCUUAUAGCAACAACCCCCCCUAUUUUGUAAAAUUUCCCAAAUCACAAUUUUAGAUUAACCUAGACUGCCCAAAACCAUUUUAGUAAUGGCUCAUAGCUACAGUUUUAAGCCAACUGUUGCUGCUCCUAGGUAGCAGCUACAUUUGAUUUUGUUUCAUGCCUUGAACUCUCCCUAAUUUUGGUUUACUUGCACUUUAUUUGAAAGUUAUAUAACUAACAUUUUCAACUAAUAGGGAAACUUUAAAUCAAUAGUGAAAUUAUAAUCUAUAUGAUCCAACAUGUUAGCUAAACUGACCCUAGCGAGUCCAGAACAAUGGUCUACAGUCUUCUUUUGUUUUUCUAUGCCAGCAACCAAGCUUGGCUUGGCCCUGUAAGGCUGAUCACCUAAGCUUGGUGUGGCCCUGCUUGGCCUCACGGUCCCUAAGUCAAAUCCAAAGUUGUUAUAGCAGCUGCUAUCUUGGCAACUGCUGCCAUCAAGGAAUAACAGCCCUGCCACUCUUCUUUAAUUCUUAUACUUGCAAACCCCAGAGGAAUGUUUAUACACUAACUUCAACCAUACAUCCUAGUUAGCUCUUAUAAAGUUAUAUUAAUUUGUUAAACAGACUGCCCAAAACUGCUUUAGCAGUCAUUCACUUGUCGACUGUCGCUGCUUGUUUCUAUAACCAGUAGGCAGCCGUCCCAAGUCUUAUGCCACUAAAAGCUUUUACCUCUUAGAUUGAUAUGAAAUCUUGGCAUGUUAUAGGUGAUUCAAAUUCUGAUUAUUUUUAGCUACCAACUAGACUAGGAGAAAAGCUUGCUAGUGCCACUAAAGGUUAAUAUUUCUGCUGCUGCGACAUGCUUUUUGCUGCUGCUUGCAGCUAAUUGCUGCUGCCAAUGGGCAGCUGCGCCCCUUACUUCAGGCCAUUUUUGGCUUCACAUCAAUUAGCCUAUUCACAACCCACUUUCAUUGAUCAAUAAAUGGUACACCUGCCUUCUAAGCUAACUUAGCAACUGUGGCCCAAAUGUACUAUAUGUAAAUCAAAAUGGUGUGCUAACCUUCCUGCUCGGCUCUGCAGAGCAGUGCAGCACAACGCUGGGCGUUUACUGCCAAUGCCUGCAGUAGCCUCAGCUAGCUUUGCCCAAGCUCAAACAUUUUUUUUUCUUAAAAUUUGUUUUUCUUUCCAUUAAUAUGUCAAAACAUAUUUCCUAAUCUUAUAUAAGACGUCCAUAUAUAACCCCAACUUUAAUUCCCUCUAGAAUUCUCUUUUUAGCCAAAACAGUCCACUUGGGACUUUUAACAAAUAUAUGGUGUGCACAGUUUUAAUUUACUCUUUCCAUAGCCAUUUACUUGUGUUAUAAUCUCAUGUUAGCCUCCUUAUUACUCCACAGCCACCUAUCUCCUUGUGCCUAAAUUACAUACAUCUAGCAUGCUAGUGAAUAACCUUUACAACAAUAAAAAAGUAAAAUAAAUGCUAUGUGACUUUACCAGGCCAUUCGGCCAUAACAGUCCAUCACAACUUGCACGAAAUAGUGUUAAACAAGAUAGUUUAUUACUUGAUAACUUUUCCUUAAAAGUUUGAUAUCACAACUUUUACAGAAGAUUACAAUUACCCAUGACAAGUAUAAUUUACUAACACAUCUACAUUACAACAUUAAUAAUACUAACAAUAUAGCAGCCCCUUCUUUUUUCUUUUCAGGCCAUUCGGCCACUGUAGAUUACUAGCAGCAAGAAACUAAAGUGGAAAAGGAUUGGAAAUCUUACCUUAUUGAUUCGAAGGAAACAAAGAAGUUAUACUGCCCAGCUUCUCCACCUACUCUUAGCCGAACUCUUCCACCCUCUCUCUAUAUGACCGAAUUGCUAUAGCUAUUUUGUCUCUACUAAGUGAUGAAGCUAAACUAGUUAAUAAGCUUGGCCCCUUUUUUAUGGCUGAGCUUGGUUCCUUCUACUGUUAACUGCAUCACCUCCUAGUUGGCCCCUACACAGUCAUCAUUCCUAACCUAGCUUCACAGCCACCCUAGCAGACUCUACUUACCUGCUAAGCCUUAUCUUCUGCAAGCUUAUCUAACAUAUUCUUUGUCUGUUAUACAAACUAACCUACCUGUUAACUAGAACCAACUUAGAAACCAUAUGCUUACAGCCUGACUAUGUACUCACGUUAUGCCACUGCUUUUCUUAUUUAGUCUGAAACAGUUAGCUUGUUAUACACCACUGGGUUUACAGGAUUGGUUUAGGUAGGAGUUUGAUAAAUACUUAAUUUGGGCUUAAACCAAUCCUCAAUGGUGGCUGCCGAAAUUGGGCUAGAAAAUGAGUUAGAAUUGGCUUUAUAUUAGACCCAAUACCAUAACCCUUAUUCCUACAUUAAUUAAAGGAGACUUGCAAACAUACAAUUGCAAAAAUUUAUUAUGGCCUAAUAUUUUAAUAUGGACUCUUGUUAAAUUAACACAUGGACUUUUAUAUAUUAUUUUCUCUAGCAACAAUAGUUAACACAUAUAUCAUUAAAAUGUCUAUUCCAUGUAAUCUUAAAUAAUUCAUGGUGGUACAAUAUUUCUUUAUCCUUCAUAAUUUAAGAUGUUUAAUAACCUAUUAAAUAAAUAAUAGUUUUGUCACAAUGAGAAAUAACAUAAUUAAAAUAAAAUAAAAAAUAUACUCACAAAUUGACAUUAUAAUAAUUAAAUAUUACAUAGGAUUUUUUGAGUCAUUACAUACGCGAUAACUCUGCCGUUCUGCAAAAGCACACAGCCUUGUCCUUUAUGCGAUGCAUCAUUGUAUACCACAAAAUUCCCUGUAUCAUCAGGCAAUGACAACACAGGUGUUGAACUCAACCUUUUCAUUAAUUCUUGAAAACUUUCCUCCCACUUCUCUGUCCAAACAAACUUAACCGUUUUCUAGUUAAAUUCGUCAACGGAGUUGCGAUCUUGAAAAAGUCUUGAAUGAAACGCCUAUAGUAACCCGCCAAUCCUAAGAAACUCCUUACUUCUGACGGUAUCUUCGGCUGAUCCCAGUUUAUUACAGCUUCAACCUUUGAUGGAUCUACCGAAAUUUCGUCCUUAUCAAUAACGUGUCCGAGAAACUGUACACGUUCCAACCAAAACUCACAUUUUGAAAAUUUUGCGUACAACUUUUCUUUUUUCAACGUCUCUAACGUCAAUCUCAAGUGUUCAACAUGUUCCUCUUUGGUCUUGGAAUAUACCAAUAUAUCAUCGAAUCAAAUCCAUGAUAUAUUGGUAUGAACAGGGUGUUUAUAUCAUUUGUCUAAGAAUGGUUUAAACACCUUGUUCAUCAAAUCCAUGAACGCUGCAGGUGCAUUGGUUAAACCAAAAGACAUAACCAGAAACUCAUAAUGACCAUACCGAGUUCUGAACGCUAUUUUUGGUACAUCCUCUGGCCUCACCUUUAACUGAUGAUAACCACUCCUCAAGUCUAUCUUUGAGAAAUAGCUUGUUCCCUUCAGUUGAUCGAACAUGUCAUCGAUUCUAGGUAAUGGAUACUUAUCUUUAAUCGUGAUCUUAUUCAAUUCUCGAUAGCAAUGCAGAGCCGUAUCGAUCCAUCUUUCUUCUUAACAAACAACAUCGGCGCUCCCCAUGGCGACACACUCAGUUGAAUAUACUUUUUGUCGAGUAAUUCUUGCAAUUAUACCAUCAACUCCUUCAUCUCUACUGGGGCCAUUCUAUAUGGUGCAUUAGAUAUCGGGGUCGUUCCUGGUAAUAAGUCAAUUACGAACUCGAUUUGUAGAUCCGGCGGAAGACUCGGCAAAUCGUCUGGAAAUACGUCUGCAAAAUCUCUUAUGAUUGGUAUCUCUUCUAACUUCGCACUCUUCUUUUGUGUAUCGACUAUGUAGGCUAAGUAUCCUACACAUUCUUGUCUCAACAACUUCUUGGCUUGCAUCACCGUUAGACAACUUGCUUGUCGAGGUGACUUGCUGCCGUAGAACACAACCUUUGAUGGAGUCAUAAGGUUAACACAUUUCCUUUCGCAAUCAAUUACUGCUCCGUAAUUGAAUAACCAAUCCAUUCCCAGUAUAACAUCAAACUCACAAAGUCUAAUUGGUAUCAAAUCUACCAUCAUCUCGUGACCUUUUAUAACCACCCUACAAUUCCUAUAUAUAAAUCUAACAGGAAUCACUUCCUUAUUCGCAAUCUCUAUGCUUAAGGGAAAUUCUAAUUCUUCCUGAGGCAAAUCUAAAUUUUGAGCAAAUUCAUUGGAUAUAAAUGAAUAAGUAGCACCCGAAUCAAAUAGUACAUAAGCAUUAAUACCAUUAAUCUAAAUGAUACCUGAGACCACAUCCUUAGACUAUAUAACAUCCUGCACGGUCAUAUUAAAAGUCCUCGCAGUAGGUCGACUUUGUGACGCCCCCAAAAUUAGGUAUACAUCACCCAUCUUGGGUCGCCACUUACAUGGUACAAAAUACAAAUACAACUUAAUUAUACAACAGUCGUGUAAGCUACGACAAAAUAUAAACAAUGAGUUUUAACUCGAAUAUUGUCAUCUAGACAUUAUUCAAACACAAAUAAGUCCUCAAUACAUUUAUUGUCACACUAUUUAACAAAAUAGUGAGGACUACUAAUGCUAUCAUCUGGACUGUCACUCCGUUCCCCGACUCGUCCCCGUUACGUUCUCAAUUCCUGAAGAGAAUAGUGAAAGAAAGGGUGAGCUCAACUAGCCCAACAAGAAAUAUUAUGACUAAGAUAAUGCAGAAUAAAUUAUCAUUAGUCUCCAACAAUGUUAAACUGAUAAAAUACAAUAGACAUCAAGUUUAACUGCAGCGGAACAAGCAAUCCAUUAAAAGAGUCAAGUAGAGAAUAAAACCUACUAUNNNNNNNNNNNNNNNNNNNNNNNNNNNNNNNNNNNNNNNNNNNNNNNNNNNNNNNNNNNNNNNNNNNNNNNNNNNNNNNNNNNNNNNNNNNNNNNNNNNNNNNNNNNNNNNNNNNNNNNNNNNNNNNNNNNNNNNNNNNNNNNNNNNNNNNNNNNNNNNNNNNNNNNNNNNNNNNNNNNNNNNNNNNNNNNNNNNNNNNNNNNNNNNNNNNNNNNNNNNNNNNNNNNNNNNNNNNNNNNNNNNNNNNNNNNNNNNNNNNNNNNNNNNNAAUAAUUAAAACGGAACCAGGUCCGGCGUAUAGCACAGACAGGAUAUUCCAACAGAAUAACUGAAUAAUUAAAACGGAACCAGGUCCGGCGUAGCACAGACAGGAUAUUCUAACAGAAUAACCGAAUAAUUAAAACGGAACCAGGUCCGGCGUAUAGCACAGACAGGAUAUUCCAACAAAAUAACUGAAUAAUUAAAACGGAACCAGGUCCGACGUAUAGCACAGACAGGAUAUUCCAACAGAAUAAUAAAGACAGAAUAAUAGAAGAAUGUCACCAAGUAUAGGGUUGCCCGCGUAUACAGGUUAUUCCAACAGAAUAAUAAAGAAAUGGAAUAACAGAAGUUCUCUUCUUGAAUACAAAAGAAUAAUAUUCCUUACCAGAAAAGAACUUAAUAUAAGAGUAGUUUCAGUAGCAGAAUACUUUUCUUCUUUCUCUCUUACAAUUUAUCUCUCUAGAGUUUCAAUGAAUUUGUAAGAAAAUAAUGAAGGAAUGAGCUUCUAUUUAUAGAAAAAUGGAAUGCAUAGUAACUAAUUCAUGAACGGUCCAGAUUGAUUUACUUUUAAUCGGACGGUCCAUAAAAUAUAUUAUAUAUAUAUAAUAUAUAUAUAUAUAUAUAAUAACAAUAAUACUCCCUCCGUAUAAACCAAAAAAAUAAUUUGACAACUUUGAAAAAAACUCCCAACCUUUCAAUUUUCAAUACCGUGGGCCCCACAUGUUCCCCUCCCCCCAACAUGUCAAUAUCACAAGGGUCUCAUUAUAUGUAAAUAACUUUCUAUCAAUAAUAUUGAAAAAUAGGUAAAUGGGGGUCUAAAUAAUACGCCAAAUUUACAACAACUACCUCAUAAAAAUCCCUUCAAUAUUUUUAACAAUAUUUAUCAUCUUUAUUACAAUUCACAAUAUUAAUCGACCAGGUCGUUCCCAGGAUAGAGGGGGCUUUCCAAUAAGGAUUUCUCUCUAUUGGCGCGCAAUUAGAUUAUCUAACCUCUCCUUGACAGAACUUCUAGACAUCGUUAAUAUUGCAAAUAAUAACAUUAAUAACUUUGUCGUCUCAAUUAUUGAUUUAAUAAUAUAAAGAAUAUCAACAAUAAUUGAAUCAAAUAACGUGAGAUACUAUGCAACAAUUACUAUAACAAUAAUUGAAUAAAACUGAAUGACUUCUCACGUAAGCAUAAAUAAUCAAUACCGUGUGCUACUAUGCAACCACGCGUAUUACUGUACUUUUACUACUGAGUAGUUCAACAGUAUCAACGGUAAAACUUCCGUCGUUAUUUUCAUAAAAAUAUUUUUGUCGUUUUCUCAAUCCGACAAUAAUUCUGUUGUGGGGUCCACUAAUGAUUGCGCCGUUGUACGAAUAUUUCCUGCUAAAACGAAUAUUCCCCAACCAAUCGAAUAUAAUAUAGCAACUUGCAUACUUUGCAAAACUUAUAAAUACUACCUUCAACUAUAACAUUAUAUUAAAUUUAUUGCAUAAUAUUCAAAAAUGAUAAUUAUAGAAAAUUUAUCUUUAUUCAAAAAGUUGGGGUCUUACAACCCCCCCUUCUUAAGAAAUUUCGCCCUCGAAAUUAGGGUACGUACCUGGUAUAUCGAAGAGGUAAGGAUACCUUGAUUUCAUUUUAGAUUCUAACUCCCAGGUCAUUUCCUCAACAUCGUGGUUUCUCCACAAAACUUUGACUUGAGGUAUAACCUUGGAGCGUAAAAUAUGUUCCUUGUUAUCCAAGAUUUGAACAGGAACCUCUUUAUACGUUAAAUCUUCCGCUAUUUCGUCUGGUUCUAGCUCAAUAAUGUGGUUCGGGUCUUCCACAUAUUUACGUAACAUGGAUAUGUGAAAAAUGUUAUGAACACCAGACAUACUAGGCGGUAAAGCGAGUCUAUAGGCCACAGUUCCUACUCGAUUGAGGAUUAAAAAUGGGCCAAUGAAUCGAGGAUUGAGCUUUCUUAUCUUUCCAAAUCUCGUAACACCUUUCCAUGGAGCAACAUGUAACAACACAUGAUCUCCAAUAUCGAAUUCCACGUCCUUUCGAUGAAGAUCAGCAUAACUCUUUUGUCGAUCUUGUGAGGUUUUUAUACGUUGUCGAAUCGUUUGAAUCUUUUCCGUAGUCAUACGUACCAACUCCGGUCCCAACAACGUUGCUUCACCCACCUCAUCCCAGCAUACUGGAGAACAACACUUUCUCCCAUACAACGCCUCAAAUGGAGCCAUGCCAAUACUUGCUUGAUAACUAUUGUUAUAGGAAAACUCCACCAAUGAUAAGAACUUAUCCCAACUUCCAUUGAAGUUAAGGACACAGAGUCUUAAUAAAUCUUCUAGAGUUUGAAUAGUCCUCUCUGAUUGUCCGUCCGUCUGAGGAUGAUAUGCUGAACUAAAUCGUAAAUCUGUGCCCAUAGCUUUUUGCAAACUAACCCAAAAUCAUGAAGUGAAUCUUGGGUCUCGAUCAGAAACUAUGGAUACUGGCAUACCAUGCAGUCUUACAAUCUCGUUUAUGUACAUACGAGCAAGACGUUCAAGUGUAUAAGUUUCUCGUAUAGGUAAGAAAUGAGCAGACUUGGUCAAUCUAUCAACAAUGACCCAAAUUGCAUCUAUGCCUUGAGAAACCUUGGGAAGACCAGUAACGAAAUCCAUGGUAAUGUGCUCCCACUUCCAUUCUGGAAUUUCAAGUGGUUGCAAUGGACCUUUUGGUACUUGAUGCUCCGCCUUGACUCGUUGACAAGUUAGACACCUUGAGAUAAACACCGCUAUCUCUCUCUUCAUAUUGCUCCACCAAAAUGUAUGUCGAAGAUCAUGAUACAUUUUGGUACUCCCAGGAUGGAUUGCAAACGGUGUGUUGUGCGCCUCCAUCAUGAUUUUAUACUUUAAAUCAGGGUCGUUAGGAACACAAAGUCUGGAGUUGACUCGAAGUAUUCCUUCUUCAUCGAUUCUUGCUUCCGACAUAACACCUUCUUGCACUUUCUUCCUCAUACGCAUCAGCUCCAGGUUUGUAGUUUGAGCAGCUUUAACUUUAUCAAUUAAAGUCGAUUAUACUCGUAUGUUCGCCAUCAUCACAUGGGUCCCUGGAGUCUUUAACUCCAUCUCCAUCCUUUGCAAGUCAUACAAAAUGGGCCUUUGUGUUGACAAUAUUGCACUCGUACCCACAUAUGAUCUUCUACUCAAUGCGUCAGCUACCACGUUCGUUUUUCUAGGAUGGUAUUGGAUGGUAUGAUCAUAAUCUUUCAACAGUUCAAGCCAACGUCGUUGUCGCAUGUUGAGUUCCUUUUGAGUGAAGAAAUAUUUAAGGCUUUUAUGAUCCGUAAAGAUCUCCACUUUCUCCCCAUACAAGUAAUGCCUCCAAAUCUUUAGUGCGAAGANNNNNNNNNNNNNNNNNNNNNNNNNNNNNNNNNNNNNNNNNNNNNNNNNNNNNNNNNNNNNNNNNNNNNNNNNNNNNNNNNNNNNNNNNNNNNNNNNNNNNNNNNNNNNNNNNNNNNNNNNNNNNNNNNNNNNNNNNNNNNNNNNNNNNNNNNNNNNNNNNNNNNNNNNNNNNNNNNNNNNNNNNNNNNNNNNNNNNNNNNNNNNNNNNNNNNNNNNNNNNNNNNNNNNNNNNNNNNNNNNNNNNNNNNNNNNNNNNNNNNNNNNNNNNNNNNNNNNNNNNNNNNNNNNNNNNNNNNNNNNNNNNNNNNNNNNNNNNNNNNNNNNNNNNNNNNNNNNNNNNNNNNNNNNNNNNNNNNNNNNNNNNNNNNNNNNNNNNNNNNNNNNNNNNNNNNNNNNNNNNNNNNNNNNNNNNNNNNNNNNNNNNNNNNNNNNNNNNNNNNNNNNNNNNNNNNNNNNNNNNNNNNNNNNNNNNNNNNNNNNNNNNNNNNNNNNNNNNNNNNNNNNNNNNNNNNNNNNNNNNNNNNNNNNNNNNNNNNNNNNNNNNNNNNNNNNNNNNNNNNNNNNNNNNNNNNNNNNNNNNNNNNNNNNNNNNNNNNNNNNNNNNNNNNNNNNNNNNNNNNNNNNNNNNNNNNNNNNNNNNNNNNNNNNNNNNNNNNNNNNNNNNNNNNNNNNNNNNNNNNNNNNNNNNNNNNNNNNNNNNNNNNUCAAAAUCCAAUUUCUCCGGAGUCAAAUUUAAACGUUGAGCGCAAGUAGGAGAAAUGAAAGAGUGGGUAGAACCAGUAUCAAAUAAAGUAUAAACUUCGCUAGAGUUUAUGAUAAGCUUACCCGUGAUGACCUCGUUCGGGUUCUUUACUUUUUGGGAGGUUACAACAAAUGCUCUUCCUUGCACUACCGACUUUGACUUUUCUGGGAUGGCCUUUGGUGACUCUAUCCUAACUGAACUUGUCUUCGGUGCACGACAAAAUCGAGCCAGGUGACCUUCUCUUCCACAGUUGUAACAUGCUUUGGAUGGCAUCGCACAGUUGGGACUGAUGUGUCCCUCUCCUCCACACUUGAAACAUAUGAUAGGUGGUCGUUCCCCUUCCUUAACGACAGGUGCUGAUGUUGACGUCUUUCCAUCAUUGUUGAAUCUCCUCUUUUUGAAAUGUCCAUUUUUAUUGUUUUGGCCAUGAUUACCACCGAAGUGGUUACCAUUUCUGGCCUUUUGAUUUCCUCCACGCUUGUUGUCACCGCUUUGAUGACUGUUCUCACUGGUAUUAUCAUUUUAUUGGCUGCUCUCUUUUGGUUGGCUUAACUCGUUAUCACGCUCCAAUAACUGAGCCCUAUUAACAACAUCCGAAUACAAACACAGUUUAUGAGAGAUAAGAUAUUGACGUAUCUCAGGUUUCAAACCUCUUAAAAACAUUCGCGUCAUUCUCUCCUCAUUAUCAACCAAAUGGGACGCAAACUGGGACAACUCGGCAAACUUGGCUUUGUACUGCGAUACUGUCAUGUUGUUUUGUUCCAGCCUGAUGAACUCUACCUCUUUCAUGUGACGAAUACUUUUGGGAAAGUACUUGUCGUUGAACAAUUCUUUGAACUUCUCCCAAGUCAUCUUCAGUGCGGCAGGUUGAGUACGCUUUACAGAUUCCCACCAGUAAUCUGCCUCUCCUCGCAACAUGAAGGUGGCAAAGGAAAUCUUUUGUUCCUCGGAGCAUCCCAAGACAUCAAAUAUCUUGGUAAUCUACUUUAUCCAUGUCUCCGCCUUAAGUGGUUUUGGUUCUCCAAUAAACUUCGGUGGUCCCAGCUCCUUGAACUGUUUGGCGGUGACCAUCCGAGAGUUGCUAGUGUUUUCACCUGCAUUUUGGACAGGAGCCGCUCCUGCCUGAUGUUGUAUGAAUUGCAUGAAUCCUCGAAACAUUUUGUUGUUCAAUAUUUGGUCAGUGUUGUUGUUUGCAUGAGGAUUUUUGCCUUCCUGAUGCACAUUGUCCUGAUUGUUGAUCUGUGGAGACUCAACGGUCUCCUGUGCUCCAUUGAUGUUCUCAACGUUCUCGGAUGCCAUUUUCAAAUACUGCCACAAAACAAGAGUUAAUUAACACAUCACAUAUUAUCCCUAUACUCUAACCAACCAAUUAAAUAACAAAUAAACUUAGGUAGGUCAUACUAGCGAAGGAAUUCCCCGUCUCUCCCCUCCUAGUUCUUAUCUCACAUCUUAGCCAGGGAUCAUAUCCCUAACCUCUGAUACCAACUGUGACGCCCCCAAUAUUAGGUAUACAUCACCCAUCUUGGGUAGCCACUUAUAUGGUACAAAAUACAAAUACAACUUAAUUAUACAACAGUCGUGUAAGAUACGACAAAAUAUAAACAAUGAGUUUUAACUCGAAUAUUGUCAUCUAGACAGUAUUCAAACACAAAUAAGUCCUCAAUACAUUUAUUGUCACACUAUCUAACAGAAUAGUGAGGACUACUAAUGCUAUCAUCUGGACUGUCACUCCAUUCCCCGACUCAUCCCCGCUACGUUCUCAAUUCCUGAAGAGAACAGUGAAAGAAAGGGUGAGCUCGACUAGCCCAGUAAGAAAUAUUAUGACUGAGAUAAUGCAGAAUAAAUUAUCAUUAGUCUCCAACAAUGUUAAACUGAUAAAAUACAAUAGACAUCAAGUUUAACUGCAGCGGAACAAGCAAUCCAUUAAAAGAGUCAAGUAGAGAAUAAAAUCUACUAUCUUUUAUGAUUUAAAAGGUUUUUCAUCACUUUUAUCGCUGGGACUCAGCUUAAUAAAUAAUCCACAUCAUCGAAUCACCCCUGCACUACGGCCAAGGAUAUUCUUUAGUAUCACGACCACAAUUAUCCAUGCACUACGGGCCAAGAAUAUUUGUGUAUUCAUUAAUGGUCAUGAUCAUGCCAACAACUGUCCAUCAAUGCACUACGGGCCAAUGAGGACUUUUUCCACAUCAUUUGUAACAUUACGGUCAUGAUUACACCGAAUAAUCCCUGGUCAUAAUCAUACCAAGUCCAUCUAUGCACUACAGGCCACAGAUGACUUUCAACAAAAUAAUAACAUGAGGAUGAUGACAAUGAUAUAAGAAUUCAAUAAAAUAACUUUCAAGAAUUAAUUUGUCCAGGAAUCAAUAACGUCCAAAUUGUCAAUAAGAUAUUGUUUUGUGGUGUAAAUUAUUCAAGAAUGCUCAGAAGAAUAUUUUCAUGAAAAGAUAUUGGAUGAAGUGCAAAUAUCAAGGAUAUUCCAUUAAUUUCAUGGAGUAUAAAAGUCAAAAUUUUAACCAACUGAGUAUAAUAACGAAUGGAAUAACAAAAGAAAUCACCACGCAUGCGGUACUUCGCAUAGACAGGUUAUUCCAACAGAAUAAUAAUAACGGAACUAGGUCAGGUGAGAUUCACACCGACAGGAUGUUCCAACAGAAUAAUAAAUAAUUAAAACGGAACCAGGUUCGGCGUUUAGCACAGACAGGAUAUUCCAACAGAAUAACUGAAUAAUUAAAACGGAACCAGGUCUAGCGUAUAGCACAGACAGGAUAUUCCAAAAAAAUAACUAAAUAAUUAAAACGGAACCAGGUCCGGCGUAUAGCACAAACAGGAUAUUCAAACAAAAUAAUAAAGACAGAAAAAUUGAAGAAUGUCACCAAGUAUAGGGUUGCCCGCGUAUACAGGUUAUUCCAACAGAAUAAUAAAGAAAUGGAAUAACAGAAGUUCUCUUUUUGAAUACAAAAGAAUAAUAUUCCUUACCGUAAAAGAACUUAAUAUAAGAGUAGUUUCAGUAGUAGAAUAAUUUUCUUCUUUCUCUCUUACAGUUUAUCUCUCUAGAGUUUCAAUGAAUUCGUAAGAAAAUAAUGAAGGAAUGAGCUUCUAUUUAUAGAAAAAUGGAAUGCAUAGUAACUAACUGAUGAACGGUCCAGAUUGAUUUACUUUUAAUCGGACGGUCCAUAUUUAAAGUAAAAUCUUUUAAAUAAAAUAUAUUAUAUAUAUAUAUAUAUAUAUAAACAAUAAUACUCCCUCCGUAUAAACCAAAAAAAUAAUUUGACAACUUUGAAAAAAACUCCCAACCUUUCAAUUUUCAAUACCGUGGGCCCCACAUGUUCCCCUCCCCCAACAUGUCAAUAUCACAAGGGUCCCAUUAUAUUUAAAUAACUUUCUAUCAAUAAUGUUGAAAAAUAGGUAAAUGGGGGUCUAAAUAAUACGCCAAAUUUACAACAACUACCUCAUAAAAAUCUCUUCAAUAUUUUUAACAACAUUUAUCAUCUUUAUUAAAAUUCACAAUAUUAAUCGACCAGGUCGUUCCCAGGAUAGAGGGGAUUUUCCAAUAAGGAUUUCUCCCUAUUGGCGCGCAAUUAGAUUAUCUAACCUCUCCUUGACAGAACUUCUAGACAUCAUUAAUAUUGCAAAUAAUAACAUUAAUAACAUUGUCGUCUCAAUUAUUGAUUUAAUAAUAUAAAGAAUAUCAACAAUAAUUGAAUCAAAUAACGUGAGAUACUAUGCAACAAUUACUAUAACAAUAAUUGAAUAAAACUGAAUGACUUCUCAUGUAAGCAUCAAUAAUCAAUAUCGUGUGCUACUAUGCAACCACGCGUAUUACUGUACUUUUACUACCGAGUAGUUCAACAGUAUCAACCGUAAAACUUCCGCCGUUAUUUUCAUAAAAAUAUUUUUGUCGUUUUCUCAAUCCAACAAUAAUUCUGUUGUGGGUUCCACCAAUGAUUGCGUCGUUGUACGAAUAUUCCCCGCUAAAACGAAUAUUCUCCGACCAAUCGAAUAUAAUAUAGCAACUUGCAUACUUUACAAAACUUAUAAAUACUACCCACAACUAUAACAUUAUAUUAAAUUUAUUCCAUAAUAUUCAAAAAUGAUAAUUAUAGAAAAUUCAUCUUUAUUCAAAAAGUUGGGGUCUUACAGACUUGACUGUGCUGAUCCAGAGAUAGUUAAUGUACCACCAACGUUGUUGUUUCCUUUUCCACCACUUGCACUUCCUGCUGGCUUCUUAGGGCAAUCACGAGCCAUGUGAUCCUACGAACCGCAGGUAAAACAUGCUCCUUUAUUUGGACUAAAACAGUUCAGUGUAAUGUGUCCCUCCUGACCACAGUUGAAACACACCCGCUUUCCCUUCAAACAUACUCCAUUAUGAUUGUUUCCAUAAGUCGCAUAAGCUUCAAACUUUUUCUUCUGCUGAUUUCCUUGUUGUCCUCCCGCAGUCGAAUUUUCACUCCACUUCCUCUUCUGAUUGUUAUUUCCAACGUUACUUCCACCAGCCUUAUUUUCAUUCUCAGUCUUCCUCUUCUUAUAUUCUUGGUUGUACUUGGUCAAGGCAUCGCUUUCACCUUCUGCGAUAAUUGCCUUUUCCAGUAUAACCGCAAAUGUAUUUAACUGAAAUAUUGAAACCUUGCUAUACAGCCAGGGUUUCAAUCCAUGUUCGAACCUUAUCGCCUUUCGUUCAUCAGUAUUGACUUAAUAAGUGGCAAACCUUGCCAAUUCAUUAAACUUCGCAGCAUAUUCUGGCACCGUCAUAGUUCCUUGUUUCAGUUCCAGAAAUUGCAUUUCCAACUUAUUCUGAGAACUCGCUGGAAAGUACAUUUCAAAAAAUAUCUCCUUAAAUCUAUCCCACGCUAUCACUCCUUGUCCCCCACGAACCUUAUUUGCCUGCCACCAGUAGCUAGCUUCAGACUUCAGCAUGAACGUUGUGAACGCAGUCUUCUGAUCCUCGUUGACUCUAGAAACGUUGAACACUUUCUCCAUUUCCAUGAUCUAGGUUUGGGCUUCUACUGGAUUCAUAGACCCUUGAAACUCUGGCGGUCCAACCGCUUUGAAUUCCUUAAAGGUCAUGACUUGAGCUUGCGGUUGAUUCGCAAGUGCACCUGUUAACAAGGUUACCAACUGCUGAACCGGGUUAGCAUUGGCCUCGUUAUUAUUUUUAGUAGACCCCUCAGGAGGUGGUUGUUGACGUGUUUUUCUUCUUCUAGGAGGCAUUUUCUGUUAAGAUAUACGCUCAUUAGUUCAUUACUCAACUUCUUGAUUAUUUGAAGUUUAACUUAAAUAUUCUAAGAUUAAAGUUAUAACACAUAACAUUUCAAAUAAACUCUGGUAUUUUAUUCAUUCAUAAUGUUUUAAAACAUAUUAAAGAUAGCAUAACCGCUAUUAACAUUCACUUUCCUGAACUAAGCAAGUUUUAGGAUUACAUAUUCAUACUACCCCUUUAUUUAUCUCAAAAUAAGGGAUUCACAGUUUAUAUACUCACUUACUUAACCACGUAUUAUUAUUCUCAUUCUUUCUAUCUAGACAUAUUAAGAUGUCGUAAGGCUUCUCUAUGUUCUUCCUCCAUAAUUCGAUACAUCGUUCUACGAUCCAUCAUGAACUACAACGAAUCUUCAAAUUGAGGUGGAUAAUAAAAGACUCGAUCCUGGGCCCUAUCAAUUGCAGAAUUAAAGGCAUAAUCCAUCCCAUUCAUCUUGGCCUUCUUCACUUGAACUUUAUCCUCGGCACGGUCUGCACGUUAAGUCACCUUUAUCCAAGCGUCCUCUGCUCUCGUACGUUUAGUUGAAUCCUCUUUCAAGUCAUCUUUUAACUUCUCCACAUCAGUCUUCAUCUUCUUGUUCACUGCCAACAAAUCUUCAUGCUGACCCUUGGUAUGAAAUAGGUCCCACUCCGUGUUUCCAAGUCUUGAGUCGAGUUCUUGAAUCUCCGCAUCCUUCUGCUCUAUCGUAGCGUGAUGCAUCUCAACCAACUCCUUCAGCUCCUGAACUUUGUCUUGUAAUUCUAUGUUACGAUCGUACAGAGCAUCAUACAUCUCAGCUGAUAUGGAGCUUUGUGGAAACGCCACAGGAUCCUCUUCCUCAUCAUCCAACUCUAUCUCUUCAGAACUAUCCUCCUCGGGAUCGGUCACAGGUUCAUCCUCCUGGAUCAACUGUUCACGCAUAACAUGAAUAUCCCGGGGUUCCUCAUCUCUAGGUAUCUGAGGUAUUACUUCCCUAGCUGGAAUGGAUCCUCCUUCAUUAGACAUCCUAACAACAAAAUAUUUUAAGUUUACUUAACAUUUUUCGAUACUCGCGAGCACAUAAGUUAUUACACAUAGCACAUAAUGUCUUUUAUUAUUUAUCUUCAAUGGAUAGCUUAAUCCAUUCAUUAAAACUCGAUAAGAGUUAGACACCUCUAUAUUUUCUGUCUUCUUAAAGGUUACUUCCUAAGGUUUCCCCACCUAAGGUUCAUAACCUAAAGCUCUGAUACCAACAUGUGACACCCCCAAAUCUGGGUAUUCCUUUUCCACAGGAUUUGGUGCUCACUAUCCAAAACCAUUACAUCUAACUACCCAUAACAAAGGAUAAAGACAUAAUUUAAAUAACUUAACAAUAAUCUUCCCAUUAAAGGGUUACAUCGUCAUAAAACAAUCCCAAAUAAUUUAAUCUUAAAUUAUUACAUAAGUUUGCGGAAUACAUCAUAAAAUAAAACAAGUCUUAUAACAUAAACAUUUAAAUAAACUUUCAUAAAUCUUCAACACUUGGACAUCUUUCCCUUUUCUUUGCUAGUAGAUGGCUCAUCGACUUUCUCAACUUUAGCUGCAGUGUUAAAUGCAAGAGUGAGCAAACAAUUGCUCACUGAUAUAGAGAGUAGUAAUGAUAACAACAUAAGAUUAAACAACGAAUGCUGAACAAUAAUGAAAUUGUUCUAUGAAUAAAAAAUAGAAAACAAGUUCAAAUUUAAUAUCUGAGGGUCUUAAGACCACGAACUAUGUCCCCGAUAUUUAGGUAUUAUUACCCAACCUUAACAGUCAUUUAGACUAUACAAACCCUUCUUAACGUACUUAGGGGGAUCAGCCCUUUGUACCAUGUAUUGUGCACAAACAUCUAAACGUUACACGUACAAAAUCCCCUAUGUUAGGGUUGUUCGUCUCAGCUUGAAUUUAGAAUUUCUGCACUAAAGAGAGUUUAGCUCGGAACUAACUUAUCAAUGGUUCUAGAAUUUUAGAACACUACUCAAUUAUAGACUAAUUCAAUCAAUAAGAGUUUGCUUGCUACUUGAAGAUUUAAUAUAACAAAAAUAGAAUUGAACAAGGCUAUCAAAGUCAAAGAUCGAAUAUCAACAAUAUACAGUUGAGCACUACAACAAAAAAGCUUAUCAGCGACCGCCUAUCAGCGACCGCCUGUGGUCGCUGAUAUCUAUCUGCGACCGUCUACUCGAGUAAACAUGAUAUACAUGCAAAGUACUAUAUCCAAAAGAGUUAGAAUAAUCUCCUUUGAAUCAAUGUAUUAGAACAAUAUAUUCUUUUGAAUAACAAUAUCAAGAUUUAGGAAAGUGAAACUCGCUCAAUGUAACAAACUAGAUUACAAGAGAUUGUACGAUACACGAGAUAGAAUCAAUAGGCUUGCUGAACUUUAAUGUAAAAUUUAGAAUUAGAAAGCUUGUUUGACAUAAAAGAUAACAUAGCUAUGAAACUUGCAUUCAUUAAUAAAAGAAUGAAGUUAGAAAACUUGCUCAAUAAAAGUUUAGGAUAAGAAACUUGCCUUGUAUGUAAGCUACACAAGUGUAAUAAUGUUCGCCAAUUACCCUACACAUAUCAUUGGAAUCGCAAUAACAAUUAGUUGUAUUAUUAUUAGCUUUAAGGGUUUAAACCACCAUUUAGGUCAUAACCUUAACUUAACAUCUAACCAUGUUGGUUAACACCUUUAACAAAUCUAAAAUCCCUCUAUAAACUAACAUAAACUUUAUCAUUCAUUUCUUACUUUCAUAAACAUUAUUUUUUUAUUCAUUACAUAACUUAAUUAAAUAAUCACUUAAAAUCUUCAUACUUUAUAUUACAUCACGUUGAAAUAUGUUAUUGUAGUUCACGUUAACAUGUAUGCCAAACUAGAUUAAGUCCAUUAAUCAUAACCUAUAAAUAAGCAGAAGUCAUUGCCUAGGCUCAGGGCACGGCGCAGCUGCGCUGUCCCAAGCCUUGGCAUCGGCACAGCUGCGCCGUACACGGACAGGAACUGCAGCAGCAGCUCUGUUACACAGCACACACCAAAACUCAAUCAAAUUUCACAGAAAUCAUAAAACUCAACAUCUAAAACUUUGUGAUAACAUUAAUAAUGAUGUUAUUCAUCAUUCUCACUACCUAAACAUUAUAUAUAUUAAAUUUUAAAAGAUCAAAACCCCAAUUUUUCCAAUUUCAUCAUUUUUUUACGCUUUUAGCGAAUUCGAUUGCUACGAAUUCAUUUCUUAAUCAAUUGACACAAUUCAAACUACGUUGUUUUCGUUUCUUAACAUACUAACACAUUCUAACAUCAAAUUACAGAUUAUAGCAAGUAUUGAUCAUGAAAUUUCGUACUUUCUAAAGCCAUUUUUCAAAAAUAAACACUAUUAUUAUAACUUCUUCCUUACAAAGCCAAUUCUCACAUGUUUGGAAAUCAAAUAGCACUCACAUAUAAUGAUUAACAGAUUAUAAACCAUAUAUACAUGUAUUUGUAUUAAUCCAUCGUAAUUAUCAAUAGAAAUUUCAAACAUAAAAGUUAGAAUUAGAGUUAUACCUUACUCCUUUGAUUGUUUGCUAGCAAAAAGAUGGUGACUAGGUUUAGAAAUCCCUCUCCUUGACAAUCAUAAAGAAUUCAAACUCACUGUGUUUUCCUCUCUUGCUCUCUCUCCAAGCUCUCUGUUCUUCACUAAUAUCUAGCCUUAGGGAAAGGAAUAAUACGCGUAAAAAAAUAUACUAACUCCCACUUUCCCCACUAAUGUCAGGUCACAAACCCAAAAGUUUGUGUCAGUUAGAAAUAAGCCAAAGGCCACAGGGCCUUGUUUGGCUAACCACAAUUUCUCCUCUACUAGAUUAUUUUUAUAUUAUUUUUAUUAUAUAGUUUUUAUUUGUCACACUUGCCACCAAUUUAAAUAGCUUACAAUAAUAAUUAUAAUAAUUAUAAUUUUUAUUAUAAUUAUUCUGAUGAUUAAUAAAUAAUUAUAUAUAUAUAAUUUAAUUAAUAAAUUUGACUUAAACAUUACUUUAUUUAAUUUACCUAUUUUCUUUAAUAUAAAAAAAAAUUUAAUUUAAUUUAAUUAUUUCAUUAAAUUAAAUCUUUCAAAUAAAAAAUAGCAUUAUUCAAUUUAAUUAACAUUAAUCAAUUUAGUCACUAAAUUAAUGCACCACAAUUCAUCAAUUAUUUAUUUUUCUCAAUAAAUAAAUUAUUUAAAAUAUUUAUUUAAUUCAAUAAAUAUUUAAAUUAAAUUACAAAUUUCUCGAUCGUUACACUAUUCAUUCGGUUAGUAUUUACCCGGGGUACUAUUCAUGACAAAAAUUGAUUUCUUUUAUGUCCAAAUUAUUUUUGAUACAAUAUUAUUCUUGAAUUUUACUCCACAAUUGGUGAUCAUGUUGACAAUUUAGAUAUUCUUAAACUCUGGAUAAAUUUAAUUAUAAAUAUUUAAUAUUUAUCCUUUAUCUCGUUUGAUUGAUUCUUUAUAUCAUUGUCAUGAUCCUCAUGCUUAUAUUGUGAUAAAAGUCAUCUUUGGCCCGUAGUGCAUAGAUGGACUAUUGGUUAUUGGUUUUACAGUUGUUUUUCUUUGGCCCGUAGUGCAAAGAAGAACUGUUGAUUGAUAUCUUUGGUCGUAGUGCAAAGAUGAAUUGUUGAUUGAUAGCUUUGGCUCGUAGUGCAAAGUUGGACAGGUGUAUGACAUGAUCAUGACCACUGGUGAUACUAACGAAUAUCCUUGGCCGUAGUGUAUGGAUAAUUCAAUGAUGUGAUUGGCAGGAUCAUGACCAUUAGUUAACAGUUGAAUGUCUUCGGCCGUAGUGCACUGACAGACAAUUGAUUGGUAUGAUCAUUGUUAUUACACUUGAAUGUCUUAGCCUUUGGGGUAAGGAUAUUGAGUAAACGUUCUAUUAAGCCUUUGUGGCAAGGAGAAACUGUUGAUUCACAUUAUUAUAAACAUGAAUUGUGAAUUUAUCUAAAAUCUUUGGUGGUUCAGGUGAAGACAGGUGAUGAAAUUUCUCUUUGUCUUGGUAUAAUAAAGAACUGUUAAUGGGUAUUAUAGGGAUAAAAUUGAUGAUAAACUUUUAAAUCAUAGAAGAUAGUAGAUAUCAUGCUCUACUUGACUCUUCUAAUAGAUUGCUUAUUCCACUGCAGUUGUUGAUCUAAAACUUGUUGUCUAUUAUAUUCUAGCAGUUGUUAUACUGUUGAAGGCUAAUGAUAAUUUAUUCUGCAUUAUCUUAGUCAUAAUAUUUCUUACUGGGCUAGUUGAGCUCACCCUUUUCUUUCAUUAUUCUCUUCAGAAAAUGAGAAUAUAGCUGGGACGAGUCGGGGAAUGGAGUGAUGAUCCAAGAUAAGUGGCUUUAGUAGUCUUCACUAUUCUGUGAAAUAGUGUGAUAAUAAUUGUAAUGAGGACUCCAUUGAGUUUGGAUAUUGUCUAGAAGACAAUAUUUGUGUUAAAACUCUCAGCUUAUAUUUUCUCGUAUUCUACACGACAGUUGUAUAAUUAAGUAGUAUUUGUAUUCUGUACCAUGUAUCUGGCGACCCAAGAUGGGUGAUGUAUACAUAUUUUGGGGGCGUCACAUCAACAACCACCACAAAUAUAAAACCUUUGAAGCCAAGCCUGUGAGACCCCAAAUUUUAUGAAUAAAGAUUUAAAUUUCUCGAAAUAUUUUUUUUGAAUAUUACGGUGUGGAUUUGAUAUAAUGUUAUAGUUGUGGGUAAUAUUUAUAAAUUUUACAAAGUAAACAAGUUGUUACAUAAUAUUCGUUUGGUCGGGGAAUAUUCUUUUUGUUGGGGAAUAUCCGUACGAUGGUGCAAUCAUUGGUGGACCCCACAACGGAAGUAUUGUCGUAGUAAGAAAAUGACAAAAUUAUCUUUUUAUAAAAAUAAUGGCGAAAGUGUUACCGUUAAAACUAUUGAACUACUCCGUAGUAAAAGUACAGUAAUACGUGUGGUUGCAUAGUAGCACACGAUAUUGAUUAUUAAUACUUACGUAAGAAGUCACUCAGUUAUACUUAAUUAUUGUUAUAGUAAUUGCUGCAUCUAUCUCUCAUAUUAUUGAUUCAAUUAUUGUCACAGUAUCAUCUGCAUAAUAUGUUAUAUUAUUAAAUCAAUAAUUGAGACGACAAAGUUAUUUAUAUUAUUAUUUGCAAUAUUGAGAAUGUCUAGAAGUUCUAUCAAGGAGAGGUUAGAUAAUCUAAUUGCGCGCCAAUAGGGAGAAAUCCUUAUCGGAAAGCCCCCUCUUUCUUGGAAACUACCUGGUUGUUAAAUAUUGUGAGUUAUAAUAUUAAUGAUGUAUAAGUUUGUGUUGAUUAAAGAUGAAAUUGAUAGUUCCAUUGUGUUGGGAUUAUUAGUGUUAGUGGAAAUCGACAUUUAUUUCGAUAAUAAUUGAUGUUUGGAAGUUAUAUUGACCAAUCGGGUAAUUAACCGGAUAAAUGAGCAAUUAAUUGCUAUUAAUUCACAUGCUUAUAACUAUGUGUUCACAUGUGUGUACUAUUGAUUCACAUGAUUUACUAUUAGGGGAGUUGGUGCAAGAUUGAUAAUACUUGCAUGACUAAAUUAAAAAUAGAGGUAUAGAUGAAGGUACUAUACUGUAAUUAUUUUUUUCACAUGUUUAGAACUAUUGAGUCACAUGAUUUACUAUUGAUUCACAUGAUUUACUAUUAGGGGAGGUGGUGCAAGUUUGAUAAUACUUGCAGGACUAAAUUAAAAAUGAAGAAAAAGAGGAAGGUAUUAUACUGUAAUAUUUCGAGCCCCAAAACGUGCAAUUAUCGAAACUAUAUUUUCCUAUAAAUAGAAGCUCAUUCUUCCUUCAUUUCUCACCAAUUCACUAAAGCUUUAGAGCAAUUAUUAUAGAGAGAAAUUAUAGAGAGAAAGAAGAAGAGAAGUCUGCUACCUCACUAUUUUAGUAUGCAGUUUCUUCUAAGGUAAGGGUAUUAUUUCUUUCGUAUUCAUGAAGAGAGUUAUUUCUUUCAAUACUCGUAAGGGUUGUUAUUCCAUUCUUUAUUAUUCUGUUGGAAUAACCUGUCUGUGCGGACUACACACGCCUGGUGAAUUCUUUUGUUAUUACAUUCUUUAUUAUUCUGUUGGAAUAACCUGUCUGUGCGGACUACGCACGCAUGGUGAAUUUUUUUUUAUUCUAUUCUUUAUUAUUCUGUUGGAAUAACCUGUCUACGCAGACUACCGCAUGCAUGGUGAAUGACCCUUCGUAUUCAUUCUUUAUUAAAUUAUGUAAAUGAUCUGUCUACGUAGAUUACCGCAUGACGGGUAAAAAUCCAUUUGCAGUUUCAUAUAUUCUAUUAUACUCAUAUGCGAUAUCAUUUCUUUUGUACUCGUCAUAUAAUAUCAUUUUCUUUGGAAUUUUUCUUUUACGAGUUACUAUUGACAGAUUACUAUUCACCUGAUUAUUAUUCACUCUAGUAUUAUUCACUCAGGUAUUCGGGGCACUUUUCGUGUCAGAGUAUUAUUCACGGGUUACUAUUCACCCGAUUACUAUUCACUCUAGUAUUAUUCACUCGGAUAUUUGGGACACUUUUCGUGUCGAGGUACUAUUCACGGAGUACUAUUCCUGAAGUACUAUUCAUGAAAUACUAUUCACCCAAAAAAUAUAUUUCUUUUCAGUCCAAAUUAUUUUUGGGUACAAUAUUAUUCUUGAAUUUUACUCCACAAAACAAUAUCAUGUUGACAAAUUGGACGUUAUUGAUUCUUGGAUAAAUUAAAUUAUAAAUCUUUAAAAUUUAUCCUUGAACUUUUUUUAUUGAAUUAUUAUGUCAUUGUCAUCAUCCUCAUGCUUAUAUUGUGAUGAAAGUCAUCUUUGGCUUACGUGCAUAGAUGGACUUGGUAUGAUUAUGACCAGGGAUUAUUCGGUAUAAUCAUGACCGUAAUGUGACGAAUGAUAUGGUGAAAGUCCUCAUUGGCCUGUAGUUCAUUGAUGGACAGUUGUUGGUAUGAUUAUGACCAGGGAUUAUUUGGUAUAAUCAUGAACAUUGAUGAUUACAUGAGUAUCAUUGGCCGAGAUGCAGGGAUGAUUCGAUUUUAUUUAUUAAGUUGAGUCUCAGCGAUAAAGUUGAUGAAAAACUUUUUAAAUCAUAGAAGAUAGUAGAUUUUAUGCUCUACUUGACUCUUCUAAUGGCUUGCUUAUUCCGCUGCAGUUGUUGAUCUAAAACUUGUUGUCUAUUAUAUUCUGUCAGUUGUUAUACUAUUGAAGGCUAAGGAUAAUUUAUUCUGCAUUAUCUUAGUCAUAAUAUUUCUUACUGGGCUAGUUGAGCUCACCCUUUCUUUCACUGUUCUCCUCAAGAAAUGAGAAUAUAGCUGGGACGAUUCGGGGAACGGAUUGACGGUCCAGAUGGUUGUUUUAGUUGUCCUCACUAUUCUGUGAAAUAAUAUGAUAAUAAUUGUAAUGAGGACUCCAUUGGGAGUGGAUAUUGUCUAGAAGGCAAUAUUCUUGUUUAAACUCUCAGUUAUGUUUUGUCGUAUAUUACCCGACAGUUGUAUAAUUAAGUUUGUAUUUGAUUUAUGUACCAUAUAGUUGGCGACUCAAGAUGGGUGAUGUAUACCUGUUUUUGGGGUGUCAAAGUUGGUAUCAAAGCUUAGGGAUAUGAUCUCUGGCUGAGAUAUGAGACAAGAACUAGGAGGGGAGAGACUGGGAAUUCCUUCGCUAGUAUAUAUGACCUACCUAAGUUUAUUUGGUAUUUAAUUGGUCGAUCAGAGUAUAGGAAUAAUAUGUGAUAUGUCAAUUAACCCUUGUUUUGUGACAGUGUUUGAAAAUAGCAUCUAAAAAUGUUGAGAUCAGCAAUGAAGCACAUGAGACCGUUGAGUCACCAACGAUUAAUACCUAGGAUAAUGUGCAACAGGAAGAUAAUAAUCCUCAGGUAAAUAACAACACCGAUUAGAUGAUGAACGAUGGGAUGUUCAGAGGCUUUAUGCAAUUCAUGCAACAUCAGACGAGAGAGACUCUUGUUCAAAAUGCAGGUGGAAACACUGUCAACUCUCGGAUGGUCACCGCUAAGCAGUUUAAGGAGUUGGGACCACCAGAGUUUUUGAGAGAGCCAGAACCACUUAAGGCGGAGACGUGGAUAAACAGAUCACCAAGAUAUUUGAUGUCUUGGAAUGCUCAGAGGAGCAAAAGGUUCCCUUUGCCACCUUCAUGUUGCGAGGAGAGGCAGAUUACUAGUGGGAAUCAGUAAAACGUACUCAGCCUGCCGCACUGAAGAUGUCUUGGGAGAUGUUCCAAGAACUGUUCAACAACAAGUACUUUCCUGAAAGUAUUCGUCAUGUGAAAGAGGUAGAGUUCAUCAAGCUUGAGUAAAACAAUAUGACCGUGGCGCAGUACGAAGCUAAGUUUGCCGAGUUAUCUCAGUUUGCGUCCCACUUGGUUGAUAAUGAAGAGAGAAUGACGCGGAUGUUUCUAAGAGGUUUGAAACCCGAGAUACGUCAAUAUCUAAUUUCUCACAAACUGUGUUUGUAUUCAGAUGUUAUGAAUAGGGCUCAAUUAUUGGAGUGUGAUAAUGAGUCAGCACAACCAAAAGGCAACGACCAACAACACGAUAAUAAUCAUACCGGUGGCAACGGCCAUCGGAACAAUGAUAACCAUCGUGGGGGAAAUUAUUAUGCCAAGAAUGGUAACCACUUCGGUGGUAAUCAUGGCCAAGUUAAUAGAAGCGGAAAUUUCAAGAAGAGAAGGUUCAAUAAUGAUGGAAAGACGUCAUCACCAGCACCCGUUGUUAAGGAAGGAGAACGACCGCCGGUCGUAUGUUACAAAUGCGGAGGGGAGGGACACAUAAGUCCAAACUAUUCACAGCCUUCCAAGGUAUGUUUUAGUUGUGGAAAAGAUGGUCACAUAGCUCGAUUUUUUUCUUGUAGCGAAAUCAAGUCCAGUUGGGACAGUGGCACCAAAGGCGGAUACGGACAAAACAAAGUCGGUGGUUUCAGGAAGAGCGGUUUUUAUGACUUCUCAAAAAGUGAGUAACCCGAACGAAGUUAACACGGGUUAGUUAAUUAUAAAUUCUUGCGAAGUCUAUACCUUAUUAGAUAUCGAUUCUACCCAUUCUUUUAUUUCUCUUGCUUGCGCUCAGCGUUUAAAUUUGACUCCAGAGAAAUUAGACUUUGACUUAUUGGUUGAAACUCUGUUAGGAGAAACCUUCGUUACACCCACUGUUUAUAAAUCUUGUUUUAUUCAAAUCGACACUUUCACGUUACCUGUCGAUCUUAUCUCUUUGAAAAUACUUGCCUUUGAUGUGAUUUUAGGAAUCGAUUGGUUAACUACUCAUCAUGCCAAAAUUGAUUAUUUUUGUAAGGUUGUUAGCUUUCAUAUUCCUAACCAACUUGUUAUGCGAAUUCAAGCAACCAAACCACUAAAGUCAAUCACUGUCAUAUCAAGCCAUAAGUAAAGAGCCCCGAGCCUUUCGUUGGUGACUUCCUUGUGUGGAAUGCAUCGAAGCCGAACUUUCUGUAGGGGACGUCGUGAAUAACAGUGGCAAGUUGAUAGGUAUCAAUGUGACGUGUUAUCCAAGUCUUGGGAUGAGAGUCACAGUUUUGAAUGAUAUUUCUAUUGUUAAUAAAUUUCCUAGCGUAUUCUUGAAGACUUCUUAGCCUACCCCUAGAGCGUGAAAUCGAAUUUUUUAUUGACCCCAAUACAAAACUCAUUUAUAAAACCCUCAAAUAUUUUCUUUACCCAAAACGAACGUAUAAUGUGCCAAUGACGUUGGCUCGAGCUGUUGAAGGUUACGACUAUACCAUUAAAUUCCAUCGUGGGAAAAGCGAACGUGGUAGCUGACACAUUAAGUAGAAGAUCGUAUGCGUUUACGAAGUGUGACGUUGUUAACACAAAAACCCAUUUCGUAUAACUUAUAAAUAAUGAAGAUGGAGUUAAUGACUCUAGAGACCCACGUGAAGAUAACGAAUAUACGAGUAAAAUCGACUUUAAUCGAUAAAGUUAAAGCCGCUCAAACUACACACUCGGAGCUAGUGAAUACGAAGAAGAAGGUUCAAGAAGGCGUUAUUCUAGAAGCAAGAGUCGAUGAAGAGAGAAAAUCUCAAUCCUCGAUUUAAUUGGGCCAUUUGAAAUCCUCGAUGGAGUAGGAACUGUGGCCUAUAGACUUGUUUUACCGCCAAGUAUGUCGCGUGUUCAUAACAUUUUUCAUGUAUCGAUGUUACGUAAAUAUGUGGACGACCCGAACCACAUUAUUAAAUUGGAACUAGACGAGAUAGCAGAAGAUUUAACAUAUGAGGAUAUACGUGUUAAAAUCUUGGAUAAGAAGGAUCGUAUUCGACACUCAAAUUUUAUACCUCAAGAGUUAGAAUCUGAAAUAAAGUCAAGGUAUCCUUAUCUCUUCGGCAUACCAGGUACGUACUUAAAUUUUGAGGGCGAAAUUUCAUAAGAAGGGAAGAUUGUGAGAUCCCAAAUUUUAUGAAUAAAGAUUUAAAUUUCUUGAAAUAUAUUUUUUGAAUAUUACGGUGUGGAUUUGAUAUAAUGUUAUAGUUGUGGGUAAUAUUUAUAAAUUUUGCAAAGUAAGCAAGUUGUUAUAUAAUAUUCGUUUGGUCGGGGAAUAUUCUUUUUGUCGGGGAAUAUCCGAACGACGACACGAUUAUUGGUGGACCCCACAACGGAAGUAUUGUCGUAGUAAGAUAAUGACAAAAUUAUCUUUUUAUAAAAAUAACGGCGAAAGUGUUACCGUUAAAACUGUUGAACUACUCGGUAGUAAAAGUAUAGUAAUACGCGAGGUUGUAUAGUAGCACACGGUAUUGAUUAUUGAUGCUUACGUAAGAAGUUACUCAGUUAUACUCAAUUAUUGCUACAGUAAUUGUUGCAUCAUAUCUCUCAUAUUAUUGAUUCAAUUAUUGUCACAGUAUCAUCUGCAUAAUAUGUUAUAUUAUUAAAUCAAUAAUUGAGAUGACAAAGUUAUUCAUAUUAUUAUUUGCAAUAUUGACAAUGUCUAGAAGUUCUAUCAAUGAGAGGUUAGAUAAUCUAAUUGUGCGCCAAUAGGGAGAAAUCCUUAUCGGAAAGCCCCCUCUUUCCUGGGAACGACCUGGUUGUUAAAUAUUAUGAGUUAUAAUACUACUGAUGAAUAAGUUUGUGUUGAUUAAAGAUGAAAUUAAUAGUUCCAUUGUGUUGAGAUUAUUAGUGUUAGUGGAAAUUGACAUUUAUUUUGAUAAUAAUUGAUGUCUGGAAGUUAUAUUGACCAAUCGGGUAAUUAACCGGAUAAAUGAGUAAUUAAUUGCUAUUAACUCACAUGCUUAUAACUAUGUGUUCACAUGUGUGUACUAUUGAUUCACAUAAUUUACUAUUAGGGGAGUUGCUACAAGAUUGAUAAUACUUGCAUGACUAAAUUAAAAAUGGAGGUAUAGAUGAAGGUACUAUACUAUAAUUAAUUUUUUCACAUGUUUAGAACUUUUAAGUCACAUGAUUUACUAUUGAUUCACAUGAUUUACUAUUAGGGGAGGUGGUGCAAGUUUGAUAAUACUUGCAAUUAAAAAUGAAGAAAAAGAGGAAGGUAUUAUACUGUAAUAUUUUGAGCCCCAAAACGUAUAAUUAUUGAAACUAUAUUUUUCUAUAAAUAGAAGCUCAUUCUUCUUUCAUUAUCACCAAUUCACUAAGCUAUAGAGCAAUUAUUAUAGGGAGAAAUUAUAGAGAGAAAGAAGAAGAUAAGUCUACUACUUCACUAUUCCAGUAUCCAGUUUCUUCUAAGGUAAUGGGUAUUAUUUCUUUCGUAUUCAUGAAGAGAGUUAUUUCUUUCAAUACUCGUAAGGGUUGUUAUUCCAUUCUUUAUUAUUCUGUUGGAAUAACCUGUCUGUGCGGACUACACACGCCUGGUGAAUUCUUUUGUUAUUAUAUUCUUUAUUAUUCUGUUGGAAUAACUUGUCUGUGCGGACUACGCACGCCUGAUGAAUUCUUCUAUUAUUCCAUUCUUUACUAUUCUGUUGGAAUAACCUGUCUACGCGGACUACCACAUGAUUGGUGAAUUCUUCUGUUAUUCCAUUCUUUAUUAUUCUGUUGGAAUAACCUGUCUACGCGGACUACCGCAUGCAUGGUGAAUGACCCUUCGUAUUCAUUCUUUAUUAAAUUAUAGAAAUGAUCUGUCUACGUAGAUUACCGCAUGGCGGGUGAAAAUCUAUUUGCAGUUUCGUAUAUUCUAUUAUACUCGUAUGAGAUAUCAUUUCUUUUGUAUUUGUCAUGGAAUAUCAUUUUUUUUGGUAUUUUUCUUUUACGAGUUACUAUUCACGGGUUAGUAUUCACCUGGUUACUAUUCACUGUAGUAUUGUUCACUCGGGUAUUCGGGACACUUUUUGUGUCGGAGUACUAUUCAUGGGUUAUACUAUUCACGGGUUACUAUUCACCCGAUUACUAUUCACUCUAGUAUUAUUCACUCGGGUAUUUGGGACACUUUUUGUGUCGGGGUAUUAUUCACAGGGUACUAUUCUCGAAGUACUAUUCACGGAGUACUAUUCACCAAAAAAAUAUAUUUCUUUUCGAUCCAAAUCAUUUUUGGGUACAAUAUUAUUCUUGAAUUUUACUCCACAAAAUAGUAUCAUGUUGACAAAUUGGACGUUAUUGAUUCCUAGAUAAAUUAAAUUAUAAAUCUUUAAAAUUUAUCCUUGACUUGGUAUGAUUAUGACCAGGAAUUAUUCGGUAUAAUCAUGACCGUAAUGUGACGAAUGAUGUGGUGAAAGUCCUCAUUGGCCUGUAGUUAAUUGAUGGACAGUUGUUGGUAUGAUUAUGACCAGGGAUUAUUCGGUAUAAUCAUGACCAUUGAUGAUUACAUGAGUAUCCUUGGCCGUGAUGCAGGGAUGAUUCGAUUUUAUUUAUUAAGUUGAGUCUCAGCGAUAAAGUUGAUGAAAAACUUUUUAAAUCAUAGAAGAUAGUAGAUUUUAUGCUCUACUUGACUCUUCUAAUGGAUUGCUUAUUCCGCUGCAGUUGUUGAUCUAAAACUGUUGUCUAUUAUAUUCUAUCAGUUGUUAUACUGUUGAAGGCUAAGGAUAAUUUAUUCUGUAUUAUCUUAUUCAUAAUAUUUUUUGCUGGGCUAGUUGAGCUCACCCUUUCUUUCACUGUUCUCUUCAGGAAAUGAGAAUAUAGCUGGGACGAGUCGGGGAACGGAUUGACGGUCCAAAUGGUUGUUUUUGUAGUCCUCACUAUUCUGUGAAAUAAUGUGAUAAUAAUUGUAAUGAGGACUCCAUUGGGAGUGGAUAUUGUCUAGAAAGCAAUAUUCUUGUUUAAACUCUCAAUUAUGUUUUGUCGUAUAUUACCCGACAGUUGUAUAAUUAAGUUUGUAUUUGAUUUAUGUACCAUAUAUUUGGCGACUCAAGAUGGGUGAUGUAUACCUAUUUUGGGGCCGUCACAAAGCCCAUACACUCCCAUUUUAGAUCAUAGCUCCUAUGCCCAGACCCAUUAAGAGCAUACCCAGCCCCUACUAAUAUGCACAAUCUAAGCUCCCAUGAUCUAAAGCCCCUGACUUUGCAAAUAUAGAUCGAUAGAUAGAUUUUCGGGAAGGAUCACAUUUUGGUAGAUAGAUGGUUUAAUUUGUUUAACUAUUUAUUAUAAAAUUGAGUAUAAUUUAAUAUAAUUAAUUAUUUAGCUUACCUUCUCUCUCCUUGUCUGCAUUGACACAUAGAUUUAUUGAUUGCCACGUCCUUCUUCUGUUAAAUGGUUAACAGACAUAGACGACAAAAUUAAUUUUUGUAAAUAAAGUAUAGUUCAAUGAGUUGACCGUAAAAAAAUUUAGUUUAGUGAUGCAUUUGUAAACCGAUGUUGAGUAGAGUGGAGAAAAGUGUAUUUAAUCCGCUCCAAAAGUCACCACUUUACAAGUCUCGUCAACAAUCAGCACCAUGUAAACACUCACCCUCUUUGGUGAACUUGAAGAGUUUGAAAAUCAACUUAGGAGGUAUGAUGAUGAAAAUGAGGCACCAAUAAAGAAGACAUUGACACUUCAAGCUGAGAGUAACAAUGAAUGUGAUAACGAAGAUUUUGAUAAAGAAAUUGAAAUGCUCUCAAGAAACUUGAGAGACUAUUUCAAAAGAAAAUAAAAAAGGUAGCUCAACUCCAGUGGGUAAGUUCAAAACAGAACAAGAAGAAGAAAUUGUCCAACUCUAUUUCAUAGGACUAGAAGAUGAUGAUCAACUUGAGGUAACAAAUUUUCAUGAAGCUUUUGAAAUAUCUAUGCCUGAUUAUAUUGCUUUACAAAAUGAAAAUCAACAACUCAAAAAAAAAACUGUUUAUUUUAAGAAUUGCGUAAAUGCUAAUGAAUGAAGUUAAGUCAUUUAUUAAAGAGAGAAAAGAAAAUGAAUAUCUUAAAAAUGAAAAUGAAGUUUUAAAAGAAAAUUUAAAAAUGAGAGAUGAAUGCAUAAAUGCUUUUAAUGAUGGAAAAAUGAUGAAUGUGCAACAUGAUGAUAAUGUCACAAAUGCAAAAAUAACAUCUUUAAAAAAUGAUCUUGCUAAAUUUGUGCAAUGAGAAGAGAACCUAAAUGUUAUGUUAGGGGCACAAAGGUCUAGUCUUGAUAAAUAAGAAAUUGGGUAUAAUCCUAUUAAAAUGUGAAAAAUAGAACUAAUAAUAAUAUUAUAAUGAUUAAUAGAAAACCAAUGCAUAAACCACUUUAUUGUUCACCGUUUGUUACUUGUAAAAAAUAUGGUUUUAAAGGUCAUUUUAAAAUGUGGCUUUAUUAGAAUAAAGCAAAUUUGGGUAAAGAAAUGUGAUUUAUAUGCUACUAACCUAAUAGGACCCAAGAAGAUUUGGGUACCAAAAUGGUAGAGACUAUUUGUUCAUUUUGUAGAUGUCUCAAGGUCAAAAAGGAGACAGAUAAUACUUAUAAAUUAUUUGGCAAAAUUCGCAAGUACCUUAUUUUUUUAAAUAGAUUUUUAAUUAGAUAUAUUAUGAAAACUCUAUGGAUUUCGUAUCAUAUGGCUUCAUAACAUCAUUUAUUAUAAAGUUUUUAUUGUGCUAAAUGCUCCAUAUUUAAUACAAACGACAAUCUUGAUGAGGAAUAAGUGAAUAUUAUUUUUGAUGAACUUAACCAUGAUCUGUUAAAGGAAGAGAAUGAGGUUUCUGCUGGAAAUGACUAUCUGAAUUGUGGAACCCAAACAGUUCAAUCCGGAUAGUCUAAGCCGUCUCUAUCAGAAGGAAAGAUAGAUGAAAUCAGACAAUUUGACCCGUCUGUUUUAGAAGAAAACUCAAAUUUACAAACACCUAAAUCCAAACAGAUCGAGUCGUCUACUUUAGAAGACAAAACAUAUGAAUAUUCGGAUGCAGUAACUUAUAUUCCAGAGGAUGAAUCUCAAAAGCAAAUGACUACUGCCAGGCUUCCUAAAUCUUCUAGAACUAUGGGAAAUCAUCAUCCAAGUCUGAUCAUCAGAAAUUUCAACAUUAGGAUGUCCACAAGAAGAGGUUUUGAAGAAAUUUGUUUGCUACACUAAGGAGCUUAUCUAUUAAGCUUAUUGUUGGUAACAAAAUUGUGGAUAUAUAGGUAACAAAUCACAAAGGUAUGGUCAUUUUAUUUAAUUGCUAUAUGUGAUAUUGUUAUAAGCUUGCUCCCGUGUCUUUAUUUUAUGAAUUAUUUUUUGUUUGUCACAAAUGGGAUAGAGAUAUAACUAAAUUGAUGAUUUUUUUUUUUUUGAUAAUAACAAAGGGGAGAAAUGUUUAGAAAAAUUGAUGAUUAUGAUAUCUGAUGGUUAUAUUGAUUAUAAUAUGUUUAGAUUUUUUUGAUAUCAUAUUGAUGAUAAUGGUUGGAUAUUUUGAUUCAUUAUCUGUUAUAGCUUAUCAUUAUGCAUUAUUUAUCAUAACAGUUAUGUGAUCUUUAUAUCUCCUAUAGGCAUAAAUUUAUGGGGAGCAUGAUUGCAAGGAAUAAUAUAUUGUCAUCAUCAAAAAAGAGGGAAAUUGUUAGUUUUAUUAUUUGUGAUUUUAAUAAUGACAAUAUAUUUGUAAAUAUAAUUUAUUUAAUGUAUUGAAUUAAUUUUGUAAUGGUUUGUUGAAUAUGAUAUAUAGUAAGUUUGGUUCAUGAUAAUUUAAUUUGGUUAUAAUUCAAAUUGUUAUUACGUGCAGGAUUGAAUUGAAAUAUUUUCUUCCAGGUUGUUAUUUUGUUAAAACAGGUUGUUUCAAUUUUGAAUUGGAAUAUGUUAAGGAGUUUGUUUAGCAGUGUAAUCUAUCUAUUAAAUAUAUUAAAAUGCAGUACAUGAUAUCAUAGCUUGACAUAUGUCAUUCUCACAAUUCAACACGUGUCCUGUCUAAUUAAUAUUCCUUAAGACCCUUAACAAAAGUGCCCAGCUAACAUAACAAAUGAGGAUGAAAACAAACUUUAAUUCAUUCCCCUAAAUUUUAGAUUUAUAAUCCCCUAAAUCAUGCUACAAAUCUAAACUAUUUUGAUAAUAUCAACUGUUUUGAUAUUAUCCUUUGUAAUUUAAUUAUUAUUUAAUAAAAUUACUUUUUUAUGCUAUUAAUUAAUUUUUUAGAUUUAUAAUCUUCUAAAUAACUACAAAUCUAAACAGUUAAUAACAUAAUGUCAUUCUCUUAAUUUUUUAAAUUUACAAUCCUCUAAAUCACUACAAAUCUAAACUGUUUUGAUAAUAUCAACUGUUUUGAUAUUAUCCUUUGUAAUUUAAUUAUUAUUUAAUAAAAUCAUUACUUUAUCUCAACACCACCCCCUACAAUGUAUAUUCAUUUGUUUUUCUGUGUAAAAUUUGAUCAUCGCACAACAAUCUACCAUCUUCUUAUUAUAUUUUAAUUUAUUAAUUAUACAUACAUAUUUAUUGAAUAAUUCCGCCCGCAACGCACGAGUUUGUAUCUAGUGUGGUCUAAUUUGGAGUCUUUAAAUUAACUGGUUUAGAUAUUUGUGUAGAGUAUGGGCUCUAUCUACUCGUUAAUUUUAGCCUAUGUUGAUUACGUAUCUUUGAUUUUCUAAUUUUGAGAAUAUUUUAAGCUGUUAGCUAUAUCUAUAGUUCUGAAAUAUCAAAUUCUCGAAAUGAAAGACCAAGUCAUGCUAACCAUUUCAUAUAGUCGUUGGACUGAGUUCUAUAUAUUUUCUUCAUGUUUGUCUAUAGUGAGCAGGACUCUUGAAGCUUAUAGCAGCCAUAUUACACAGAUUAAUCAAGAGCUUUUCAAAGUUAUUUUCAGCUACUCAUUAUAUUGUUAAUUUAUUUCAGUUAAAAAUUAAGAGUCUAUUAUAAUCUAUAUUUAUUGUAUUAAAUUUUAGUUCAAGUCUUGUUUGGCUUGAUCGAUCCAAUAGUGGAUAGGUUUGUUCGAAGAAAACUUUUAAGGUUGCAGAGGUGCAAAUGUCUCAGUGGUGAGAAAGGUUGCAAUGAUGCAAAGGGGCAGAGGUGUUCAUCGCAGUGGAAAAUUUUAUUUGAACAGGGAGUUCUUUUUAUUAUACUUAAUGGAGUCUUAAAAGUUUAAUAAAAAGAGUCCAAUACCGGUUGGUUUUGAACGUGGAUUAAGCCGUUAGAGUUUAAGGGCAGAACCACGUAAAAAUUCUUGUCUGUGGUUUGUUAAUUCUUCUGGGUUGAUAAUUUAUUUCUCACGUUGCAUCUAAUCUCAUUCAUAUUACAUUUUAUUGUUGGUAGGAAAAGUAUACUAAUCUAGACACUAUCUUCUGUCUUUAUAACAAAAGUAAAAUUGACUCUAAAGCAGACACUUUUAUUUGUCUGUUUUAAGUUUAGCAGCAAGUUCAGCAGCAGGAAAAUAAAAUUAGUCAUUGUUAGUGUGCUUAUUUAUAGAAUUACAUCCACAUCUGUAAUUCUACUGAGAUUUAAUGAAUGUUUAUUUUGCCGAUUAAAAAACAAAGGAAAAAGAAUAAAAGUAAUAAGAUGUUCGAAACAUUUGAUUGUAUUAUUAUAUUUUUGUGAGCCAAGGUGAAAGCAAAGCCACCUAGUGGUAGUUGUUUUAUUUAUAAUAUGGUAAUAACAACCAUGAACUGAUAGUUGAUUUAUUUAUUAUAUGCUAAUAACAGCUAUCAGCUAGUGGUUGAUUUAUUUAUUAUAUUCUAAUAAACAGCCAUCAACUAGUAUAUAGUUUCUUGAUCAACUGUUCAUAGGAAGAUUACUGAUCGUUCAUUUAGGCGUUGGGGGGACUAAUUUGAACACCAUAGAUAACUAAACCCGUCUCCAUAGUCGUGUUUUCACUCCCGUCGAGAGCAAAUUUGAAAUCUCCAGAGUCAAAGCUAUUCAAGAAUUCCCCAGCUUUGAGUGAAAUCGGUGUGUUCCUCGGACAAUCCAUCAACCUAUAUCCAUUCACUUGCGUGGACCCAUCCGGAGGAGUAAGUGUAAGACUCACCGGACUUUCUAUGUUAAGGUUGUCUUUCAGCAGCACCACAAAAGACACCUCAUAAGUUCAUUUUUCAAGAGUUUCUGUCGGAUAUUUUCCAUCAACAUGUAGGACUAAGCUACCAAUUAAUUCAGCACUGGCAUCACUGAAAAAAAAUGAUAGUAGAAUUAAAGUCAGAAACUUUUGAUAUAAGGAGCUUAAAUUCAUUAAGGUGAUUUUAUUGAUUUUUUUUUCUGGAAAAUUUUUAAUGUUAAGUCCUUCUAUCUGACUAGAGUCUAGACUUCAAUAAAAUUUCUAUAGUCCUUCUAUCACUUUAAUUUAAUGACAUAGUUGCUUAUAUAUCCCUAUUUUUAACUGAAUAAAAUUCAGGUGUUUAAACACAAAUCUUGACCUUUGACAUCAAUUAAGUUAACUAAGUCUUAUUUCUACUUACGUAAACUUCCAGCCUGAAGGGUUGGCAUAAUUGAGUUCCUUUGCAUGCACAAAAGCCCAACUGCUCUGAAUAAGUCAACAGAAAUUUACAUUAUUAUAUGGAUAGAUAAGGCAAACCAGCGGUGACCAAUAAAUGAUAUGUCGAUGCCUUUAUAAAUAUAUAUAUAUAUAUAUAUAUAUAUAUAUAUAUAUAUAGAAUAUUGACGGUUGACAUUGUCAAAAUAACAAUUAUAAAAGUGUUGCCAAAUGUAUAUUUACUCUGAUAGCGAUGACAUUAUCAACCACCUAUAUAUAAAUAGCAAAUGUUUCAUAGCAAAAGUUUAUUACAGAAUAUGUAUCACUCAAACCAUCUUAUAUCAAUCAUGCAUUACAACAUCAGAUAGAUGAGAUCUUAAAAUUUUUGAACACUCCGCGACAUUAUGUUGCAAAUGGUACCAAAUUUUAAAAAUCCCAAAGGUGUAAGAUGGUCUAAAUUUUGCAAAAAUGUAUCACUUGCAAAAUUUACAAAUAUUAAGGAUUAUUUUUGUUCUGUAGACAACUUUAGUGUGUAUAUAUAUUUGAUGUUUGUUUCCAAUUUCAGUGGACUUACCUUCUGGCCCGGGUCCUUUUUGAGCAACGCAUUUUCCUUAGCUUGAGACAACAAUGUCUUGAGGUCAACCUUGUGAUACCUCACUACUUGUGCCAUUUCGCCUUUAAUUCUGCUAUAUAUAUUUUUUGUUUUUGUUCUUGAUGUCUAUAUAUCUCUCUUCCAAAGGCUAGCUCUAUUUAUAGAUAGCACAAAAGAGGGUAUAUUCAAUAAUAACCUAUCUUCAAAUAUUCCUUCCUUUUUCACAGUGGGGAUCCUGAUAAGUUUAACAUCAUCAUCAUCAUCGCCAAGGAUAUAGAGCAUCAGAUUCUGUUUAAUAAUUUUGUUGGAAUAUUUCUUUUCCAUUUCUCAGUUCAAUAAUUCUUUCUUUAGCUUGUUGCGCUGGCAAAAUUCGAUGAAGGCGAAAGGUACGUAGGCAUUCAAGUAAGUGAUGAUUUUCUUCUAACCAGAAGUAUGAGCAGGUUGAUGAUACAUAUGUCAUGCCAACAUAACAAACUUUAGAGGAGCCGAGUUCGAAAAAGAGAGGGUACUGGUAUAAUUGCCUUAAUUCGAUCUUAUCACCCAAGCACGGGUGCCAUCUAUUUUGGUUCAAUAUAAUGGAGUAUAUAUUCAAAUCAACAAAACAAGGCAAGAACAAAAAAUAAAUUUAAAGUGCAUAUUUUAAUAGGAAUAUCUAUUAAUAUAUAUAGGUAUGUUACUCAAAUAUCUAUACCAUCUAUACCAAUUUAUAGCAAGAUAAAUACGAGUUAUUUAAGUUGGUCUUGAGCCAAUUUAGUAAUCCAAUUUUGGUGACUCCGUAACUCAAAAUGUUUUUUUUUUGUUUUUUUGUUUGAUUUUUAUGUAUUCUUGGUCAUAAAUUUUGAUAUUCCCAAAAGUCAACUAAAACACUCAAAAGUUAUAUAUUUUCACAAAAUUUUAGUACACAUUUAUUAUUAAAGAUGGAAUAUAUUAUCUAUCAUUAAGAAUUGAGUAAAUAUAUAAAAAUAAAAUAAAAUUAAUGAAAUAACUUUUGAGCUAUCAAGUCAUCAAAUUUGGAGAGCUGAGUUGACUUGAGUUAUAUUAAAAUGUCAUUCAAAAAUAUUAUAUAUAUAAUUUACCAAAUAAAUCGUUUUUAAACUUAUCCGUACUUCGUACGGAUUAUUAAUUUUGUUUGUAUUAAAAGUAGAAGUAUAAGCAUCUCGCAGGCCAAAAAUAAAAAAAGAAAAAAAAAAAGAAAAGAAGAGCAAGACUACUUCUUUUUCUUCCUUUUUAUCUCCUUUCUUUCUUUGUUUCUUUUUAGACGGAGGACUUCAUUUCAUCUUUGAAAAUAAACAUAAGAAUUUAUCAAAGGAAAUACAAGAUAGACGAUACAAAUAUUGAGAUCUAAUGGAACUUUUGUUGUCUAAUUAUUAUUAUUUUUUAUUUUCAAAUAUACGCAUACAUGAUAAAGAUUCACAAUUAUAUAUAAUAGGCUAAAAUCAACAAUCCGCUAAAAAAUUUGCGGUCUGUCAAAAUGUUUAGUUGUCGAGCUAGUAUAAAUUACCGUCUACCAAAUCGUUAUUAGUUAACAAACUAGUGUAAAAAUUUCACUUUGGAAGCUAAUAUAAACUAUCAUCUAUCAAAUUGUUAUUAAAUGGGGAGCUACGAAUGUAAACUAUCGUCUAACAAACUUUAUUAGCUGAUGAGCUAGUGUAAAAUAUCAUUUAUCAAACUGUUAGAUAGAGUGUUGGUUACAGUUAAAUGUGUCUUUGGAUCAAUUCCUAUACAGUCCGCUUCUCCAACGGACCGGUUUGUCAGCGAACCAACUAUAGUGACGGUUCAAUCCGUCGUUAUAGCAUAGAAAAAUGUUAACGCCAAGAUUCGUCCACGUGCAAAAACGAAAUCACACAGAGGAACUUGUCGGCUUGGGCCGCCAGGGGAUAGCUCUGGUAUAAGAAUAAGUACUGACUGAAUAAAGUUAACAAUGGAGGCUUAUAAUUUUAGUGCUGAAAAAAUAAUAAGAUAUUGUGUGCAUGUGAACCAGGGUAUAUAUAGCCUUGUAUUUAUAGUGAUCACACCUCUUUAAAACGCAUCAUCUCGUAUAGGAGUAGAAUUCCUCAUUAAGAUGGAUACCUUAAUGGGACAUGAUUGAAUCUCCUUAAAAAAAGAAAGUCGGAUACUAUCCUGACUCUUUCCUUAGAAGUUAGAAAUUAAAUAUAAUUAGGAAUCCUAGAUUCCUUAAAAUUCUCCCACUGCCCGUGGGGAGACUUCCUCCACGUGGACUAUGGCCCACCGAAUUCUGUGGUCCCAAAUAAUCAUGUUCCAACAUUGUCCCCCAUUGUAAUACCUAGAAAAAUAAUUAAAAAAAUAAAAAACAUUUAAGUUUAUAUUUUAAAAUAUAUUAGUUGGAUUUUAUUAUUUAUUUGGGUCAAAGUGGUCAUUAAUUUAUGUGGGCUAAUAAAUAUUAAUAAAUUAGGGAUAAAUUAAUUUGAUAAAAUUGAGCCUUAAAACUAAUUGGGUCUAAUUUAUAUUUGUGUAAUAAUAAAUCUUAUUAAAAUUUUAUUAAAAUUAAAAGAAUUAAUAAAACAUAUUAAUUAAUGAAUAAAUAACAAACCUAAUCUUACUUUUAUUAUACAAACUGAGGGAAAGAAAAAGAAGAGAAGUAGGUGAGGCGACUUAAGAGUGAAGAAUGAAAAUUUGUCACUCUUGAUAUUUGGCAAGACACAUUUAGUAAGUUGUUACUAUUUGUUUUUUAAAUUGUUAGAUCCAUCAUGUAGAAAGCCAGUGAUUCAUAAGAAAGUUAAAAUACAUUAUAUAUGAAGUAUACUUUUAGAAGUUUGAUACAUUAUUGGUUAAUGUGGAUAGCCUUUAAGGCAGAGUAUCCAUGUGAAUUGGAUAUCGUGAAUGGCAUACUAAAAUAAUAUACGCUUAGUAUAUGGCGUGAAUCAGAUAAGAUCAAAAGGUAUUUACUGAUUAAAUGUAUCUGAAUAUAUCUAAAUAUAUCUGAAUGUAUCUGAAUUGUAUGUUCUCCAAAAUCCUAGCACCCAUAUUUAUAGGCCAUAGAAAAAUCCAUAACCAAUUAAAUAGGAUUUUUAAUAUAAAAUUGAGUAUAGAUAGAAACGAUAACUUUUCUAAAACAGAUUCUAGGUAAUACCUAAACCCAAAUCCAAUAAGGAUUCAUGUUAUACCCAACAAAUGUCCACCUUGACUUGAAUCCUCCGAAUAUUGCACAAACAGUAAACUUUUUCCUCUUCUCAAAAUGCACAACUCAAGUGCAUCGAACACUAACCACGUCCAAGCAAUGUUUGAACUUGGUAUGUGUUAACGGCUUCGUUAACAUGUCAUAUGGAUUUUCUGCUGUACCAAUCUUCAAGACCUUAUUGUCACCAUCUUCAACAAUGUCUCGAACAAAAUGAUACCUGACAUCAAUAUGUUUCCCCCGAGGACAAUACUCACAGAAGUCAAACUUUAUUAUUUUUUGUAUAGACAACUCGCUAGAUUUCUUCGUCUCCUAAUCCGUAUCAGACAUAUCUACAGGCUUCAUUGGCUUCCCUACAAUGGCUUUCUUCAAGCCUUGCUGAGUAAAAACAGCCUUCAUCCGAACCUGCCAAAGACUGAAACUAAUUUUCCCAUCGAAUUUGUCAAUAGAAAAUUUUGUUGAUGAAGUCGAACUCAACGUCAUAGUAUAUAUCGAUAAUAACCAAGCUCUGAUACCAAUUUAUUAUGACAAACUAUGACAAACACAAUAAAUCAAUGCAGAAAGAUAAAGACAAUAACACAAGGUUUUACAUGAAAACUCAAAUUGGAAAAAAACUACGGAGAAGGCAAAAGAAAUCCACUAAAUAAAUAUCUGAAGAGUACAAGAUAAAAAAAGAGAAUACUAAAUUGAGUAUAGGUAAAAAAGAUAACUUUUCUAAACCAAAACAGAUUCUAGGUAAUACCUAAAUCCAAAUUCAAUAAGGAUUCAUGUUAUACCCAACAAAUCUCCACCUUGACUUGAUCAUUCCUCCAAAUAUUGCACAAAUAUUGAACUUUCUCUUCUUCUCAAAAUGCACAACUCAAGUGCAUCGAACACUAACCACAUCCAAGCAAUGUUUGAACUUGGUAUGUGUUAAUGGCUUCGUUAACAUGUCAUCUGGAUUGUCUACAGUACCAAUCUUCAAGAUAUUAAUGUUACCAUCUUCAACAAUUUCUUGAAAAAAAUGAUACCUGACAUCAAUAUGUUUUCCCCGGGACAAUGCUCACAGAAGUACAACUUUCUUACUUUCUGUCCAGAUAACUCGCUAGUUUUCUUCGUCUCCCAAUCCGUAUCAGAGAUAUUUACAGGAUUUAUUAGUUUCCAUACAAUGGCUUUCUUCAAGCCUUACUGAGUAAAAACAGCCUUCAUCCGAACCUACCAAAGACUGAAACUAAUAUUCCCAUCGAAUUUGUCAAUAUCAAAUUUCGUUGAUGAACUCGAACUCAACGCCAUAGUUUGGAUCGAUAAUAACCAAGCUUUGAUGUGACGCCCCCAAAACAGGUAUACAUCACCCAUCUUGGGUCGUCAAAUACAUGGUACAUAAUACAACUACAAACUUCUUUUAUACAACUGUCGUGUAAAAUACGACAAAACAUAGCUGAGAGCUCUCAAUGGAGUCCUCAGUACAUUUAUUAUCACACUAUUUCACAGAAUAGUGAGGACUACUAAAACAACCAUCUGGACCGUCAAUCCGUUUCCCAAUCAGUCCCAGCUAUAUUCUCAUUUCCUGAAGAGAACAGUGAAAGAAAAUGAUGAGCUCAACUAGCCCAGUAAGAAAUAUUAUGACUAAGAUAAUGCAGAAUAAAUUAUCCUUAGCCUUCAACAGUAUAACAACUGAUAGAAUACAAUAGACAACAAGUUCUAGAUCAACAAAUACAGCGGAAUAAGCAAUCCAUUAGAAAAGUCAAGUAGAACAUAAUGUCUACAAUCUUCUAUGAUUAAAAAGUUUAUCAUCAAUUUUAUCGCUGUAAUACCCAUCAACAGUUCUUUAUACCAAAGACAAAGAGAACUUUCAUCACCUGUCUUCACCUGAACCACCAAAGAUUUUAUUUAAAUUCACAAUUCAUGUUUAUAAUAAUGUGAAUCAACAGUUCCUCCCUGCCACAAAGGCUUAAUAGAACGUUUACUCAAUAUCCUUACCCAAAGGAUAAAGAUAUUCAAAUGUAAUAACAAUGAUCAUACCAAUCAGUUGUCUAUCUUUGCACUACGGGCCAAAGAUAUUCAACUAUAAAACCAUUAGUCAUGAUCAUACCAAUCAAUUGCAUGUCGGUGCACUACGACCAAAGACAUUCAACUGUUAACUAAUGAUCAUGAUCCUGCCAAUCACAUCAUCGAAUUAUCCCUGCACUACGGCCAAGGAUAUUCUUUAGUAUCACCAGUGGUCAUGAUCAUGUCAUACAGCUGUCCAUCUUUGCACUACGGGCCAAAGCUAUCAAUCAAUAGUUCAUCUUUGGAUUACGACCAAAGAUAUCAAUCAACAGUUCUUCUUUGCACUACAGGCCAAAGUCAUACAACUGUAAAACCAAUAACCAACAGUCCAUCUAUGCACUACGGGCCAAAGAUGACUUUUAACGCAAUAUAAGCAUGAGGAUCAUGACAAUGAUAUAAAGAAUCAGUCAAAUGAGAUAAAGGAUAAAUAUUAAACAUUUAUAAUAUAAUUUAUCCAGAGUUCAAGAAUAUCCAAAUGUUAUCAAUCACUUAAUAAUCUCAUAAUCUAAUAUCAUUAAUAUUAUAACAAUAUUUUAAUCAUUUCUUAAACUUAAUUAUAAACAAUUUAUUUUAAUUGUUUACACUUUACUAAUUAAUGCAUUUAAUCAGCCUAAAAUGCCAAACUCAUAAGAUUUCAUCACCAAUAACCAAAACUCUCAUAAAAAAUCUGCAUAUACCUUAUAUAGGAUUUUCAAGCCAUAAAAUCCUAUUUAUCAAUUUUUUAACUUCACAUAACUUAUUUAAUUUAUAUGUUCGUAACUAAACUAUUUUCAUGAAAAAUAUCAAAUCAGUCUAAAAAAGUUUUCUUUUCUGAGAUUUAGCAGAAUAUAGUCCCAUAUUGAACAUAUAUUUUUCUCGAAAUUUUUAAAAUUCAUUUACUAUUUUUCAUAUGGCCAAAAUUACCGAAUAUUUAAACAUUUAUCAUAAACUAUACUUUUGUCCAAAAAUUCCAAAAUUUACAGGGUAUACUCCUUUGAUAUAUAUGUACGCCCAAUAAAUUUUUUAUCAAUUUUGGAGUUAACCACAAGGAUUUAUAAAGGUUUACUUUUAAAAUAGUCUUUUCCCAUAAAAUUCAUAACUUCUAAUCUAUACAUCCAAAAAUCACCAUUUUUGGACACAAUCUAGAAAACUCAUCAAAUUAUCAUUUCAAAUUUUUCCAGAAUUUUUGACGGUUAGAAAAAUUACGAAACUGCAAAUGGAUUUUCACCCACCAUGCGGUAAUCCACGUAGACAGAUCAUUUCCACAAUUUAAUAAAGAAUGAAUACGAAGGGUAAUUCACCAUGCAUGCGGUAGUCUGCGUAGACAGGUUAUUCCAACAGAAUAAUAAAGAAUGGAAUAACAGAAGAAUUCACCAUGCAUGCGGUAGUCCGCGUAAACAGGUUAUUAAUUCCAAUAGAAUAAUAAAAAAUGGAAUAACAGAAGAAUUCACCAUGCAUGCGGUAGUCCGCGUAGACAUGUUAUUCCAAUAGAAUUAUAAAGAAUGGAACAACAGAAGAAUUCACCAUGCAUACGGUACUCCGCGUAGACAGGUUAUUCCAACAGAAUAAUAAAGAAUGGAAUAGCAAAAGAAUUCACCAUGCAUGCGGCAGUACGCGUAGACAAUUUAUUCCAACAGAAUAAUAAAGAAUGGAAUAACAACCCUUACGAGUAUUAAAAGAAAAUAACUCUUUUCAUGAAUACGAAAGAAAUAAUACCCCUUACCUUAGAAGAAAACUGGAUAAUAGUAAGGUAGCAGACUUCUCUUCUUCUUUCUCUCUAUAAUUUCUCUAUAUAAUAAUUGCUCUUGUGAGACUUAGUGAAUUAGUGAGAAAUGAAGGAAGAAUGAGCUUCUAUUUAUAGGAAAAUAUAGUUUCAAUAAUUGCACAUUUUGUGGCUUGAAAUAUUACAGUAUAAUACCUUCCUUUUUUUCUUCAUUUUAAUUUAGUCCUACAAGUAUUAUCAAACUUGCACCACCUCCCUAAUAGUAAAUCAUGUGAAUUAAUAGUUCAUUCAUGUGACUCAAUAGUAUAAUCAUGUGAAAAAAAAACUAAUUAUAGUAUAGUACCUCCAUCUAUACCUCCAUUUUUAAUUUAGUCAUGCAAGUAUUAUCAAUCUUGCACCACCUCCCCUAAUAGUACUUGCAUGUGAAUCAAUAGUACACACAUGUGAACAAAUAGUUAUAAGCAUGUGAAUUAAUAGCAAUUAAUUGCUCAUUUAUCCGAUUAAUAAUCCGAUUGGUCAAUAUAACAUCCAGACAUCAAUUAUUAUCGAAAUAAUUGUCGAUUUCCACUAACACUAACAAUCCCAACACAAUGGAAAUAUUUUUAUCAACAAAUUUAUUUUUGAAAUUUUGAAGUUUGACUUUUUCUGCAAAAGUCAAAUGUUGACUUUUUGACCAAAAAGUCAACCCCAGUAAAUUUUGUGUUUAUAGUCUAUUUUUACUAAUUUUAUCGUUCUGGACUCAAAUAUCACGUUCGCGUCUCCAAAUUUAAUUCUGAACUCAAAUUCUAGUUUUUAAUAACAUUCAUAAUUAAUAUUAUAACUCACAAUAUUAACAACCAGAUCGUUCCCAAGAAAGAGGGGGCUUUCCGAUAAGGAUUUCUCCCUAUUAGCGCGCAAUUAUAUUACCUAUCCUCUCCUUGACAGAACUUCUAGACAUCGUCAAUAUUGCAAAUAAUAAUAUGAAUAACUUUGACGUCUCAAUUAUUGAUUUAAUAAUAUAAAAUAUUAUACAUAUGAUACUGUGACAAUAAUUGAAUCAAUAAUAUGAGAGAUAUGAUGCAGCAAUUACUGUAGCAAUAAUUGAGUUUAACUAAGUGACUUCUUACAUAAGCAUCAAUAAUCAAUACCAUAUGGUACUAUGCAACCACGCGUAUUACUGUAUUUUUACCACCAAUUAUUAUAUGACAACUUACUUACUUUGAAAAAUUUUCACAUAUCACCCUUAACUUUAACAUUUUAUCAAUUUAACUAUUUACUAAAUAGAAUAAUAAUUAUAAAAAUUGAAUACUUUCAUUUCGUAAAAUUCGGGGUCUUACAAUCUCAUCUCCUUAUGAAAUUUUGUCCUCGAAAUUUACGUACCUAGUAGUUCGAAGAGAUGAGAAUACCUUGCUUUCUUUUUCGUUUUGUACCUUCCCGGUUAUUUCCUCUCUAUCAUGAUUUUCCCAUUUCUCAUCUCCUGUAUUUCAGAUAUCAUUCUAGAAUAUAGAUUCAAAAUAAGGGUUAAUUAACAUGCCACAUAUUAUCUCUAUAUUCUGACCAACCAAUUAAAUAACAAAUAAACUUAGGUAGGUCAUACUAGCGAAUGAAUUACCCGUCUCUCCCCUCCUAGUUCUAGCCUCACAUCUUAGCCAGGGAUCAUAUCCCUAAGCUUUGAUACUAAUUGUGACGCCCCCAAAACAGGUAUACAUCACCUAUUUUGAGUCGCCAAAUAUAUGGUACAUAAUACAACUACAAACUUCUUUUAUACAAUUGUCGUGUAAAAUACGACAAAACAUAGCUGAGAGUUUAAACAAGAAUAUUGCCUUCUAGACAAUAUCCACUCUCAAUGGAGUUCUCAUUACAUUUAUUAUCACACAAUUUCACAGAAUAGUGAGGACUACUAAAACAACCAUCUGGACCGUCAAUCUGUUUCCCGACCAGUCCCAGCUAUAUUCUCAUUUCCUGAAGAGAACAGUGAAAGAAAAGGGUGAGCUCAACUAGCCCAGUAAGAAAUAUUAUGACUAAGAUAAUGCAGAAUAAAUUAUUCUUAGCCUUCAACAGUAUAACAACUGAUAGAAUACAAUAGACAACAAGUUUUAGAUCAACAACUGCAGCGGAAUAAGCAAUCCAUUAGAAGAGUCAAGUAGAACAUAAUGUCUACUAUCUUCUAUGAUUAAAAAGUUUAUCAUCAAUUUUAUCGCUGUAAUAUCCAUCAACAGUUCUUUAUUAUACCAAAGACAAAGAGAACUUUCAUCACCUGUCUUCACCUGAACCACCAAAGAUUUUAUUUAAAUUCACAAUUCAUGUUUAUAAUAAUGUGAAUCAACAGUUCGUCCUUGCCACAAAGGAUUAAUAGAACGUUUACUCAAUAUCCUUACCCAUAAGGAUAAAGAUAUUCAAAUGUAAUAACAAUGAUCAUACCAAUCAGUUGUCUAUCUUUGCACUACGGGCCAAAGAUAUUCAACUAUAAAACCAAUGGUCAUGAUCAUACCAAUCAAUUGUAUGUCAGUGCACUACGGCCAAAGACAUUCAAUUUUUACCUAAUGGUCAUGAUCCUGCCACUCACAUCAUCGAAUUAUCCCUGCACUACGGCCAAGGAUAUUCUUUAGUAUCACCAGUGGUCAUGAUCAUGUCAUACACCUGUCCAUCUUUGCACUACGGGCCAAAGCUAUCAAUCAACAGUUCAUCUUUGGAUUACGACCAAAGAUAUCAAUUAACAGUUCUUCUUUGCACUACAGGUCAAAGACAUACAACUUUAAAACCAAUAUCCAACAGUCCAUCUAUGCACUACGGACCAAAGAUGACUUUUAACGCAAUAUAAGCAUGAGGAUCAUGACAAUGAUAUAAAGAAUCAGUCAAAUGAGAUAAAGGAUAAUUAUUAAAUAUUUAUAAUAUAAUUUAUCCAGAGUUCAAGAAUAUCUAAAUGUUAUCAAUCACUUAAUAAUCUCAUAAUCUAAUAACGUCCAAGUUGUCAACAUGAUACUUCUUUGUAGAGUAAAAUUCAAGAAUGCUCAGAAGAAUAUUUUCAUGAAAACAUACUAGAUGAAGCGCAAAUAUUAAGGAUAUUCCACUAAUUUCAUGGAGUAUAGAAGUCAAAACUUUAACCAAUGGAGUAUAAUAAAGAAUGAAAUAACAAAAAAAAUCACCAUGCAUGCGGUACUUCGCAUAAACAGGUAAUUCCAACAGAAUAAUAAUAACGGAACCAGGUCAGGCAUAAUACGCACCGACAGGAUAUUCUAACAGAAUAAUAAAGAAUGGAAUAACAACAAAAAUCACCAUGCAUGCGGUACGUCGCAUAGACAGGUUAUUCCAACAGAAUAACAAAUAAUGGAACCAGGUCUGACGUAAAACGCACAGACAGGAUAUUCCAACAGAAUAAUAAAGACGAAACCAGGUUCGACGUAAAACGCACAGACAAGAUAUUCCAACAAAAUAAUAAAGACGGAACCAGGUCUGACAUAAAAUGCACAGACAAGAUAUUCAAACAGAAUAAUAAAGAAUGGAAUAAUAACAGAAUUUCACCAUGUAUGCGGUACUUCGCAUAGACAUGUUAUUCCAGCAGAAUAAUAAAUAAUGGAAUAACAAAAGAAUUUCACCAAGUAUAGGGUAGUCCGCGUAUACAGGUUAUUCCAACAGAAUAAUAAAGAAUGGAAUAAUAGAAGUUCUCUUCAUGAAUACAAAAGAAAUAAUACCCCUUACAGGUACAACAAAUAAUAUCCCUUACCGUAAAAGAAACUUGAUAUCGGAGUAGUGAAGUAGCAGAAUACUUUUCUUCUUUCUCUCUAUAGUUUCUNNNNNNNNNNNNNNNNNNNNNNNNNNNNNNNNNNNNNNNNNNNNNNNNNNNNNNNNNNNNNNNNNNNNNNNNNNNNNNNNNNNNNNNNNNNNNNNNNNNNUAACUUUAUAAAAGUAUUCUGUUUUAUAUAAAAAGAUUUUACUAUUAGCCUAAUAAAACGAAUAACUUUAUAAAAGUAUUCUGUUUUAUAUAAAAAAAAAUUCUAUUUUAUUACAUUAAUAAUACUAAUAAAACAAAACUUAUAUAUAUAUAAUAUAUAUAACAAUCAACAAUAAUUGAAUCAAAUAACGUGAGAUACUAUGCAGCAACUACUGUAGCAAUAAUUGAACAAAACUGAGUGACUUCUCACGUAAACAUCAAUAAUUAAUAUCGUGUGCUACUAUGCAACCACGCGUAUUACUGUACUUUUACUACCGAGUAGUUCAACAGGUUUAAUGGUAAAACUUCCGCUGUUAUUUUCAUAAAAAUAUUUUUGUCGUUUUCUCAAUCCGACAAUAAUUCUGUUGUGGGGUCCACCAAUGAUUGUGCCGUCGUACGAAUAUUCCCUGUUAAAACAAAUAUUUCCCGACCAAUCGAAUAUUAUAUAACAACUUGCAUACUUUGCAAAAUUUAUAAAUACUACCCACAACUAUAACAUUAUCUCAAAUUCACACCAUAAUAUUCAAAAAAAUAUUUCGAGAAAAUUAAAUCUUUAUUCGUAAAAUUUGGGAUUUUACAUUGUCGGCUCACAAUCUCCAGAAGACUAAAAGCCUCCUAUAAUUUUUCAUUAUAAUGUGUUUUUACCCGGAGAUAACUUAACGAAAGAGCCAGCCAUAGUUCAGAAUACAUGGAUCAAUGAUAUUGGAUGGGGGAAGAAGGAAAGAUGCCCUGACCAUCGAUCCACUAACAUUGUGAAAUGUACAUUAUAUACAUUCUCCUUGCUAGCUUUUGUUGGUAACCAAACCUUCACACCAAGGUAACCAAACUGUCAUACCAAGGUAACCAAUCCACACCUCCAUACCAAGGUAACCAAACCUUCAUACCAAGGUAACCAAUCCACACCUGUAGUUUUUUCAUAAUGCAGUUGGUAACCAAACUUUCAUCUCAAGGUUACCAAACCUGCAGUUUUUUUAUAGUGCAGUUGGUAACAAAACUUUCAUACCAAGGUUAUCAAUCCACCUCCACACCUUCAGUUUUUCAUAGUGCAGUUGGUAACUAAACCUCCAUACCAAGGUAACCAAUCCACACUUGCAGUUUUUUCAUAGUGCAGUUGGUGACCAAAUAAACUAUCAUACCAAGGUUACCAAACCUGCAUACCAAGGUUACCAAUCCACCUCCACACCUGCAGUUUUUUCAUAGUUCAGUUGGUAACCAAACUUUCAUACCAAAGUAACUAAACUGUCAUACCAAGGUAACCAAUCCACUUCCACACCUUCAGUUUUUUCAUAGUGCAGUUGGUAACCAAACCUUCACACCAAGGUAACCAAACCUUCAUACCAAGGUAACAAACCUUCAUACCAAGGUAAUCAAACCACAUCCACACCUGCAGUUUGUUCAUAGUGCAGUAAUUGGUAGCCAAACAUUCAUACUAAGGUAACCAAUUCAGUGUUAUUAGGUUACCAAUUUAUUUUGAAUGUGAUGCAGUUGGUAGCCAAACCUUUAUGCAGUGGGUAGCCAAACAUUCAUACCAAGGUAACCAAUUCAGUUUUAUUAAGUUACUAAUUUAUUUUGAAUGUGAUGCAGUUGGUAGCCAAACCUUCAUGCAGUUGGUUGCCAAACUUUCAGUCCAAGGUAACCAAUUCAUACUGUAGGCGUUGAUGUAGAUUGGUUACCUUAGUAUAAAGGUUUGGUUACCUUGGUAUAAAAGUUUGGUUACCUUGGUACGAAGGUUUGGUUAUCAACAUUACAUUACACAUCACUCUCUUAUCUCUCUCUUUUCUAUUCAGAAAAUAAUUUUUUUUUAUAAAACUAGAACUGAAGGUGUUCCAGUACUAUUAUUAAGUAGCUAGCUAGCUUAUUACAUGAUGACACCAAUUAUGCCUUUAUCUCCGUUCAUGUCAUGAACUCUAAUUGCUCUCUGGUGCCAUGACAUUACUAAUGAUCUUCUCCUCUGCAGUAUCUCGUGAAUUUUCUUUUCUUACCGGAAAACGGUUGCUCCCGCCACCACUGCCCCACCCUCCACCUCCACCGUCUCUGUAACCACCACCUGAGCCACCACCGCCAACUCCNNNNNNNNNNNNNNNNNNNNNNNNNNNNNNNNNNNNNNNNNNNNNNNNNNNNNNNNNNNNNNNNNNNNNNNNNNNNNNNNNNNNNNNNNNNNNNNNNNNNNNNNNNNNNNNNNNNNNNNNNNNNNNNNNNNNNNNNNNNNNNNNNNNNNNNNNNNNNNNNNNNNNNNNNNNNNNNNNNNNNNNNNNNNNNNNNNNNNNNNNNNNNNNNNNNNNNNNNNNNNNNNNNNNNNNNNNNNNNNNNNNNNNNNNNNNNNNNNNNNNNNNNNNNNNNNNNNNNNNNNNNNNNNNNNNNNNNNNNNNNNNNNNNNNNNNNNNNNNNNNNNNNNNNNNNNNNNNNNNNNNNNNNNNNNNNNNNNNNNNNNNNNNNNNNNNNNNNNNNNNNNNNNNNNNNNNNNNNNNNNNNNNNNNNNNNNNNNNNNNNNNNNNNNNNNNNNNNNNNNNNNNNNNNNNNNNNNNNNNNNNNNNNNNNNNNNNNNNNNNNNNNNNNNNNNNNNNNNNNNNNNNNNNNNNNNNNNNNNNNNNNNNNNNNNNNNNNNNNNNNNNNNNNNNNNNNNNNNNNNNNNNNNNNNNNNNNNNNNNNNNNNNNNNNNNNNAGAGUGUUGGGAGAUAGCAUUAGAUAUACAUAAUAUUUUUACAUAUUUACUAAUACACAAAAUCAUUUUCUAAUUUCUCUUUCAUCUUUCAUUCUAAACUAGCUAUCAAAGCAAAACAAAAAAGAGAGAGGGAGAGCAUAGAUUUGAUAGCCUUAAGGAGGUAAAGGGGAAGAAUUUUAAUCUUCAUGCACCCUAAGUUCAUCAAUUACUUUGGUAAAAGAAGAAGAACAUCCCAAAGAACAAGGUAAAGACCCUAAAAAAUUUCAAGUUUUGUUACUUUCUUUUGAUAAGUUUUGAUGAAAUAAAGAGCUUGUGUUCUUGAACUUUAAAACUCUUGAUCUACAUGUGUAUGCUUUUUUCACAUGUAGGUCUAGUUAUUUUUGAAGUUAAAAGUUUUUAAAAAAAAGAAAAAAGAAGAAGAAAUGAAAGUAUGUUCAAAAGGGGCUAAACACCCUAAAUUAACUAUUUUUUUUAUUUAGUUUUUUUUGAUGAAAUGUAAAGAUGAUGUUUCUAAGUUCUAAAAUUUUUUAUCUUUAUGUUUUCUAGUGUUUCAUAUAAAGAUCUAACCAUUUUUUAUGUUAAAGGUUUGAUCAAAGGUAAGGAAAGGAAACUAGUUUUUUUUUAACGAAUAAAAACCCUAAAACUUUUUAUUCACUUUGAAAUGCUAUCAUUUAAAAUCUACAUCUCCUAUUUAUGAUCCGUCAAAGAUGGGUGCUAGAUAUAGGAGUUAGCUUUCAAACCUAAGUGGUAUCACUCAAAUAUGUUGAAUUUACAAGCUUUGGUGACUGUUUUAACAAAGCUAUCCAGAUUUUUAAAAGAGAAAAAUGGAACAAUCUCAUUAUACUACAAAACAAUAUUAUUAAGGUUUAUUUACACUAUUUUAAGAGAAGCUAGAAAUGAGUUGCUGUUUGUCCAUAAGCAACAGCCACAAAGGUACUGUCUGAGAGCCUAGGAAGAGCUCCCAGACACUGUUUGUAUGCCUACUGCUACUGCCGAGGCAGUAGCCCUGCACCAAGUUCACUUUUAGCAACUUCUGAUAUUCUACUUUGCUUAGGCUAAAUUUUUAGAGAUGGUAAAGGUACUAUAUUAGUCUCUUUUAGAAACCUACGAGGCUUAAAUUUCACGUUUAUUUACUGUCCAAAAACAAUUGUCAAAGUGACUUAACAUAAUAGGUUUUAAUUUUUCACUUUGGCCUAAUAAUGUAGUUUAUUUCAUUUUAGUAAUGUUAAACUUAUUAAUUAUCUUUAUAUGUGUUGUCUCAACCACACUCAAGCUGCAAUUCCUUCUAAAAUCCCAUUUUUAGUUAAAACAGUUCACCUAGGACUUUUAACAAACAGGUGGUGUGCACAGUUCCAAUUUCUUCUUUUCAUAGCCAUUUAUUUGAGUUAUAAAUCCAUUUUUAUCCUCCUUAUUAUUCCUCAGCCCAACCUAGCUCCUUAUGCCUAAAUCCAGCUCAUAACAGUUAAAUACACGAUUUAAUAUGUGUAUAAUCAAGUAAUUGACAACUAUCUAGUUAUAACUUAGUUAGCUCACUAAUUUUCUUACUUUCAACCUUAUUAACAAUACAUUUCCAGCCCCAACAGUAGGCACAAUCCAUAACAGUUCUAGGCAUAGCAAUAUAUUGUACAAUCAUAAGCAUGUGCAAUCACUUAUUACAAUUAUAGGCAUAAGCAGUCACUUAUUACAACCUAACAAUUUCAAUUCUUGACAUACAAACUUAGUAAACAAUGGUUUUAUUACUCUACAUAAACAAGGUUCACAACUUAUAACUUUAAGCAUGAUAACUAGAAACAACCUCUAUCUUGAUUAAGGUGAAUAUUAAAGCACUUGGAAUAUGUAGUCUCUAAAAGAUAUUUGCAUACAUAGCUUCAAUUGGAUAAAUUCUUAGCUUACAUGUGAUUCUCACAACACAGUUUUUUUAUUAGUUAGUAAUAUAACCAAAUCAAGUCAUGACUUUGAAAUUAUAGGUAGCUAGGGGUUGUUUUGAAUCCUAAUCCAAAACAGGCCCAGAUUUGCCCUACUCUAGGCUCUUUUGAAAACUUCCAUAAACCUUCAUGGUUAGGUUCUUUAGACCCCAUGUUAUAAAGUAUAACCCACUUCAUUUUCAAGGACAGAUAAGUUCUUAUAUAAGUUUAUCAAUCUAGUUAAAAGUGGUUUCAUUUUGCUUAUGUAUAUGAUUGUCAUGGUAUGUAAGUUAUACCAAUACAUGUUAUACUUAGGCAUAGAGGGUACUUGAAGCAUAGCUACCCUUUAAAUGAGAACUUAAACAUAAUUUUGGACUCCAUUCCCAGCCAGCCUAUUUUGACACUAUAACAGUUUUAGAGUAGCAUUUUAGGCAUGGUUUAUUACACCAAAACAGUAGCAAGCACUAACGUAUAUGCCUUUCUAACACAUGAACCUUUUAUGUACCAUAUUUUCAUGAUUUAAAGCAUCUAAAGUCAAGGUCUUUAUGCUUUAGGCCAACACAACCCUCUUUAGUAUUUAAAUUCAAAAACAAACAUGGUUUACCAACAUGUUUACGAAGAUAGCAUAAGUGUGCAACAUAGAAGCUUAUACUAUCUUUUUAUAUAGUAUUUAACAUGCAUAAUAUAUGUUUGGAUGACAUGGAAUAUGUAAGACCCCAACUUAUUAUAAAUAAAAUUGAAUUUCUCUAUUUAUUAUCUUGAAAUAAUAAGGUGAUAAUUUGAUAUAAUACUUUAGUUAUGGGUGAAAUGUGCAAAUUUUGCAAAAUAAGCAAGUGGUUAUAAAAUAUUCAUUUUUGUCGAGGAAUAUUCGUUUGGUCAUGGAAUUUUCUUGUUGUCGGGGAAUAUUCGUAUGACGACGCAGCCAUUUGUUGGACCCAUAACAGAAUAAUUGUCGGAUGAAGAAAACAAUAAGCUUGAGUUUUUAUAAAUAACGGCGUAGUUGUUACCGUUAACACUGUUGGAAUACCCGGUGGUUAAAAUACAGUAAUACGCGUGAUUGCACAGUAGCACAUGGUAUUACACAGUAUUUUUGAAUUAUUAAUUCUUACAUAAGAAGACACUACUUAAUAAUUGUUACAGUAAUUACUGUUCAAUAUUUUAUUUUAUUUAUUCAAUAAUUGUUGCGUUGAUAUUUUAUAGUAUUGUUGUUUCAAUAAUUGUCAUUGCACAGUAUUUCCCAUUAUCAGAUCAAUAAUUCAUAAUAUUUGAAUAAUAUUAUUAGAUAGCAUUAUUGGCAAUGUCUAGAAAGUUUUGUCAAGGAGAGGUUUGGUCACUUAAUUGCGCGCUAGUAAGGAGAAAUUCUUAUCGAAAAGCCCCCUCUUUCCUGGGAACGGCCUGAUUGUCAUUAUUGUGAUUCUGUAAUAUUAUUUGUGAAUAAUUAUUUAUUGAUUUAUAUGAUAAGGAAAUAAUUAUUUUAUAUGGACAUAAAUGAUAUGAGACCCCAGAUUUUAUGAAUAAAUAUUUAUUUUUCUCGAAAUAAUUUUUUAAUAUUAUGGCGUGGAUUUGAUAUAAUGUUAUAGUUGUGGGUAGUAUUUAUAAAUUUUGCAAAGUAUGCAAGUUGUCAUAUUAUAUUCGAUUGGUCGGGAAAUAUUCUUUUUGUCGGAGAAUAUCCGUACGACGGCACAAUCAUUGAUGGACCCCACAACGGAAUAAUUGUUGGAUUGAGAAAACGAUAAAAAUAUUUUAUUAAAAAUAUCGGCGGAAGUUUUACCGUUAAUACUGUUGAACUACUCGGUAGUAAAAGUACAGUAAUACACGUGAUUGCAUAGUAGCACACGGUAUUGAUUAUUGAUGUUUACGUGAGAAGUCACUCAGUUUUGUUCAAUUAUUACUACAUUAGUUGCUGCAUAAUAUCUCACGUUAUUUGAUUCAAUUAUUGUUGAUUGUUAUAUAUAUAUAUAUAUAUAUAUAUAUAAGUUUUGUUUUAUUAGUAUUAUUAAUGUAAUAAAACAGAAAAACUUUUUAUAUAAAACAGAAUACUUUUAUAAAGUUAUUCGUUUUAUUAGGCUAAUAGUAAAAUCUUUUUAUAUAAAANNNNNNNNNNNNNNNNNNNNNNNNNNNNNNNNNNNNNNNNNNNNNNNNNNNNNNNNNNNNNNNNNNNNNNNNNNNNNNNNNNNNNNNNNNNNNNNNNNNNNNNNNNNNNNNNNNNNNNNNNNNNNNNNNNNNNNNNNNNNNNNNNNNNNNNNNNNNNNNNNNNNNNNNNNNNNNNNNNNNNNNNNNNNNNNNNNNNNNNNNNNNNNNNNNNNNNNNNNNNNNNNNNNNNNNNNNNNNNNNNNNNNNNNNNNNNNNNNNNNNNNNNNNNNNNNNNNNNNNNNNNNNNNNNNNNNNNNNNNNNNNNNNNNNNNNNNNNNNNNNNNNNNNNNNNNNNNNNNNNNNNNNNNNNNNNNNNNNNNNNNNNNNNNNNNNNNNNNNNNNNNNNNNNNNNNNNNNNNNNNNNNNNNNNNNNNNNNNNNNNNNNNNNNNNNNNNNNNNNNNNNNNNNNNNNNNNNNNNNNNNNNNNNNNNNNNNNNNNNNNNNNNNNNNNNNNNNNNNNNNNNNNNNNNNNNNNNNNNNNNNNNNNNNNNNNNNNNNNNNNNNNNNNNNNNNNNNNNNNNNNNNNNNNNNNNNNNNNNNNNNNNNNNNNNNNNNNNNNNNNNNNNNNNNNNNNNNNNNNNNNNNNNNNNNNNNNNNNNNNNNNNNNNNNNNNNNNNNNNNNNNNNNNNNNNNNNNNNNNNNNNNNNNNNNNNNNNNNNNNNNNNNNNNNNNNNNNNNNNNNNNNNNNNNNNNNNNNNNNNNNNNNNNNNNNNNNNNNNNNNNNNNNNNNNNNNNNNNNNNNNNNNNNNNNNNNNNNNNNNNNNNNNNNNNNNNNNNNNNNNNNNNNNNNNNNNNNNNNNNNNNNNNNNNNNNNNNNNNNNNNNNNNNNNNNNNNNNNNNNNNNNNNNNNNNNNNNNNNNNNNNNNNNNNNNNNNNNNNNNNNNNNNNNNNNNNNNNNNNNNNNNNNNNNNNNNNNNNNNNNNNNNNNNNNNNNNNNNNNNNNNNNNNNNNNNNNNNNNNNNNNNNNNNNNNNNNNNNNNNNNNNNNNNNNNNNNNNNNNNNNNNNNNNNNNNNNNNNNNNNNNNNNNNNNNNNNNNNNNNNNNNNNNNNNNNNNNNNNNNNNNNNNNNNNNNNNNNNNNNNNNNNNNNNNNNNNNNNNNNNNNNNNNNNNNNNNNNNNNNNNNNNNNNNNNNNNNNNNNNNNNNNNNNNNNNNNNNNNNNNNNNNNNNNNNNNNNNNNNNNNNNNNNNNNNNNNNNNNNNNNNNNNNNNNNNNNNNNNNNNNNNNNNNNNNNNNNNNNNNNNNNNNNNNNNNNNNNNNNNNNNNNNNNNNNNNNNNNNNNNNNNNNNNNNNNNNNNNNNNNNNNNNNNNNNNNNNNNNNNNNNNNNNNNNNNNNNNNNNNNNNNNNNNNNNNNNNNNNNNNNNNNNNNNNNNNNNNNNNNNNNNNNNNNNNNNNNNNNNNNNNNNNNNNNNNNNNNNNNNNNNNNNNNNNNNNNNNNNNNNNNNNNNNNNNNNNNNNNNNNNNNGAUAUUGUUUAGAAGACAAUAUUUGUAUUAAAACUCACAGCUCUCUUGUUGUAUAUUAAAGAUUGUAUUUGUAUUCUGUACCAUGUAUUUGGCGACUCAGAAUAGGUGAUGUAUACCUAUUUUGGGGGCGUCACAGUUGGUAUCAAAGCUUAGGGAUAUGAUCCCUGGCUGAGAUGUGAGAUAAGAACUAGGAGGGGAGAGACGGGGAAUUCCUUCGCUAGUAUGAACUACCUAAGUUUAUUUGGUAUUUAAUUGGUCGGUUAGAGUAUAGGGAUAAUAUGUGUUAUGUUAAUUAACCCUUAUUUUGUGGCAGUAUUUAAAAAUGGCAUCCGAUAAUGUUGAGAAUAGCAAUGGAGCACAGGAGACCGUUGAGUCUCCACAGAUUAAUAAUCAGGACAAUGUGCAACCGGAUGACGAUAAUCCUCCUGUAAACAACAACACUAAUCAAUUGACGAACGACGGUACGUUUAAGAGCUUUUUAGAAUUCAUGCAACACCAAACGAGAGAGACUCCUGUUCAUAAUGCUGGAGGAAACAAUGGCAACCCACGGUUGGUCACCGCUAAGUAGUUCAAGGAGCUGGGACCACCAGAGUUUUUGGAAAAGCCAGAACCACUUAAGGCAGAGACGUGGUUAAAGCAGAUCACCAAGAUAUUUGAUGUCUUGGGAUGCUUGAAAGAGCAAAAAGUUCCAUUCGCCACCUUUAUGUUUCGUGAAGAAGCAGAUCACUGGUGGGAAUCUAUAAAACGUACCCAGCCUGACGCACUCAAGAUAUCUUGGGAGAAGUUCCAAGAGCUGUUCAACGACAAGUACUUUCCUGAAAGUAUUCGUCACAUGAAGGAGGUGGAGUUCAUCAAGCUGGAGCAAAACAAUAUGACCGUGUCGCAGUACGAGGCUAAGUUUGCCGAGUUGUUCCGAUUUGCGUUCCAUUUGGUUGAUAAUGAGGAAAGAAUGACGCGAAUGUUUCUAAGAGGUUUGAAAUCCAAUAUACGUCAAUACCUCAUUUCUCACAAACUUUAUUUAUAGUCAGAUGUUGUGAAUAGGGCUCAGUUAUUGGAGCACGAUAAUGAGUUAGCACAACCAAAAGGCAAUGACCAACAACACGAUAAUAAUUAUAUCAGUGGCAACGGUCAUCGGAACAAUGAUAACCAUCGUGGGGGAAAUUAUCAUGCCAAGAAUGGUAACCACUUCGCUGGUAAUCAUGGACAAGAUAAUAGAAGUGGAAAUUUCAAGAAGAGAAGGUUCAAUAAUGAUGGAAAGACAGUAGCACCAGCACCCGUUUCAAAGGAAGAAGAACGACCACCGAUCGUAUGUUUCAAAUGCGGACAGGAGGGACACAUCCGUCCAAACUGUAUGCAGCAAUCCAAAACGUGUUUUAAUUGCGAAAGAGAAGGUCACCUAGCUCGAUUUUAUCGUAUGGUAAAGUCAAGUCCAGCUGGGAUAGUGAUGCCAAAGGAUGUCCCAGACAAGCCAAAGCUGAUAAUUUAAGAGAGAACGUUUUUUUUCUCGUGACGAGGAACCUGAAUAAAAUUAUCAUGGGUAAGUUAAUCAUAAACUCUUGCGAAGUCUAUACCAUGUUAGAUACCGGUUUUACUCACUCUUUUAUUUCACCUAGUUGUGUUCAAUGUUUGUACUUAACUCCGGAGAAGUUAGAAUCUGAUUUAUCUAUUAAAACUCCGUUGGGAGAAACCUUCGUUACAUCUAUUAUUUAUAAAUCUUGUUUGAUUCAAAUCGACACUUUCAUGUUACCUGUCGAUCUUAUCUCUUUGAAAAUACUUAUCUUUGAUGUGAUUUUAGAAAUCGAUUGGUUAACUACUCAUCAUGCUUUUCGUAAGGUUGUUAGAUUUCAUAUUCCUAACCAACCUGUUAUGCAAAUUCAAGCAACCAAACCACUAAAUUCAAUCAUUGUCAUAUCAAGCCAUAAGUAAAGAGCCCCGAUCCUUUUGUUGUUGACUUCCUUGUGUGGAAUGCACUGAAGCCAGACUUUCUGUAUGCGACAUCAUGAAUGACGAUGGCAAGUUGAUAGGUAUUAAUAUGACGUACUAUCCAAGUCUUGGAUGAGAGUAACAGUUUUGAAUGAUAUUUCUAUCGUUAAUAAAUUUCCUGACGUAUUCCUGAAGACUUCAUAGCCUACCCCUAGAGCAUGAAAUCGAAUUUUAUAUUGACCCCAGUACAAAACCCAUUUCUUACACCCUCGAAUAUUUCUUCAACUAAAAUGAACGUAACAUACGCCAAAGACGUUGAAUCGAGCUGUUGAAGAUUACGAACGUACCAUUCAAUACCAUCGUAGGAAAAGCUAACAUGGUUGCUAACGCGUUGAGUAGAAGAUCGUAUGCGGUUACAAGUGCGAAUAUAAGAACCCACGUGAAGAUAAUGAAUAUACGAGUAGAAUUGACUUUAAUCAAUAAAGUUAAAGCCGCUCAAGCUAAAUACUCAGAGCUGAUGAAUGUGAAAAAGAAGGUUUAAGAGGGUGUUAUUCUAGAAGCAAGAAUCGAUGAAGAGAGGAAAUCUCAACCCUCGAUUUAAUUGGCCCAUUUGAAAUCCUCGAUUGAGUAGGAACUGUGGCUUACAGACUCAUUUUACCGCCAAGUAUGUCGCGUGCUCAUAACGUUUUUAACGUAUCGAUGUUACGUAAAUAUGUGGACGACCCAAACCACAUUAUUAAUUUAGAACCAGAUGAGAUAGCAGAUGAUUUAACGUAUGAGGAGAUACGUGUUAAAAUCUUGGAUAAGAAGGAUUAUAUUCGACACUCAAAGGUUAUAUCUCAAGAGUUAGAAUCUGAAAUGAAGUCAAGGUAUCCUCACCUGUUCGGCAUACCAGGUACGUACGUAAAUUUUGAGGGCGAAAUUCCAUAAGGAGGGGAGAUUGUGAGACCCCAGAUUUUAUGAAUAAAUAUUUAAUUUUCUCAAAAUAAUUUUUUAAUAUUAUGGUGUGGAUUUGAUAUAAUGUUAUAGUUGUGGGUAGUAUUUAUAAAUUUUACAAAGUAUGCAAGUUGUCAUAUUAUAUUCGAUUGGUUGGGGAAUAUUCUUUUUGUUGAGGAAUAUCCGUACGACGGCACAAUCAUUGGUGGACCCCACAACGGAAUUAUUGUCGGAUUGAGAAAACGACAAAAAUAUUUUAUUAAAAAUAACGGCGGAAGUUUUACUGUUAAUACUGUUGAACUACUCGGUAGUAAAAGUACAGUAAUACGCGUGGUUGCAUAGUAGCACACGGUAUUGAUUAUUGAUGCUUACGUGAUAAGUCACUCAGUUUUGUUAUUGGUAUUAUUAAUGUAAUAAAACAUAAAAUCUUUUUAUAUAAAACAGAAUACUUUUAUAAAGUUAUUCUAUAAAUAGAAUAUAUUAUAUUCUAUUAUGCAUAGUGUUUUGCAUAGUAAAAUCUUUUUAUAUAAAACAGAAUACUUUUAUAAAGUUAUUCUAUAAAUAGAAUAUAUUAUAUUCUAUUAUGCAUAGUGUUUUGCAUAGUAAAAUCUUUUUAUAUAAAACAGAAUACUUUUAUAAAGUUAUUCUAUAAAUAGAAUAUAUUAUAUUCUAUUAUGCAUAGUGUUUUGCAUAGUAAAAUCUUUUUAUAUAAAACAGAAUACUUUUAUAAAGUUAUUCUAUAAAUAGAAUAUAUUAUAUUCUAUUAUGCAUAGUGUUUUGCAUAGUAAAAUCUUUUUAUAUAAAACAGAAUACUUUUAUAAAGUUAUUCUAUAAAUAGAAUAUAUUAUAUUCUAUUAUGCAUAGUGUUUUGCAUAGUAAAAUCUUUUUAUAUAAAACAGAAUACUUUUAUAAAGUUAUUCUAUAAAUAGAAUAUAUUAUAUUCUAUUAUGCAUAGUGUUGCAUAGUGUCUGCAUAGUGAUUUGCAUAGUAAAAUCUUUUUAUAUAAAACAGAAUAUUUUUAUAAAGUUAUUCGUUUUAUUAGAUUAUAAAUAGAAUAUAUUAUAUUUUAUUUAAAAGAUUUUGCUUUAAAUAUGGACCGUCCGAUUAAAGUAAAUCAAUCUGGACCGUUCAUGAGUUAGUUACUAUGUAGUCCAUUCUUCUAUAAAUAGAAGCUCAUUCCUUCAUUAUUUUCUUACGAAUUCACUGAAACCCUAGAGAGAGAAAUUAUAGAGAAAAAAAAGAAAAGUAUUCUGCUACUUUACUACUCCGAUAUCAAGUUUCUUUUACGGUAAGAGAUAUUAUUUGUUGUACUCGUAAGGGGUAUUAUUUCUUUUGUAAUCAUGAAGAGAACUUCUGUUAUUCCAUUCUUUAUUAUUCUGUUGGAAUAACCUGUAUACGUGGUCUACCCUAUACUUGGUGAAAUUCUUCUGUUAUUCAAUUCUUUAUUAUUCUAUUGGAAUAUCCUGUCUGUGCGUUUUAUGCCAGACCUGGUUCCGUCUUUAUUAUUCUGUUGGAAUAUCCUGUCUGUGCGUUUUACGCCGGACCUGGUUCCGUCUUUAUUAUUCUGUUGGAAUAUCCUGUCUGUGCGUUUUACGCCGGACCUGGUUCCGUUAUUUAUUAUUCUGUUGGAAUAACCUGUCUAUUCGAAGUACCGCAUGCAUGGUGAUUUUUGUUGUUAUUCCAUUCUUUAUUAUUCUAUUGGAAUAUCAUGUCUGUGCGUUUUACGCCAGACCUAGUUCUAUCUUUAUUAUUUUGUUGGAAUAACCUGUCUAUGUGAAGUAUCGCAUGCAUGGUAAUUUCUGUUGUUAUUCCAUUCUUUAUUAUUCUGUUGGAAUAUCCUGUCGGUGUGUAUUACGCCUGACCUGGUUCCGUUAUUUAUUAUUCUAUUAGAAUAACUUGUCUAUGCGAAGUACCGUAUGUAUGGUGAUUUCUUUUCUUAUUCCAUUCUUUAUUAUACUCAGUUAGUUAAAGUUUUGACUUCUAUACUCCAUGAAAUUAGUGGAAUAUCCUUGAUAUUUAUACUUCAUCCAGUAUCUUUUCAUGAAAAUAUUCUUCUGAGCAUUCUUGAAUUUUACUCUACAAAGAAGUAUCAUGUUGAAAAUUUGGACGUUAUUGAUUCCUGGAUAAAUUAAUUCGUGAACUUGUUUUAUUGAAUUAUUAUGUCAUUGUCAUCAUCCUCAUGUUUAUUUUUUUUGAAAGUCAUCUGUGGCCUGUAGUGCAUAGAUGGACUUGGUAUGAUUAUGACCAGGGAUUAUUCGGUAUAAUCAUGACCGUAAUAUUACAAAUGAUGUGGAAAAAGUCCUCAUUGGCCCGUAAUGCAUUAAUGGACAGUUUUCGGUAUGAUUAUGGCUAUGGAUUCUCUUCGGCCAAGGGUGCAAAAAUGAAUUGUUUUAUGUCAUGAUCAGGACCGUUGAUGAAAACACGAUUUUCUUUGGCCCGUAGUGCAUGGAUAAUUCGUGGUCGUGAUACUAAAGAAUAUCCUUGGCCUGUAGUGCAGGGAUGAUUUGAUGAUGUGGAUUAUUUAUUGGGCUGAGUCUCAGCAAUAAAAGUGAUGAAAAAACUUUUUAAAUCAUAAAACAUAGUAGAUUCUAUUCUCUACUUGACUCUUUUAAUGGAUUGCUUGUUCCGCUGCAGUUAAACUUGAUGUCUAUUGUAUUUUAUCAGUUUAACAUUGUUGAAGACUAAUGAUAAUUUAUUCUGCACUAUCUUAGUCAUAAUAUUUCUUACUGGGCUAGUUGAGCUCACCCUUUCUUUCACUGUUCUAUUCAGGAAAUGAGAAUAUAGCUGGGGCGAGUCGGGGAACGGAGUGAUGGACCAGAUGAUAGUAUUAGUAGUCCUCACUAUUCUGUUAAAUAGUGUGAUAAUAAAUGUAAUGAGGACAUAUUCUGAGAGUGGAUAUUGUUUAGAAGACAGUAUUUGUAUUAAAACUCACAGCUCUCUUGUUGUAUAUUAAAGAUUGUAUUUGUAUUAUGUACCAUGUAUUUGGCGACUCAGAAUAGGUGAUGUAUACCUAUUUUGGGGGCGUCAAAAAUGAUGGGUAGAAAAAUAUUUAUUUUGUGUGGUUAUAAAUGAAGAAAUUAAUUUUGAGGUAUUUUAUAAUUAUUUUGUCAGAAUGGAUGUAUUAAAAAUCAUCCGUAUGUGGAUUUCGGACAUUUUUUGUUUAGAAUUUGGAAAAACUUUCUUCUCUAAAGUUGUAGAGAAUUUGAUUUCCUAUGGAAUGGACAUAAAAUUCAUAUUUUUCUGAUAAAAGAGCUAUUUAUUGUGAAUUAAAUGGAGUAAAGAUAAUCAAAUUGAAUUAGUUUUCAAAUUGAAUUUGAAUUCUUUUAUUUAUUUAUUUUUCAAAAAUAUGUGAUAAAUUAUUGGGGUGGGUGAGCAAAGUUGGACAAUCUUGAUUCAAGUAAGGUGUGCGUAGAAGAGAAGGAAAUAAGAAUAUUAUUUUAUUAUUUUAGUCUCCUUUGGCGUUCUAGCAUUUUUCUAUAAAUAGGUGCUUAAGUUAGAAUUGAAAAUCACACCAGAAACAUAAGCUUUCUCUCUCUAGAUUAUCGAGCGUAUUAUUGUGAGUAUUUUUCUUGAGUAUAGGAAUACUUUGAGCGUAGUUUUCUGCAAGAUUUUCUCAGAAUAAUAUCCAAUAUUCCAGGCAAAUCCAGUUUCUACUAAGGUAAAGGAUAUUAUUUUAUUGCUUUUAUAAUUCCUGAAAUGAUUAGAAAUUUCACUUCAUCUAAUAUCCUUUUAUAGGAAUAUUGGUCUGAACUUUUUAUCAAAUUUAGAACUUUUCAUGACGGGUACUGUUCACCGGUACUGUUCACGGGUACUGUUCAAAAAAGAAAAAAAAAUUUCUCCUUCCCAGUUAUCUGUUGUGACCUUUAAUCCUGAAAUUGAAUCCAUGUUUUUGAUCUUUAUUCUUGAAUUUUACUCCAUUAUGGUUUAUUAUGGAGUAUUUUUAAACUUGAGUUAUCUAAAGUACAAAUCUCUAAACUUUAUCCUUUUAUCUCACUUGAUUCGUUCUCUAAAAUGUUUUUCAUCAUCCUCAGUCCUUAAUGGUGAUACUUGAUAAAUAUCUUUGGCCUGUAGUGCAAAGAUGUAUGAUUACCUGAUGAAUAUCUUUGGCCUGUAGUGCAAAGAUGAACAGGUGUUGAGAUGAACAUGACCAACUGGUGAUACAAAUGAAUAUCUUUGGCCCGUAGUGUAAAGAUGAAUAUUUGAUUCAAGAUGUAUAUUGAUUGAUGUUACAGGGAUAAAAUAUUGAUGAUGGACUUUUAAAUUCAUAGAUGAUAGUAGAUUUCAUUCUCUACUUAACUCUUCUAAUGAAUUGUUGUUUCCGCUGCAGUUGUUGAUCUAAAACUUGUUGUCUAUUGUAUUCUAUCAGAUUUUUCCCUGUUGAAGACUAAGGAUAAUUUGUUGUAUAUUAUCUUAGUCAUAAUAUUCUUUACUGGGCUAGUUGAGCUCACCCUUUUCCUUUUUGUUCCAUUUUUCUUCUCAGGAAGCGAGAACAUAGCAGGAACCAGUCGGGGUAUAGAGUGAUGGUCCUAGACAGUUGUUUUAGAAGUCCUCACUAUUUUUGUAAAAUAGUGCAUCAAUAAUUGUAAUGAAGACUUUAUUUGAGUGUGGAUAUUGUCUAGAAGACAAUAUUUGUAUUUAAACUCACAGUAUGUGUUGUCGUAUUUUGCACGACAAUUGUAAUAAUAAAGUUGUAGUUAUUUUCUGUACCAUAUAUUUGGCGACUCAGAAUGGGUGAUGUAUACCUAUUUUAGGGGCGUCGCAGAAUAGCUUAUACCAUAUCAGUCAUUAUCAAAUCCUCUAGUCUAGCAUACAAAAUCCUUAAAACGGUGGCUAAGUCUUAGUUAAAUGCUUAGCUCAUAUAUAGACCGGUAUACACCAAGUUAUAAUCAUCUUAUGCUCAUGCAAAACUAACCUUUUAAGCACAUUUGCAUCUUUAGAAUUUUAAUAUAGAAUAUUGGCAUAGGAUUAGACUUGGCUGUACUCAUUUUCAACACAGUUGACUCCAAUAGUCUAUUAACAGACAUUUUACCAAACAGUUGGGAUGCGGUUCAUAUCUAUCCAUACAAUACAUAUAUUCUUAGCUUAGUGAUCCCAGCCUUAUGGCUUAAACAAUAACAAGCAUAAGAUGAUACAUAACAACUCCAAUCACGGUAAUCCAAAUAGCAUUGAAACAGGCAUCCUAUUGUACCAAUUCCAAUAUAACAGCCAUACAUGUUACCUAAACUCUAACAGUCCAGUUGCUAUCAUUUAAAGAAACAGGAACGAAUGGAAAAGGAUUGGAAAGGUCAGAAUUGGCUUACCUUGUUGAUUUGAAGGUUACAAGUGGGUUGAGCUGCCCAGUUUCUCCUCCUUCUCUAGCCGAAGCUUUUCCUCUCUUACUCUAUAUGACUGAUACCGUUACUUCUUCCCUUUUUCUUUUAACUUUGCUAAGUGGUGAGCUAAUCGGUUCUAGGCCAUAAGCUUGGCCUUUUAUGGUUGAGUUUAUCUCCUCUUUUCUGGCAGUACUAUCACCUUUAGUUGGCCUCUACACAACCACCCUAUCAAGCUCCCAUCCAUCAUUCCUAUUCUAGUUCACUUGGCCCCUAUAGGGCCUGUCAGACCAUAGCUAUUCUGCUUCCUCUUAUCCACUGCAAGUUUAUCCCACCUGCUAGCUGACUGUUAACUGAACUAACAUGCUAACUAGAAACCAACUUAGAAUUCGUAUAACUUGCUACUUGACUUGGUGCUCAAGCCAUGUUAUUGUUUUUCUUAAUUGGUUUGAAGCAGUUAUCUUGCUAUACAUCACUGGGUUUACAGGAUUGGGCUGGGGGAACAAUGUGACAAUUUUAAUUUGGGUUUAAACUAACCCUCCCUCUUUAACCAUGUAGCUGCCAAAUUGCACUAAGAAAAUAGGUUAAAAUUGGCCCUUUUAAUUUUGUUAUAGACCUAAUACAACAACCCAUACCCUAAAAUAGUUGAAAGGGGCAUACAAGCAUACAUAGCAAAAUUUAAUAUGGCCCAAUGUUUUAGAAUGGACUCAUUUUAAACACAAAAUUUUUUCUAUCUUAUUAAAUUCCUUUUAGGCUAGCAACAAUAGUUGGUACAUAUAUCAUUAACUCUUUUUUUUUACCAUUCAUGAUCUAAGAUACUUAAUAAAAUAUUAAGUAACAAAUAAUUAUAAGGUCAGGAUACAAAAAUAAAAUAAAAUUUAUACACAAAAUUGACAUUAUAACAACUGAAUAUUUUAUAGAAUUUCUGAGUCAUUACAUUUACUUUGUUAAGGACUAAUGAUAAUUUAUUUUACAUUAUCUUAGUCAUAAUAUUCUUUACUAGGCUAGUUGAGCUCACCAUUUUCUUUCAUUGUUCUUUUCAGGAAAUGAGAAUAUAGUUGUGACUAGUCGGAGAAUGGAGUGAUGGUCCAAGAUGGUUGCUAUAGUAGUCCUCACUAUUCUAUAAAAUAGUGUGAUAAUAAUUGUAAUGAGAACUUCAUUUGAGUUUGGAUAUUGUCUACGAAAUAAUAUUUGUAUUAAAACUCACAACUUACGUUUUGUCGUAUUUUACACGACAAUUAAUAAUUGUAUAAAUGCAGUUUGUAUUUGAAUUUUGUACCAUGUAUUUGGUGACUCAGAAUGAGUUGUAUGGACCUAUUUUGGGGGAGUCACGAAUAGGACCCAAGAAGAUUUGGGUACGAAAAAGGUAGACUAUUUGUUCAUUUUGUCAAUGUCUUAAGUUCAAAAAGGAGACGAAUAGUACUUAUAAAUUAUUUGGCAAAAUCUGUAAGUACCUUAUAUUUUUUUCUAAAAUAGUGUUUUAAUUAGAUAUAUUAUGAAAAAUCUAUGGAUUUCGUAUUACAUGGGUUCAUAACAUCAUUUAUUAUAAAGUAUAUAUUGUGCUAAAUGCUCCAUAUUUAAUACAAAUGACAAUCUUGAUGAGGAAUAAGUGAAUAUUAUUUUUGAUUAACUUAACCAUGAUCUGCUAAAGGAAGAGAAUGAGGUUUCUGUUGGAAAUGACUAUUUGAAUUGUGGAACCCAAACAGUUCAAUCCGGACAGUCUAAGAUGUGAGACCCCGAAUUUUAUGAAAUAAAAGUAUUAAAUUUUUCUAUUUUGGUAAAUAGUUAAAUUGAUAAAAGUUUAAAGUUAAGGGUCAUAUUUGAAAAUUUUGCAAAGUAUGCAAGUUGUUAUAAAUAUUCGAUUGGUCGGAGAAUAUUCUUUUUGUCGGGGAAUAUUCGUACGACGGCACAAUCUUUGGUGAACCCACAACGGAAGUACUGUCGUAGUUAGAAAAAGACAAAAAUAUUUUAUGAAAAUAACGACGAAGGUUUUACCGUUAAAAUUGUUGAACUACCCGGUAGUAAAAGUACAAUAAUACUCGUGGUUGCAUAGUAGCACACGGUAUUGAUUAUUGAUACUUAUGUGAGAAGUCACUGAGUUAUACUCAAUUAUUGCUACAGUAAUUGUUGCAUCAUAUCUCUCAUAUUAUUGAUUCGAUUAUUGUCAGUAUCAUCUGCAUUAUAUGUUAUUUUAUUAAAUCAAUAAUUGAGACGACAAAGUUAUUCAUAUUAUUAAAUUGCAAUAUUUAUAAUGUCUAGAAGUUCUGUCAAGGAGAGGUUAGAUAAUCUAAUUACGCGCCAAUAGGGAGAAAUCUUUAUCGGAAAGCCCCCUCUUUCCUGGGAACAACCUGGUUGUUAAAUAUUGUGAGUUAUGAUAUUAAUGAUGGAUAAGUUCGUGUUGAUUAAAGAUGAAUUUUAUAGUUUUAUUGUGUUGGGAUUAUUUGUGUUAGUAGAAAUUGACAUCUAUUCCGAUGAUUAUUGAUGUCUGGAGGUUAUAUUGUUCAAUCGGGUAUUCGGGACACUUUUCAUGUCAGAGUUAUUAUUCAUGAGUUACUAUUCACGAGUUACUAUUCAUGAGUUACUAUUCACUAGUUACUAUUCACAAGUUACUAUUCACCUAAUUACUAUUCACUCUAGUAUUGUGCAUUCGGGUAUUUGGGUACAAUAUUAUUCCAUGAGGAGAUGUGUUAAUUUUUCUGACCGUUGGUUGAAAUUAUAAUAGUAAAUCAAUAUGGAUCGUUGAUUUAAAGUCUUAAUAGUAACUUGUCCCUUCAAUAUUACCAAGAGUUAAUUGCCCCUUCGUAAAUAGUAGUUGUCCCUUCAAUAUUACCAAGAGUUAUUUGCCUCUUCGGUGUUCCAAGAGUUAAUUACCCCUUCGCAAACAGUAGUUGUCUCUUCAAUAUUACCAAGAGUCAUUUUGACCCUUCGUUAAGACCAAGAGCCACUCUCAGUUUUUCUAUAAAUAGAAGCUCAUUCCUUCAUUAUUUCUUACGAAUUCACUGAAACUCUAGAGAGAGAAAUUAUAGAGAGAAAGAAGAAGAGUAUUCUGUUACUUCACUACUUCGAUAUCCAGUGUCUUUUACGGUAAGGGAUAUUAUUUGUUGUACCCGUAAGGGGUGUUAUUCUUUCUUAGUCAUGAAGAGAACUUCUGUUAUUCCAUUCUUUAUUAUUCUGUUGGAAUAACCUGUAUAAGCGGCAUACCCUAUACAUAACCUGUAUAUGCGGCAUACCCUAUACUUGGUGAAAUCCCUUUGUUAUUCCAUUCUAUAUUAUUAUGUUGGAAUAACCUGUUUAUGCCAAGUACCGUAUGCAUAGUGAAAUUCUUCUAUUAUUUCAUUCUAUAUUAUUAUGUUGGAAUAACCUGUUUAUGCGAAGUACCGCAUACAUGGUGAAAUUCUUCUAUUAUUCCAUUCUUUAAUAUUCUGUCAGAAUAUCCUGUCGGUGUGAAUUUCGGCUGACCUGGUUCCAUUUAUUAUUCUGUUGGAAUAACCUGUAUACGCGUAUUACCGUAUACUUGGUGAUGUCUGUUGUUCUUCCAUUCUUUACUAUUCUGCUGGAAUAUCCUGUCUGUGCGUUUUACGCCAGACCUGGUUCCGUCUUUAUUAUUCUGUUGGGAAUAACUUGUCUGUGUGGUCUCUAUCGCAUGCAUGAUGAAUCCUUCUGUUAUUCCAUUCUUUAUUAUUCUGUUAGAAUAACCUGUCUAUGUGGAUUACCACAUGCAUGGUGAAUGAUCCUUUAUAUUCAUUCCUUAUUAAAUUGUGGAAAUGAUCCGGUUACGUUGAUUAUGAUGAGAGUCAUAAUAAAAGUAUUGGACUAAUGAAAAUCAUGGGUAUAUGUGGUAUUAGUAAGUGUUAUGAUGAGUUAUGUUGGUUAUUAUGUGAAAACAUGAAAGUUUCUUAGAAAUCACAAAGGGUUGAAAAUCAGAUUUUGGUGAAAAUAGAACAUGAAAUUCAAUUGACCAUAUCUCCUAUUAUAUUUCAAAUUUUUGGGUGUGGUUAAGUUCUAGAGUUAGGUCUAUGAGUUAUGUAACUUAUCCAAGUGGAAUCACUGGAAAAGGUGUUGUAGAUUUUCGUGUGGACUGAUUUUAGCAAAGGAGUGCAAAGCUGCAAAAACCCAAAACUCUACUGCCCAGAAACUUUAAGGGGCUGUUUCGGCUACUUAAUUUGUGAGAACAAUUCUGGCCUUUUGGGACAUGAAAUUAUAUGAUAUAAAGUACCUCCUGUCCAAAAAUGAGCUCAUUCUGACUUAAAAUGAGCAAGUUAUGACCAUUUCAAUAUUUAGGUUUUUCCGACGAAAAACGCUAUAACCGGAGUUCUAUAACUCCGAUGACCAUGAAAUUUAAAUUGGAAGCUCAUGUUAACAUGUGUAAGAUUAUGCCAAGAUUUGGGAAUUUUUGGAGUUAACCUUGAGGUAGCUAACUUCUUAAGGAAUUAAUUAGAAAUUGAUUUUUGAAAAAUAGUAAAUGAAUUUUAAAAAUUCCGAGAAAAAUAUAUGUUCAUUAUGGGACUAUAUUCUGCUAAAUACCAGAAAAGAAAUAUUUUUGGGACUGAUUUGGUAUUUUUCAUGAAAAUAGUUUAGUUACGAACUUAUGAGUUAAAUAUGUUAUGUGAAGUAACAAAAUUGGAAAAAUAGGAUUUAUGGUUUGGAAGGUAUAUGCAGAUUUUUGAUAAAGAAUUUGAUUAUUGGUGAUGAGAUCUUAUGAGUAUGGCAUUUUGAAUGAUUAAAUACAUUAUAUGGUAAAGUGUAAGCAAUUGAAAUAAAUUAUUUAUAAGUUUGAGAAGCGAUUAAAAUAUUGUUAUAAUAUUAAUAAUAUUAGAUUAUGAGUUAUUGAUAAUAUUUGGAUAAGUUUAAAGUCUUUAGUAUUUAUCCUUGUUUUCGUAUGAUUAAUGCUUAUAUCAUUGUCAUCAUCCUCAUGCUUAUAUGGUGAUGAAAGUUAUCUUUGGCUUACGUGCAAAAAUGGACUUUUGAUUAUUGAAUUGUAUAUCUUUGGCUCACGUGCAGAGCUAGUUUGUUGAUUAUUGGUUUUAUUGUUGUAUAUCUUUGGCUUACGUGCAGAGAUGAAUUUGGUAUGAUUAUGACCAAGGAUUAUUCGGUAUAGUCAUGACUAUUGAUGAUUUAAUGAAUAUCCUUGGCCCGUAGUGUAGGGGUGAUUCGAUGAUGUGGUUUAUUUAUUAAGCUGAGUCUCAAUGAUAAAAAUGGAUGAAAACAUUUUUAAAUCAUAGAAGAUAGUAGAUUUUAUUCUCUACUUGACUCUUUUAAUGGAUUGCUUGUUCCGCUGCAGUUAAACUUGAUGUCUAUUGUAUUUUAUCAGUUUAACAUUGUUGAAGACUAUUGAUAAUUUAUUCUGCAUUAUCUAGUCAUAAUAUUUCUUACUGGGCUAGUUGAGCUCACCCUUUCUUCACUGUUCUCUUCAAGAAAUGAGAAUAUAGCUGGGACGAGUCGGGGAACAGAUUGACAGUCCAGAUGAUAGCAUUAGUAGUCCUCACCAUUCUGUUAAAUAAUGUGAUAAUAAAUGUAAUGAGGACUGAAUUUGAGUUUGUAUACUGUCUAUGAGGACUCCAUUGAGAAUUGAUAUUGUCUAGAAGGCAAUAUUCUUGUUUAAACUCUCAGUUUAUGUUUUACACGACAGUUGUAUAAUUAUGUUGUAUUUGAUUUAUGUACCAUGUAUUUGGCGACUCAAGAUGGGUGAUGUAUACCUAUUUUGGGGGCGUCACAUAAGACGUCUGCAUCAGAAGGAAAUAUAGAUGAAAUCAGACAGUUUGACCUGUCUGUUUUAGAAGAAAACUCAAAUUUACAAACACCUAAAUCUAGAAAAAUCGAGAGGUCUGCUUUAGAAUAAAAAACAUAUGAAUAUUCGGAUGCAGUAACUUAUAUUCCAGAGGAUGAAUCUGAAAAGCAAAUGACUUCUUCCAGGCUUCCUAAAUCUUCUAGAACUAUGGGAAAUCAUCCUCCAAGUCUGAUCAUCAGAAAUUUCAACAUUAGGAUGUCCACAAGAAGAGGUUUUGAAGAAAUUUGUUUGCUACACUAAAGGAGCUCAUCUAUCAAGCUUAUUGUUGGUAACAAAAUUGUGGAUAUAUAGGUAACAAAUCACAAAGGUAUGGUUAUUUUAUUUAAGUGCUAUAUGUGAUAUUGUUACAAGCUUGAUGUCGUGUCUUUAUUUUAUGAAUUAUUUUUUGUUAGUGACAAAUGGGGAGAGAUAUAGCUAAAUUGAUGAUUUAUUUCUUUUUGAUAAUGAUAAGGGGAGAAAUGUUUAAAAAUAUUGAUGAUUAUGAUAUUUGAUGGUUAUAUUGAUUAUAAUAUGUUUGGAUUUUUUGGAUAUCAUAUUGAUGAUAAUGGUUGGAUAUUUUGAUUCAUUAUCUGUUAUAUACAGCUUAUCAUUAUGCAUUAUUUAUCAUAACAGUUAUGUGAUCUUUAUAUCUCCUAUAGGCAAAAUUUAGGGGGAGCCAUAUAGUUAGGGAGAGCAUGAUUGUAAGGAAUAAUAUAUUGUCAUCAUCAAAAGGUGGAGAUUAUUAGUUUUAUUAUUUGUAAUUUUAAUAAUGACAAUAUAUUUGCAAAUAUAAGUUAUUUAAUGGUCUGAAUAUAUUUGCAAAUAUAAGUUUGGUUCAUGAUAAUUUAAUUUGGUUAUAAGUCAAAUUGAUAUUACGUGCAGGAUUGAAUUGGAAUAUUUUCUUUCAGGUCUAAUUUGGAGUCUCUAAAUUAACUGGUUUAGAUAUUUGUGUAGAGUAUGGACUCUAUCUAUAAUAUAUUGUUACUCCUUAAUUUUAGCCAUUGUUAGAUUACAUAUCUUUGACUUUCUAAUUUUGAGAAUAUUUUAUAGCUGUUAGCUAUAUCUAUGUGCUGAAAUCUCUAAUUCUCGAAAUCCAAGACCAAGUCAUUGACGAGCCUACUAAGUUUACACAGCAACCACGAUUUGUUUGUAGACUUGUAGUUAUUCAUUUUAUACCCGAAGUUAACAAAUUGUAUGAAAGGUUCAUCCUUUCAAUUAUCUACAUAAUUUAUUUUUUCCUACUCUAUGCAUUCCUAAGUAUCAGAUCGGAUCAGAUCAUAAACAUCACAAUAAACCAUCUAGUGGUAAUUGUUUUAUUUAUAAUACGGUAAUAACAACCACCUAGUGGUAGUUGAUUUAUUUAUUACAUGCUAAUAACAACCAUGAGCUGAUUGUUGAUUUAUUUAUUAAAUGCUAAUAACAGCUAUCAGCUAGUGGUUGAUUUAUUUAUUAUAUUCUAAUAACAGCCAUCAACUAGUAUAUAGUUUCUUGAUCAACUGUUCAUAGGAAGAUUACUGAUCGUUCAUUUAGGCGCUGGGGGGACUAAUUUGAACACCAUAGAUAACUAAACCCGUCUUCAUAGUCGCGCUUUCACUCCCGUCAAGAGCAAAUUUUAAAUCUCCAGAGUCAAAGCUAUUCAAGAAUUCCCCAGCUUUGAGCGAAAAUGGUGUGUUUCUCGGAUAAUUCAUCAAUCCAUAUCCGUUCACUUGCGAGGAUCCAUUCGGAAGAGUAAGUGUAAGACUCACCGGACUUGCUAUGUUAAAGUUGUCUUUCAGCAACACCACAAAAGAUACCUCAUAAGAUAAUUUUUCAAGCUUUUCUGUCAUAUAGUUUCCGUCAACAUGUAGGACUAAGCUACCAAUUAAUUCAGCACUGGCAUCACUGAAAAAAAAUGAUAGUAGAAUUAAAGUCAGAAACUUUUGAUAUAAGGAGCUUAAAUUCAUUAAGGUGAUUUUAUUGAUUUUUUUUUUCUGGAACAUUUUUAAUGUAAGUCCUUCUAUCUACCUAGAGUCUAGACUUCAAUAAAAUUUCUAUAGUCCUUCUAUCACUUUAAUUUAAUGACAUAGUUGCUUAUAUAUCCCUAUUUUUAACUGAAUAAAAUUCAGGUGUUUAAACACAAAUCUUAACCUUUGACGUCAAUUAAGUUAACUAAAUCUUAUUUCUACUUACGUA